rnacentral:lncRNA from 1 species
CAUCCCCGUUCGUCCCCAACUCGCCAAAUCCGCAGCCGCCGCAAGCACAGAGACCCUCUAGAUCGAGCGCGAGCUCCACCCCCGCCGCCGCGAUGAGGGCCAAGGUUCGUCUCGAUUCUGUUCCUCCGCCUCCGUUGCGAUAUCGUUUGCUGUUUCGAUGAUGCCAUGACAUUGCGUAGUAGAAUUAGAGAACUAGUGCUGUCCUAGGGUUUGGUUCUAGAAGCUGUGCUAUGCGUGGUUUCUGCUGAUUUUGUCUUCGAUUCGAACGGUUAUGCUAUGCUGUUCUCUAUGAUGACGAAACACAGAUGACGAGUCUGACGAAAUCCAUUCCAUUAAACCAUGGGGACAAUCGAGGCAUUUGUCUGAGAGAACACUGAUCUGCUAGAAAAAGAUUUGUUUCGUCUAUGUCCUGUUUUAAAUUUCGGUUUAUUUGUUCGCAAUUGUUUCGGCAGUACUGGCAUAAUGAGGAAAAUCCUUAUUUUUCUGAUAUAGUUGAUGAUAAAUACCUCCUACUCAUUCUGAAUGCCAGAACACUGCCUGUUAUCCCUGUUUUGUUUUGUUUUCUUUUUGAAAGAGGUACCUUGUUUUGUUGGUAGAUUAGAUAAGGUUUGUUGGCUUUUGCCAUGUUCACUCUAAUCGGACAGAUUCAGAUCUUUUUUUAGGAAUCCUUAACAUUUUUCGCAAAAAAGAGUAAUCCUUCAUUGCUUGAUGUUGGGAUAUGAUGAAGAACCUUUGGUCCGUGUUUCUGAUCAACCCUUGAUGAGUAAACCACUCCUAAAGAAUCUGAUCCCAAACAAUUUAUAAAAAUAAUUGUGCUUUGUUCUGUAUAUUUAUCUAAUCCGAUAAAUUUGCCUGACACGAAGGAUACUGAUGCAUCUUGGCUUGUUCUGAUGUUCAGUGGAAGAAGAAGAGAAUGAGGAGGCUCAAAAGGAAGCGCCGAAAGAUGAGGCAGAGAUCCAAGUAGGCUUGCCUGGAGGAUGAAGGGAACUGUCUGUUGCAUUGUGACCUAGGCUUGUUAGGAUAAACACCCCGACGUGCUUUGGUGUAGAUGCAGGAGAUGUUUACCUUCUUGGGGUCUAGUUUUAUUUUUAGCUCAUCAAAACUCUGGUCAUGUUCUAAGGCUGGGUUUUAUGUAAUGUGAGGAUAAUAUGUUGCUUUGUGACUGAGUUUAUGCAGUUAAACGAGAUUUCUUGCACUAAAAAAUAUACUUACUGCCUAUCUGUUACCCUUGUGAUCGGUAGUUGUUUCCGUUAUCUGUGCUGUUUUCUCACGCGCUGUGGCAAUUUUCAGAAUCUCAGGAUGUUUUGCAUUGCUCCAUGGUGUAGAUGGAAUAGUUGCUUUGUUUUUGGUUGAGGCAUGACUGCAUCACUUGUUGAUUACAGAGCAGAGAGCGCUGGUGUUUAUGAGUUACAUUGGAUUUGUAUUGCUGUUGAGUUGUUAAUUACUGGAGUUUUAUAUCUCGUAUAGCUCUGGUGUUCUACUUUGCUUCGAUAAAUGAUGCCAUUUUAGCAGGCGAUUCUAAUUCUGCUGUCAGCUCCUGAUAUGUCAUGUUGAGAUCACUCCAUUGAGAUUAUGUGAAUCUUGAACUGUGUGCAAUUCGAAAUUGUAGAAAUAAUUGACUGCUUUGGGAUGGGAUUUGGGUUUGCAAUAUGUGGAGGAACAACAUAGACCUGUCUGGUUCAAACAGGCGUCAGUGAAAAAGCCUUCAGUGAACUCGUGGCGUCGACUCGUGAACUCUGAAACAGAUGAGGUGCAGGUGCACAAUAGAGACGGCUGGCCUCGCACCUGCACCAGCACCACUCCCUUAUCCGCUGGGCCUAGCAUGAAUUUGUUCGUAACCGUUUAUAUUCCUGCCAGCCUGAUCCCUGCACUAGAACUGAGAGCUUCUCAACUCAUCCGUUAAUGGAGGCCAUAGUCAGGGCAGGUGUAUCUUCCUCGGCGCCGGCGCAGCUACGCCCGUGCCCGAUGCCGUGCCGCAACCGCUGCCUACCGUCCUCCGUGCGCCGUCCCGGACGCCGGGGAGUUGCCUGCUCGGCCUCGGCGGCCGACGCCGACGUCGUCGAUCUCUUCGAUGCCGCCAAGCUCACGGUAUGGUAGUGAGAUACCUCACCGUUCGUUCGUGAGCAAGCCGUGUAUGUUCUCCAACGAAUUUUUGUUCUCUGUAGGUGGACAGGUUCGUGCAGAGCGGCAUGGUGGUCGGGCUAGGCUCCGGCCCGGCGUCCGCCCUGGCGGUCCAGUACCUCGGCACGCGCCUCCGCCGGGGAUCUCUCACCGAAAUCGUCGCAGUAACCUCGUAAGUUCUGAAUUUCUGAUUGCCAUUGCAUGAUCUGUUCCUUCUUCGUCACAGACUCAGAGUAACCUAGUAACUCUGAAUUUCUGUUUUCUGAUUGCCACUGCAUGAUCUGUUCCUUCCUUUGUGCAUGAAAGUGCUUCUUUUCUCAUCAGACACUCGAAUCAGUUUGCAUCUAAUCAGCUCUUGGGAUUGAUUGACCAGCCAGGUCCGUGCUCAGUGCGAGCGAGGCAGACAAGGCCGGAAUACGGGCUAGCAGCUAUCAGGAAGGAACCCAAGUGAGUAUGCGCAGUGCUGUACGCCUGUAACCAUCAGCUGUAAACCUCUUCUUACAACACGGGAAGAACAGCAUCUGAAACUGUGCUCUGCUCACUGACGUAUAGAUUGAUUUUGCUUUCACUGAUGCUGAAGUAAUCGAAGAGGGCACGCUGGCUGCCGUCAUCGGGCGGCGCAAGACCGAGAGUGGAGAGCCCUCUUUCAUGGUGGAGAAGGUAUUUGACUACUUAAUCAAUGUCUUCAGAGUUAGCGCGUGCAUGGAUUUCUGAUGGAUAAUCAUUCGUAUGUAGGCAACAGUAAUAGAUGCAUUGCAUAUCUGAACCAUUUAUUUGAUUUCAACCAUGUUGUCCCAUGUGUUAUACAGGCAAUGGUUAAAUCAGCUGAUAAACUUGCCUUCAUCACUGGAAAUGACAAAUACCUGACAGGUGUUGAGGGUUCCAUUCCAGUCAUAGUUAAAAGUGUAAGGAAAAAAAAAUCCUGUUGCUUCAGAUAUGGUCAGUUUUAUACAAUGUUUAUGAAGAGAGGAACAGAUGAUUUCAGGGAAAUUGGAUAGACACUGCUGAAGAGAUCGACGAUUUGUUCCUAGGGGAUGCAGAGGUGCCCUCAUCCAUACGAAUACUCAAUAGUUAAAUUUUCAGAACUCGAAUACCUGCUGGACUGCUGAAACUGAAACGCUCAUGAAUGUUUGGUCACCAUUGUAUGCGAUUUUCUGAUCAGGUUUGGAGGAGGCCAUCAUUUGGGACUGCCGGUCCACUAGGGGGUGAUCACCCAUUGGUCACUAAGGAGGGUCAUCACGUUCUUGAUGUGAUCUUUACGACUCCAAUCCCAGAUCUAGGUAAGCUGAUGGAAGAUCAUUGCAACAAAGGGGCUAAACUCAUCUUGAGUCCAUUAGACCAUUUCUUGGGCCAAAGCUUUAGCUGGUUGCUUUGCCAUAUUUAUUGCAGGUCAGGUAGCAGAGAAGUUGGACAAAGUUGCUGGCGUUGUGGAUCAUGGGAUUAUUUGUAGCAACCAGUAAUUUUCUUAACGCAAGCAUACAGAAUAAUAUUUUUAAUUAAUUUUGUGGGGAUGGUUUACGGAGGUGUGUUUCAGGUUUUCUUUUUCCCCCAAAAAGGUGCUUCUCAGUGUUCUUACACGCUGCAUCUCCUGCCCUGCAGAUCGUAUGCGGUGAUUGCAUCCAAGGGGGAAGUGCAGGUUAUUGAGGAGAAACCCUCGGUGAUACCGUAGCGCUGCAGAAAUCUUCCAGUUGCCUGCAGAGGCGCCAUUUUUCUCCACACAUUCCGGAUAAGAGUACUUCCAGGUUGGCUGGAAAAUGCCUGAGAGUUAAAUAAUAUAGUAGCACCAAAUGUAAUCUCUUCAGUAUCCAACACUCUAUGCACCAGUAUGCAAAACCUUCCACUUCGUGUGCAAUGAAGAUCAACAAAUCUGCAGUCACAGACUGUUAACAUGCCGAAAACACCAUUUUCCAUGGCAGGUUACUGAUAACUAUGCUCGUAGGUCCAAAAAAAUUAGUUGGGCAGCAAAGCAAGUAUGCUUGACAGAAUGUCGACUGACAAAUACUAGCGCUUUGCAAUUUUCAUCCAGGAUACAUAAAAUGGCAGUGUUGAACCGCAGGACUUCCUCUUCCUGGCUUCUUGUCCCACAUGUCAUAGAAACAUUUUCUUGCCAAAAAUUUUCACAAAUGUGGCUUCAAUAUUGCUAGCCAAAAUGAUUUUGGCAGCCACAAGUCGCCUAAUGUUAAGGUUAGGCACCAACCAAACAGAAAGCUCCACCUCCCAGCUCCAAUCCAAGCAGCCGUCAGAGACAUACAGUACUAAUAAAACUUUUUUAGGGAAUGCUAUUGUUUCGCCCAAAAAGCAGAAACUGCAAGCACAAGUGCACAACAUGUUCAGUUCCCCAACUAUGCCUGAACUCUAAAACACACACAGAGAGAUCAAUACAAUUUCUUGAUUCAUAUGGCUCGUUCUUUCUAAUCAUGUGACACGGCAAAGUUCUUGCCGUUAUCCCGAAUAAAAAGAUAUAAUCCAUACGGCUGACAGAUAUCUCUAAAUAAACACAACUAGCAAUCAUAUUUACGCUGCAACCUCAGCACACAAGGAACGUCUGUAAGCAACUUGAAAAGAUGUGUCAUUAUCUCCUUACUCCUGCUUUUUCUCCAACACCACCUUCCUGCUGUCGAAGAAAAACAGUUUAGAACAAUUUAGAAGACGUGCAAGUUCCGUCAAGUUUAGCUAGAGACAUUAGUAGGUUUCAUGAAUUCAGCAGACAUAUACAAAUGAAGGGCGUGGUUGUAUCACGGUACAACAACCUGAGUAGCUACAGGACAUUUGGCCUGUUCGUUUCAGCUUAUUCAGCCGGUUUAUCAGCCACCAAACAGUAUUUUCCUUUCACAACAAAUCAGUCGUUUCAGCUUUUCAGCCGGCUUAUAAGCUGAAGCGAACAGGUCCGCCUUCAGGCAGUCACAUGAAGAUGCCACUCCUUGGCGUCUCGUUGCCCGGAGGAAUCACCAUGGCGAAGAAAUUGGAAGGCAGCUCCGUGAAAGUGAAGCCAUCCGAGCGUCACUACAUAAAACGAUUUGUAGGGCACCCCAUAUUUUAUUUUUAUAAGGAUAGGCGAAAUUGCUAUCCGCAUCUACAAAACGGAUCGCUAUUGUAGCAUACGACCUACCCGUGGAGAACCAUUUGUAGGGAUGGGCCACGGGACGACCCGCCCCUGGGGGGCGAUUUCGAUUUUCAUGGGCGGGCGAUGGGGUGUCCCGUCCAUGGAAAUCACAAUUUGCAAGGGGCGAGUGACGGUAUCACCCGCUCCCGAAAAUUAUUUCCAGUAACGAGUGAUGACGUGGGCCGCUUCUAGAAAUGGUACAAUUUCUUGAUGCAUGAAUGCGCCAUGAACAUCCUUAGCAGAACACUUUGCAUGGUGCCUCAUUGCCUUCUUGAAUGUGAAUAUGGCAAGAAACAAGUUCACAAAAAUAUAAACCGUAGCUCAAAAAAUAAGUGUCAUAUAUAAACCAACAUAUAAAUCAUGUCACAACUCAACAUAACCACAACCAAAUGAUAGAUCCCACAGAACAGAUAAGACAUGUCACAUUACAUAUAAAGUUUGUAGAUCACAACUCAACAUAACCAAAUAACAAAUUCCACGCAACAGAAACAAAACCAAGAUUCAUUGACAAAUAACACUACUACACUAUCCAUUUCUUCACUUAGCAUUAGCUACUCCUAAGGCAAAUAUCCCAAGCAUAACACCUACAAUCAAGGUCACAACAGUAGUGAUGACAGCCACGUUGCAUGCACCCCCAACAGUCUUUUUUUUCUGGCCACAACAGCCUUGUUUUCUUUCCCAAAAGAUGCUUCAACUCUCCCACUUCCAACUUUAGUUUAUUAACAUUCCCUUUCAUUUCUCCACACUGGAUCUUCAAUUCACACAUCUCCAUCUUCAGAUCACAAAUUGCCAAUUUUAUUUGACUUAUCUCAUUCAACAUGCCAUUGCUUGCCAACGGCUCAGGAGGCUGAAAUCCAGCACUUGACUGAGCUGCUGCUGUUCCUGGAGCAAUACCUGCCAAUUGAUAGUUUGGAGGCAUCGAAUGGGGAAAUUUUUUCCUUCAAAUGGUUCAAGUACUGAGGCUCAAACCAGUAUUGGUCAUAUAUUCUAGAAUCUCCCUACUUCAACAACACAAAUGCAACUCAACCCUUUGGUUCCAACACGGUUGAUUCCAUGAUGUUAGGGUUGCAAUCUUACCUUAGUGUUGUUGGGGUACUUGUAGAAGAUGUAGCCCCCAUUGCUCCUGAGCCAAAUCACCCUUAUUCCGCAUUUAUGGCAGUCGACGAGGGGAAGUUGCACGAACUGGUUGCGACUUGGUACCAACGAUGGGAAGCUGCUCGACAUAACCUUCACUUGCUUGUUCUCGACGGAUGUCGAGGAGCUAGAGGACAGUGAGAAGUUCAACAACUUGCCUUGCCCCCCUUGGCCUCCUUUGCGGCAGCGGAAGCUGUGGCGGCGUGCGGCAGCGGUGGAAGCUAUGGCGGUGUGGCUGCGACGGCGAAGGUGAAAGCAUACCGGCGGCAUGCCCGCAUGGAAGGAGGUGUCGUGGGAGGAGAGCGCCACGGUGGCGGCCCGAGCGCGGAAGGAGGCGCUGCGAAUGGAAGGCGCCGUGGGAGGAGGGAAGGAGGCGCGACGCUGCGGCAUGGCGGUGGAGGCGUCGCGGGGAGGCGCUGCGGCGGCGGAGCACGCGGGGGAGGGGAGCGGCGCCGGAGCGGGGGCGGAAGGAGGGGCCGGGGAAAUUUUGACAGCCUAACGGCGUCCCGCGGGCUUCUCCAAAAAUUUGGCUUAGUAACCGUGGGCGCCACUAUAUAUAUAGGGUGGCAUUAGCAGCACCUGGAAAUCAUUUCUUCAUUUUUUUUCUAAAAUGUAUUUUGGAGCUAUUAAAUGAUCUUAAAUGCAAAAGUUAUCAACUGCAAAGUUUAAUGUCUCGUUGAGCUCCACAAUUUUGAUAUAAAGUUUUUAUUUAUCCAAGAAGAAAUGAAAAUUUCAAAAAAUACAUUCACUAAACACAUUCACAUGUACUCACACAUAUACUCAUACAUUCACAUAUACUUUGCGGUGAAUAUGUGUGUUUAGUGGAUGUAUUUUUUUAAUACAAAAUAUUUUUAAUUUCAUCUCGGAUGGAUACAAACUUUAUAUCAAAAUUAUAGAGAUCAAUGAGAUAUUAAACUUUGCAGUUGACAACUUUUGCAUUUAAGAUCAUUUAAUAGCUCCAAAAUACAUUUUAGAAGAAAAAUAAAAAUGGAGAAAAUAUUUCCAGCCAUCACCCGCACUUGGAAAUCGUUUCUAGGGGCGGGUGGUGACGUCACCCGCCCCUGCUAAAUGGUAGCCUAUAUAUGGUGGCGCUCGCGGGGACUUAGCCAAAUUUUUUCUUGAAAAAUGUAGACGUUUAACAUUUGAAAUUAGGGUUCAACAUUUCGUUCAACUUUUUUUCGAAAAAAUGUUGGUGAACAUUUUUUUAUCCAACAUUUUUCCAGUUGAAAUGUUGAAUAGACCAUCAUCAGUUGGAUCUUGGUGGCUUUGAAAUGGAUCAGUUGGAUCUGGUGGCUUUGAAAUGGAACGGAACUGCGAAGCUAAGCUUUAUAUCAUCAGCUGGACCUUGGUGACUUUGAAACGGAACGGAACUCCGAAGCUAAGCUUUAGCUCAAACGCUUAUCCAUCUUACAGCCGGUAGACUAGUAGUAACAGGGUUCUCUAAAAAAAAUAAAAGUAGUAACAGGGGGAAUGUGCUUGAUAGGUGAUAGCAGCAUAAGAUCAUCUAGAAGUUUUUUCUCCAACAGAAAAGAUAAAGAGGUGCUGCCAGAUCCUUCACCGCAGCAACCGGCGGAGGUAACAAAUGACGCAUCAGCUGAAUGACUCAUACAACAAAUAGCACAUCGACUGAAGACACAUACAACGAAUAUGAGGAUGAGAACAAGGAACCUUUGCCAGCCUCAGGAGCUCAGGAUCAGUGAAUCCCUGACCCCGAGCGCUGCUGCAACCUGAGCAAGUCCAAAUUGCAAAUUCAACAGAUCAAUUUGAUUAAAUGACCACCAAUCCACCAUAUAUCCUCCAGCAAGCUGGUCACUAGUACUGUAUCAGAAGAUGUUUACAACAACCGAACAUCCUGGGGUUUCCAGACAACACCCAUUUUCAAGUUGCAUCUCGCUAUCAGAAACUGGCCUAAUAUACUCUUUCCCCAACAUGCAUAGUGCUUUUUUUUAAUAAUUUCUUCAACGAAAGGAGGACUUAAGUACAGCAGGGGCGACAGAACAGCUAGUAAGGUAGAGUAGAACAGCCAUUGAUAGCCCCCCUGUUGAAUUUGAUGCUGAGGUUUUGUCUAAUUGAAGAAACAGCAUUGCCACCUAACUAGAGAUUUUUUUCCUCCAGCUAAAGUCAAAAGUCCAAAAUUCAUACUCUGACACCACCUCUAUUCUGAAUCGCUCUCCAGGCUUAGAGCCUUCAAGCCUCUAGCCCUCUGCAUGAUGUUUCACUCAUGUAAGUAACAAGCAUUCAACGGAACAGAGGUAGAAUACAUGCUUCUUGAAGCAAAACAAAUUUAAUUGUAUCCAGGUUACCUUUUUUGAACUCUUCUUCUCUCGAACUUCAUAUCUCUCAUGUGACAGAUCUGACAACCAAGCUCCUGGGCUCACCAUCUGUGAUUAUACCGCAAAAUGAAUCAGACAACAGUGUAAAAAAACAGAGAGCACUAUAACAGCAACAAAGAAAACAGAAGUUGAAAUCAAGUUUUUGAGCUUGAUCAUUACAAGCAAGCACUUCUGCAUCAGCUUGGGUCUUUUCUUUGGCCUCUGUGGGAGCUUGCAGCCCUUCAUUGCCAUGAAAUCCUCCUCCUUCUCCUUGUUAGACAAUGCAAUGAAGAACCUUGGCAACGCAGUGGUUCCCUUGUCCUCUGUUAAACCACCAAAAUCGAACCCAUUCCCCUCAAAAGGAAAUGGAGAACCCCUAGUGGAGUAAUACCGGUCCUUCUCUGGGGAGAGUGCCAUUGACUGCUUGUACUCGUUCGCUGGUGAAUCCGAUUUCCUGCUCACAUAGUAAGGUAUUUUGAGCACUGUACUAGGGCACCUGCUGGUAUUGCAGCGGGCAAUUCGAAUAAAGCCUGAAUACACUGAAUCUACCUGCGUUGAAGGGUGCUUGGGCGGCGUGGCGAACGAAAUGGUGCAAUGUCAGCUCCGAGAAGAGGCCGGGUUGCACGGGGCACAACACGUCUAAGAACUUCAGAUGGCGAGGGUGAUGGUGAGCCGUCAUCGCGCGUCUUGACACAGCGCAGCCGCUUCCGGCUUCCCCAUUGCAGGAAGAGGUUUGGCUCGCUGGGAGACCUCGAGGGCCUUGAGUCCUUCACCUCCUGAUCCAUCCGUACCCUGAAAGUGAACGCAGGUAGUUAGGUACCGAGUAGAAACUUAAGUCAAUGGAGCAACUUCGGAUCAAAGUUCCAGUGGAUUUUGGGAAGAGAGGAGGAUGGGCACUCAAAUCAAAGCAAAAUCUUGCCCCGAAAUUCAUCAAAAAAAAAAUCCUGCCCAACACACGAAGCAAGUGCCCCCUCUCCAUCCAAACACCUAGUGCCCUCUUAUCUUACCAUCACCAGCUAGAAUGAGAAAAGAAAUAGAACUCGAUCUUAUCUGAGCACAUCUGCUUUGCACAAGGACUCUAGAAGGGGGAACGGAGCAUGCACUAGAACUAGAAAGCGGAGAAAAAUACUUGUUUUAUUCCAAAACAAAUCUAAUCCUUCUCUUCAAAAGGUAUCCGCUAGCUGAUACAAGCAAAUCAGACGCCCCCAAGCAGGGGCAGACCCAAGGAUGGCAAUCUUUACACAAAAAAACGAAGUUUGCCGGUUGUAAUACAUUUGCAACUUCGAAUUGGGUCAGAUCCGAAUACCAAUAGCUUUGGGGCGCUCAGUUUCGCACAGCGGGAAGGGACGAGAUGGGGCGGACGUACCGGGUGGGUGCUCGUCGGCGGCGAAGAGCCCGGCGAAGACGGGGCAAAGGGCGGCGCCGCUCGCCCAGUCGGCGCCGCAAGGCCACGAGAGAGAGGACAGGAAGGGGCAGGCAGGCAGACUGAGAGAGAGAGCUGCACGGGAGGAAAACAAAAGAUUAGGGGUGAAGGCGCACGCGGCACGCCGCAGUCAGCGACGCGCUCGGGCCGUGUCGAAGUAGUUCUCGUUCGGCCCAAGAAGGUCCCGUUCGAAUAAAAAGAAGCCUGGCCAUAUUUGCCGUGUUGGUUGUUUGUAGCACUCGGCCCAACGUUGGAUUGGGGCCUGGUCCGUUCGAACAAAAGCCUGAUCUGACCUGUGUGCGUGGGGGGCAUCUUCCAGCGUGAUCAGAAAUCUAGGGAAUCCAACGAAGGAGAAAAAAAAAUCAACCUUCACAUAUCCUAUAAAAACCACCCGGAGAUCUAGAGAAUUUACAAAUCACAGGGCAACUCUACCAUAUAUCACCAAAAAAAAUCUGAAAUUUAACUUAUCACCUAGCACUGCUACCACAUCACCACGCACCUGUACAACAUCACUUAGAGAGACAUGUAAUUUAACAUAUCGCGCUACCAUAUCAACAAGCAAUGCAAAUAUAACACAUUCACGGCGCGCGACACCAAACAAUCAUGUUAGGCAAGGAUCAUAGCAAUGAAUUACUUGGGAGACAUCUCCCAAAAAAAACACUUGUGGCCUGUUCGCUUCAGCUUAUAAGCCGGCUGAAAAGCUGAAACGGCUGAUUUGUUGUGAGAGGAAAACACUGUUUGGUGGCUGAUAAGCCGGCUGAAUAAGCUGAAGUGAACAGGCCGUUAGUUUUUAAUGUUUCACAGGUGCAUUAAGACUAAAUCGCUAUUAUAGAUAGGCAAUGAUUAUAGAUUGUAGUAAUAUCAUGAACUGCAAAAGCAAAACAAGCCACAUGAGAUAUCUUUGCCAAUUUGAACAUUGUCAUUAAUAUGUCACUAACCUAAUAAGUGCACAUCCAGCAUGGUACCCUGAUUCCAAUUCAUCCUUCACAACAAAAAAGAAGAAGCUUAGAGCAAUGAUAGGCUGAUAUCUAUGUCACGUUAGCUAGAGAAUUUCAAAACUUGUAAAUCAACCUAGCUAGAGAAAUAUAGAAGUAAGAUUUCACGAAUUCAAAAAGUAACUGAACAAUUCAAUCAAAUCAAGUGGUGCAGUGGUAAAACUUAUAAUUAACAAUUUGGGCAGCCGCAAGACUUUACUUCGGGUCAAUGACUAUUGGGUGAAGAUGUCUCUCAAAUUUCUUUGGCCUGGCAGUGAUAGGCGUCCAAACCAAUAGACUCUCGAGAUAGGCAGCUCAACAUUUACAGAUGUAAUCCUCCAUAGGAUCCUCCUUCUCUUAGGCUUCUUAUCACUACCAUCCACCAUCAGGAUGGAAAACUUGGGCUCCAUCGCCGGCAACUGUUCUUUCUUAAGCUUCACAGCCUCCAGAGAUCUUUGGCUAGGAACUUCUUAUAAUUCCUCCACAUAUUGGUUGCAGGAUCAAAGUUCCACACAGAGAUGUUGACAUCGCCAAGUGGCUAGGAAUGAUCAAUGUACACAAACUUGAUAAAGCUGACAACAUAGGCCAUCAUCCUGGUCAUGGGAAAUGCGUCUGAUAGCUCAAACCUGGGUUUCGUCCACCUCUCGUCAGGCGACCUAUGAACCCAAAAUCCACUACUGCACCACCGUCAGCUAGGGCCAAUUGCAGUGCGCGAGUCGCUUGUGCUACCGCUGCAGCUGCCCAGCGCAACUGCUCAGCUGCAAACCCCAAACAGCUGCAACCUGAUCACUAAAGCUAAUGACUUGCACAACAAACAAAUACAGAACCAAUAGUUUGUAUAGUAAAAGAACAGUCUCACUGUUCUGGUUGUUGUAUAGCUGCAGCAAGCUGUUCCGAGCACUGCCGACAUCGGCGGCGAACAAAUCCUGAAACGACUGCUCUGGGAGGUUCCACCUUAGCACAUGCUAUCGACACUGUUCGUCCGUAGGUGCAGGCAGUGACCAACACAGACAACAUCCUCCGUGCGCCGCUCCAUUUGCUUUCAUGCCGCAAAGCACGUCAUAGUUGACUCGGAUGUACAAGGCUGAGAUGAAGUCCGGGGUGGAGUCAAUGAGGCAGGCCUAGAGGGUGAGCCCCUCCACCACCCUCUGGCCAUGCACUUUGCAGCUGGAGGACUUCUUGAUCGGGCAGUUGAUGUUCGUCCACUCCUGCUGUAGCCACACAGGUUGCACGGGAGGCCUUUUUCAUAUCACGAAGCGCUUCAACUCGAACGAGGACGACACAUAUUUUGUCAGCGCGAGCCAUAGAUGGGGGAAAUACCGGGCUGUGGCCGCAACCACGGUUUUCGCACACGCGGCGGUGGCUAUGGCUAGCGCACGAAGUUGUACGGUGUAAGAGGAUGAGGGACCCACAUGCUUCGUUGCAUGCGGGAUUCACGUGGAUCCAACAGGUGGAUGGUGGAUGUAGUGUCAAAAAACAUAUUGUGACACGCGAAUACAACUUUUUUCCCAUUUUUCCAUUUAUACUCAAGUAAAUAUCAUUUAUGCGUAUAGGUCAUGUGCAUUAGUUGUUUAACAACAUUUGCAAAAAUUAUGACAAACAUUAUACAUAUAAAUUGUAUAUAUCAUAAAGGUUGUGCUACAAAAUUUAUUGUAAGGAAAAAUACGCAUGUAAAUUGUUUGUAUAAGUUAUGACUUUUUAAAAAUGAAAAUUUGAAGUUGUCCUUUAGAAUUGCACUUGGAAGUGCUACGCAUAAGUUAUGCAUUCCAUUAAAGUUGUGCUGAAAAAUUAUCUCAUAAGAAUUUUUAAUACGAAGUUAUGUGUAUAAGUUAUGAUAUUUCAAAAAAUAAAAAGUUGUUGGAAUUUAUUUUCCGAAAACUAGAAAGUUCGAAGAAGUGUAGUGGGCUGUCGGGAAUCAAGCAGCCCUCCUGGUGAGCGCGCUCCAUUAGUGUUGGUGCUGUUAUAUAUCAGCGAACGUGAUAAAAAAAAACCCCAUAGCAUUGGUGCUGCUAUAUAUCACCGAAGGUGAUAAAAAACCCACUGUUGCCUUCAUUUUCACCCAGCAGCUUCCUCCGCCUCGGCACAAUGAGUGGCCCACUCGAGGUCAUUCUCCUCCUUCGGUCCUUCCUCCCGAUGAACACAAUACCACCGCCUUCUUCCCCCGCGCCGCCAUCCUCCUCCAUCUCCGGUGGUAGGAGAUACCGGAUCCGCUGCCCCAUCGCCCUCUCCUCCAGUUCACACUCCUCUCUUCUCAUUCGCCCCCCGCACCAACCUCCUGCACUGUCUCCGACGGCUCCUGCCGUCAGAUUCGUCGCCACCGGCCGCCAUCGCUCUAACCCGGCUCUGCCGGGGAGCUCACCGCUAUGGCCCUACCUCCUCCACCGCCCAUCGAUUGUCCUCCACCACCUGCGGCUGGCGGCACCCCGCCGCCUCGCCACCACCUCCGGCUACCUUCCACCCAAGACUUCCCCUCUACAACCGGAAGCUCACCGGCGACCCUAACACCAUAGCAACCUGAAACCGAACCCUAAGCUCCUAACCCUAGCCAUGGCCUCAGCGGCUACGGGAGGAAGACGACGGCAACAUUGCUCGGCCAUCGUGGGCCGUCGUCCGCGCCUUCAUGCGACAACUUGCAAAUUUGUCGCCUUCACCCAUUAGCAUUGCCCGUGAUCAGAACAGUUGGCCAGGAAACCAGGUAUAACCACGCGGCAGCAUAUAGCAUACAGAUACUCGAGGACCAUCCCAACCAAAACGCGUGGACGUUUCGUUAGUUCAAACAUUCCUCCGAUCGCUCUAGCCUUCAGCACUCCGCUGGCUUUGAAAAGUGAACCCAGAUCGCUGACUACGAAUUUUGACGAACCCUGGACGAGUCAUUUCUUGACGCAAAGGAAGAGGACACACGGUCAGGCAGAAAAUCCUCUAGAAGAAGUCGAGACUCGUACGGCGCGUGCCCCCGGCCGAUUCAAAAAGUUCAUCUCCGUAUGACGCAGCCGGUCCGGUCCAAACACCGAAAGCAACGAGGCCGUCAACGCUUUCCAUCACCGUCUGGGCUUCGUUCCGUCCGACCGACGCCACACCUCACGUACUCCCUCAAGUCAUCAUCUGCGUCCCAGUCUGUAUCACAUGCUCUGCUGCAGCUGAACAGCCCUGCAUACUUGGUGGAGGGGAAAGGUAGGCGACGGAACCAACGCAACCUCUGACCUCUCUUUUCGGCAAACCAUGGCGUCGUGGCUGUUGCUCCGGAGGAUCCAAUCUGCUGGCCGUCUAUCCGGCGGCCAUGGCCGGCUGCUCAGCUUCAGGGGCGGCGAGGGGCUCUGCCGUCCUCUUCCCCCGGCGGGCGAGCCAUCAGUCUGCAGCAGUGCCUACGGGCAAAUCAAGACAGACACCAGGAUCACGGUUUGUUCCUUUCCUCCCUUUCUCAAGUUCAAUUCCAGAAUCAUAGGACCUAGUUAAAUUUCGGUUUUUCAUACCUUCCAAGAAGAAAUGCGUUCAGAUAAUUUCAUCUGGACCAUUUCUGUGUCUUCUUCUUUGCGUGUAUGUAUCCAUCGUUUCUGCUGAAAAGUCUUCUGAUGCUUAUUUCAAAAAAAAAAAACGGUCUUCUGAUGCUUGCUGCUUGCGAUAUACGUGCAGAACCAUGAGCCACAUCUCGACAGGUUUUCAGAUCCCCAGGUUGCUCAUGAGGACCGUCAGUUCAUUCAGUUCUUGGACAGGAUGCUGGAUGCGAUGAGGAACCCUCAAAGUCUUGCGCUAAUACAGCGUGGGAGGCUGGCAAGUGGGCUGAAAGCAUUGGAUGAUGACAUAUGAGCCAAGUUCCCUCUGCAGACAUACAAGAGCCGAAUAAACGUGAAAAUUUGUGUUGUGUAAAAUGAUCCUGCUGUGUUUUCUGACUAACAUUGCACAAGUUUAGUGUGUUGAGACUGAUGCUGUUUAGGUUCAUUCCUAGUGGAUGAGAACAUCAACUUACUUGAAGCAAUUUCAUCUCUGAAGUGGGAACUGUUUUUCAAUAUCAAAUUGCCAAUAAUCUAUAAUAAAUUGUAGGCUUACCUUUGCUCAAAUGUUUUGGCCAACUCAACGGCCAGUAGAAGCGAAGAAUACAUCAUCUGCACUCAUACUUGUGCCUAAGCUUUCAUGUUGGCAACAUGCUAGCAACUAGCACUUCAAGCAUCCGACAACAAUUAUCACAGGCUCACAGGAAGACAUCUGAACAUGCCAAGCUUCUCUUUGAAAAUGUCGAUAUCAAAUAAUAACUUUCCACAUUUUUUUCCUUUGGUCUUUCGCAUCUUUUAAUGCUUGAGAUCAGGUAGAUAUCCCUAAUUCCUUACUGGCUGCAUUGCAUAUGAUGCUUCAGAUGACAACAAAGGGUUGGCAAAAGAAUUAUGCUAUACAAAAUAAAGUAUUAAGUUUAAUUUAAAACUCGUACCUGGAGAAACAAAAAAGAUAAAUUAUGUUAAGGGGUAAAUUGAACCAAAUUGCAUAGUUUAGGGGUAAACUGAACCAAGAAAUAGUUUAGGGGUUAUCCAGACUUUGUCUAUAGUUGAGGGAAAUAAUUUAAAUUUUUUUCCUAAGUUUAAUAAGAAAGAAAGACAUAUAAACUAGGAACUGCAGAACUUGCACAGGAAAGUGUCACCAUUGGCCACUCAUGAAUCGAAUGAGCUUGCACACUGGUAUCAAGGCACCAUAUCACAUAUCAGUGCAAAAGAAAUGUAGGGACAACACACGGACCUGUCAGCAUGCCAUGGAACAAUUUUAAUUUCCGUAUAAGUGUUUGAACAGAAGAAAGAAAAAAUAAAGAGAAAUGGAAAUUUUAUUUCCGAUGACUUCUAGGUAUAUCCUCGCCAUAAAUAGGGAUGAAAGCAGUCGGGAACAGUUGGUUUUGAUUUCGUAUUUUUAUUCAGGAACAGGAACGAAAUCGGGAAAUCUCGGUCGGGAAAACGAAAUCGGAUAUACAAGAUAUCGGAAAUGAAAUAAUUCAAUCGCAAACACAUCGAGCAAAAACUAGGUAUUUCACUCUGAUGAUCUUUUCAUCUAUGUUCUAACAGUUUGUACUGUUUAGGAGCAAGCAGAGAAAAUAGGAUUGGAGGAAUAAAAAUACAAGACGUGAGGUGCCUACAAGAUGGGUUGAUUUGGCUGACCAUGGUAAAGAAGCUGCACAGCAUAUUUGGCUGCUGACUAUGAAACCUGUCAUUUACGUUGCUAAUGUUAUGUCACAGAACAAGACAUUCAAAUGUUGCUGAACCUGAUAGCAAUCCUCGUGUCAAAGAGGUGGCUAAAGCAGCAUCUGCCGUCCUGUCUGAGACCCUACGCAUCCAACGCCGCCUUUUGCUCGAUGCAGCCACAGCCCAAGACUGCAAGUCCAACCGCAAGAACCCGCCGCCGAGUCGUCCUUUUCGUUCACCGACGGCGACAGCGCGACUGUGAUGGGCAAUUGCAAUUUGCACCCCACGGCGCGCCAGCGAGUCAGCGCCGGCCGCGUCAGGAGCGGAUUGACGCCGGCGACCCCUCCACGAAGCCGCGAACGAACCAUGCUCUCCCCAUUCGUGGACCGGUCUCCCUGCGCACUCGCCGAACGGCCCAUGGGCCAUGGCCUUGACAGACUAGGCGACAGGGAGGAGGGACUUGCGGUUGGGAGAACAUAUCCUGUGUUACCACCCAUUAGGGUGUUACCGUGUUACCAAGUCCAAAAUACAUGUCUACAGUGAUCGAAACAUUCCAAUAAAAAUAUGAAUAGAUAGCUCAUGUCAUAUUAUACCAUCAUGAAAAAUUUGAGAUGCAAAAGAAACUUAUACAAGAUGCAACAAAAAAGUGAAAUCGGCACAUGAAUAGUGCUACUUGCAACUAUUCAUCACAGACCCGCAACCCGCUACUGUUUAUGUGCCGAUUUCAUUUUUUGUUGCAUCUUGUACAAAUUUCCGUUUCAUCUCAAAUUUUGCAUGAUGGUAGAGCUAUCUAUUCAUAUUUUUGUUGGAAUUUUUCGAGUAUUGUAGACAUGUAUUUGGGAUUUGGUAACACGGUAACACCCUAAUGGGUGGUAACACAGGAUAUGUUCUCUCGCGGUUGGCACUUGGCAAUACCACUACUGUCCAAGGAUCACACACAGAUCACCACUCGAAUCAGGUCUCAUCUGCACAUCAUGGUCUGCUAGUGCCAUCCGGCCCGCUGACUGCUGGUUACUCCAACGUAAACUGAUUACUGCGGACAAAAUCAAACAAACCGAAACUCCCUCUGCACGUCAUGGUAAAAUGCUUCUACUUUGCUACAGCCUACAGCAUGGAGUCUACUAGCAAAAGGGUUCAAUCUGCCAGCAAUCUGACACACAGGCGUUGCCUUUCCAUGCUCUCUGUUUGCAUUCGCAGGACCAGGAGCCCACAUCUCCGCAGGUUUUCCGAGGGAGACAAACUCUACCACAAUAUACGAAACCAUACAAAAUGGAAAAUAGCAGAUAUACAAAAUGAAACCAUCAACUCAAAUGAAAGGGCAGAUAUAUAGACAUCAUCAGCGAAGCAUAAGAGGACUCAUCAACUUGCAAACUGAGCAUUCCCAAGUACCAUAGUUGCCACCAGCAUUCAUUAAUUUUAUCCAUAUUAAGUCGACUUGAAACUUGUUCAGCUGUGUAGACGACAUAACAUAAUAGCUAACAUUAGACUUGUUCAGAAUAUUACAUAGUAGACCAUCAUCCCCCAGAAGAUCCAGAGGUGUACUGGAUAUGGCUGCUAUCAUUCAGGGAGCGACCAAGAGUCAGUCGGUGUUGAGGGACAGCUUCAAUCUUCAGGUUGAGAUAACUACCAAUCGCCUCUCAAAGGGAAAGAGACAGAUCCACAGUCAUCUACAAUCAAAACAAUUGAUGAUUUGAGAAUUUCUGAGAUGGAACACACCAGACAUACAGAUUUAAACUAAUAGGCACCACGUAACAGUUUCAUACCACAAUAAGUUGGACGCGAUUAAACUAUAGUUUUAUAACACCCAAAUGACAGAGAAAUGGGCACUUGAAAAAACCAAUUAAGAUCGACCGGGUCUGUCCCAAUUUUUGCAUCAGUCCAAAUUAUAGAUGUGGUUCAACACUUUUUAACCCACAGAAAAUACAUAUCAUAUCUACAACCGUACCUAACAAAAAUUUUCCCCAUCACCCACCAUGGAUGGAACGUCUACCGGAACUACUUCUCUCAGGGUGGUUCUUCUUCGGCGGUUCCUGCCUUCCCUGCUUCCACCGCCACCCCCGACGACGACGACUUGGAUCUUCUCUCCCAGACACCAUCGCAUGUACUGGCGGCCCCCAACCUCUCAGCUGGGAGGGUGCACAUGGAGAACCUGGAUCUCAACUCCCAGGGUGAGGGUUUCCCCUUCCUCGACGAGUACUCAGGUUGCCUGCAGUGGGAAGGAGGUCGCGGCGACCAAGGGCUACCUCGUCUUGGACCGAGCGGAGAUGGCGGCAGAUCCGGCACAUUCUAGCCUCCUCAAUAGCUUAAACCUGAAGUAAGGGAGGAUGUUCACAAAUAGGAAUUUGAACGUGCGAACGGAAUUGCAAAAGACACCGAUAGGUAAGACCAACUCUGACACAUCGGUGUUUUAUUAUGUCCAUAUCCUUUAUUUCUUAAAAUAUAUGUUUGUAUAUUUAUAUAGUUGACAAUUCAUCCUAUCACAUAUUUACCACAAUUUUCAAAUGGAUGGCUUAUUUUAUAGUACAUAGCCAGGUGGGAUAGUUCUCUAAACGUGCACAUCUAUACGGUGAGUAAAUAUACUUUGUUGUACGUUCCUUUGUGAUUUUACAAUAUACGAUAAAUCCCAUCACACAAGAGCUUUACUUGAAGUAAAAACUCACCUUAUGUAUAGGAUGCUAUUACGAUGCGGCGUAACUUCUUCAUCGAUCUUUUGGCGCACGAAGUGAAUGCCUAGAAGACAAGACUACCUGGCAUUGUAAAACAUUAUCUUUGGCGCAUCACAGGCAAAAAAUUAGGAUAGAUGGGGGUGGUCCUUGGAUGACCUGUCGUACCAUGCUUUGUUCAAUGCCAUAGCUACGAUUAUCUAUAUUCGUACUUGUUUCCACGUGAUUAUUUUCCUGCUGAAUCCAAUGUUGAAAGUUGUUCAAGUUGCUGUUGGAGCUUGCUAGAAACGAAUACAAUGUAAAGGUGAUUAACUAUCAUAUAUCGUUUAGGAAUUGGUCACAUGAUUGUUCUUUUGCAAGUUAAGAUAAAAAAACAUCCAAGCAUACUGUCCUUAUGUUAUUACUCAUUGCAAAGUCAUUUUUUGUUUCACAUUGGAGGCAUUUCAAAGUUAUUACUCAUUCCAAGGUUGUAUGACUUAAUUAAAAUAUAGUGUUGGAAUUAGCUGAAACCUUGCAGAAACAUAAUGCAUUUGUCCAGGAAAAAAAUGCAGUUUGUAGAAGCAAAUAUUUUACACGAUAAUGUUUGAUGCUUAUAGACGAAAUUUGUUUUGCCCGCAGCAACAUACGGGCACAAUCCUAGUUAAGAUAAAAAGGAAAAACAAAGCUUAAGUUAACGAGUUGUGCCUACAUAAACUCAGAAGGUACCCUUAGUUCAUUAUCUCGCAGCCUAGUAUAGACAACAAUGUGAAGUACGAGAAUUUAUAGUAAAAUUACUGAUAUAAGUUUGAGAAUCAUACAAUUUAAGUGUACAAAAGUAUUAUUGUAUCAAGAACGUAUAUUCAGAAUCACUUGAUGUAUGCAUAGUUCCAUCUUCUUCAUCCUACUCUUAACUAUUUAGGUGCCCAGGUGUUGCAACGGCUUCUAAUUUCCUACACCCCCACAUAAUUCAUUCUUCAUAUGAUGAGAAUGUGAAUUAAAAUAUGACAUUUAUUGGUACUAGGGUUACUCUUGAUAAUACAACCAAUUUUGCAAUGACAUGAGGACCUAUGGUUAAACAAUACGCUGUAAUAGUUUUGGGAAAACAAUGGUCGAUUACCGUGGUUUGCACUUUACUAAAUCAACAACAGGUUACGUAUAGACUAAGUAGCACCUUUGUAUAUACAAAUUUGACCAGUGGCUGAAUAGUACCUGCUUCAGACAGAUAAGGGAAAAAACAACAAUACAGGUUUCAAAAUAAAAAUGGUUUCAUGUCAAACAAGAGAGAGGAAUUAAAUGGGUUAAAACGACAGAUUUAAUCAGAGAAAACAAGUCGCAAGAUUGUCCUUAACAACAAUUUUUCACACGUACAAUCCCAUCUACGCGAGCGGAGGAGACGAGCCCGCUGGGCUCUGCAGCGACGUGCGUACUGGUGCUGGUCCUCCCUCGUCGUCGCGCUGCCGUGUUCCGGUGCAGCCCCCGCCCUGCUUGCUUCUUUUCUCCUCGGUCGCCGGCGAAAAGAGGUUUGCCUCCGGUCGCCCUUGGCAGAACGCGCACUGCAUACUGCGUGGCAGGCGCCAGGCGGCCAGCCCCGACCAGCUGAUCUCUGCCUGCCUGGCCUUUGCGCAGCGCCCAUUCCCCCCUGCCCGGCUGCCCGCCCCUGGGCGGCCAAAUCUGGCCAUGUGGCCUUGCAGCGUGCGCUGUUUCGCCAGGCUAGAGACGGAGGGAGAUCAUGCUCCGAACGUUCAUGGACACGUCUAUCUACCUAGGAUUGCUGCUACAGGUUUGGUUUGAAUUGGUAUACGUGAGCGAGUCUAGCUUAGGAAUAACAGCGUACAUUUUUUUUUUAAAAAAAGAAGAAAAUAGCAACGUGCAUAUACGGUGGAUAAUGCAUAGCCAGCAUAGGGUACCUUAUCUGCGAUCGAGCCGUUUGAAGUUUUAACUGCGUAUUAUACGGAAAUAUCAGCCACGUACGUGUAAUCAGCCGUUGUCGUGUCCUGGCUACGUACGCUGCUUCGGAAGAAGGCGUCCGCUGCGGUGAUCGCGUGAGCGGCAAGGCCACGUGGCCGGGCGGGCGGUUGGCAGGGAUCAGCUGGACAGGGCUGGCCGGUGACGACGCUGCAUGCAGCAGAGGGCGCGGCAGGAUAGCGCGUCGCGCCAAGGGCGCCCAGACGCGAAUCCUGUUUUUCCGGCGACCGAGGCGAAAAGCAACCGCCCCCUCCCCUCCCUCGCCCGGCGUCCGCUUGCCAUUCCCGUCUCGUCUCUCGUGAAUGCGCGCGGCGCGGCGCGGUUGGUGGCAAAAAGCAAGCAAGGUGGCCAGGCGGGGGGGUGCGGGGUGCGAGCCGUGCUGCGUCGGUGAUCCUGCGCCGGGACGGGCCGAGCGGCACACGGCACCGCGCGCAGGCGGCGAGACGGUGGUGGCAGGAGCCCGGCCGGCCUGCUGCCCCGCUGCAGGCGACGACGCGGACCACCACGUCGCAGGUAGCGCGCGCUCUCGUCUCGUUCGCUCGCACGGUCGCCCUCGCCCUCGCGCGUGCAUGUAGCCACACGUGGCACGCGGCGACACGUACCAGAUCGAGGCGCCGUAGCCAAGAUGGGAUGGGAAGGCUUCUUCUCGAGUCUUGGAUGCGGUGUCCUCUUCCUGGCUUUUGUCCUCUUCUCCCAAGUCACGGCCAAGAGGGGAGCGAGGGUUCUACUAUAUUUAUCUCCUUUUCCCCCUUUUGUUUUCAUGAAGGAAAUUACUGCAAACUUAGGCUGUCUGAAGCCCUGAACUCCUAUUUUUUUUCUUUGUAAACCAUAGCUUAUCAUUUUGGUGCAUGUUUUGCGAUGGGUGGUCUCAAAAAUUCGAAAAAUAAAUUUGAACACCAAACGAUCGAUGUCCUUGCCACGUACACGUAGUUUGAUGAGGCUUUUCCUCCUUUUUGAAGGUGCCAGUUCCAUUGGAUCUGAAAAGCACACCUUUUACAUUGGUAAAAGAUAAAAAUUUACAAAACAGUUGCUUGUGGUAUGCUUUUGGUUAAACACAUGCGGGUUAAUUCAGACGUUGGAGUUAUGUGUUGAAGCGGUUUUGCAGGAGAGGGUCUUUUAUGCUGUGCUUGUUAGGAAGGAGUAGCACUGGUUUUGAGCUUCGUUUGUAAAAUGGUAACCCUAGUCAUGGUGUAAUACUCUUACAUUAUGGUUUCUAUGAAGCUAUAGACUGCAAAGUCUGUUACCCAAAAAGAUAAAAAUUAAAAUUACACGACUUGUUCACUCGAUAUACCAUAAAGGUGCAUGUGCAUGCACUCAACAUUAAAGAAAAAGAUCAAAACCCAUCAGAUAAACAUCUCCUGUUACUUCCUACACGGAGACAAAAAGGAAAAAAAAAAUCUGGAACGGCACAUCAUCGAUCUCUGCCUCUCUUGCAUGUUUUGGGGUUGUUCAGCUUUGCUGCCAUUUUUUUUUUGAAAAAAAAGCUUUGCUGCCAACUGGUCCACGCAGGCCAAAAGGUCCAGCACUGGCGUGGAAGAGCCGGCGAGCAUGAACGGGACCGUAGCCGCUCUUUCUUUUUUGAAAAUGCACCACGAAUCCUUGAACUAGAAAUGUCAUCCAAGUCCCUGAACUUUGAAAAUGCACAUUGAAUUUCCUAACUUGCUAAUUGGUUCACAUGAGGUCCAAAUCUUCGUAACCCGCGUUAAUCCACCUACGUGGCAUGCUGCAUGUCAGUUUUCUCUUCCUCACCUCUUCCCCCACCUCUCUGUCUUUCUCUCUCUGCAACGCUUGUUUGGCUGCCCGCGCCGCCCCCUCUUCUCCCCGAGCCGACCCCUGCCGCCUGCCGUAGCACCCCUGCACCUCGCGCCGCUCGCCGCUGGCACGGGUGCCCCGCGGCAAGGUCAAUCGGUCGCUCCCGACGGCGUGUAGGAGAACGAGGCCACAUGCGAUGCACGCGGCAGCGCGGAGGGCCCUGGGCGUCGUCCCAGUGGCCCGGGCGUGGACCACUGGUUGCCGGCCCAUGGAGGCGCUCAGCCUCGGAGGCGAGUAGCUCAACAACAUGCUGGGGAGGGACACUGGCGGCAGCGGGUGGCCCGCGGCGAAGCGGCGCGAUAGCAUGGCUGGGUUGGGCGGUGGCCGAUGGCCCGCGGCGGAGCGGUGCGAUAGCAUGGCUGGGUUGGGCGGUGACCGGUGGCCCGCGGCGUGACGGCAUGGCUGGGGGAGGGCGCUGGACGGCGGCGGCCCGCGGCGGAGCGCGCGCGAUGGCAUAGCUAGGGAGCGACGUGAUUUCAACGAGCAGGACCAUGAAUCGGAGUCGGCGCGAACGAGCUUGAUGCGACGGCAGCAAAUCGAAGUGGUCAGCGGUGGGAGAAAGACUUGGGUGAGCAUCGUGCGGCUGCCAUCCUUGCGAGCUCCACUAUUGGUGCCGGUGAGAAGGCAGAUUGCACGAGCUCGAGCGUCGCCAUCAAGGUUCUGAGGUGGAGCGCCGCCGCCGACGCCGAGGGCCUCGUGGUACCUCCGCGUCCCUCGUCGAUGCUGGGACCGGAGCAGCCUCACCCGCUGCAACCUUCCACCCCUCUGCUUUCUUACCUCCGCGCGCUAGCCCCCUCCCAUUAUCCUCCCCUUUUCUCCUCCACCUCCUCGGAAGGGCCCAUAGGGCAGCGGUGGCCGGCGGAACGGAGGCCGACGGCUGCGUACCGGAGAGGUAGAGCAGCGUGGCCAGCAGACGGCGGCAACUGGAGCCCGAGGUCGAGCGUUGUUGUCCACCGCUGCCGAGGGGCUCGAGUGCCUCCUGCCAGAGAUGCAGAUCUCGACGACGGAUAAGGAGAGAGGGGUGGGCCUGGCAUGUGGCCCAGAUGUCAAGUCCACGUCAAUGACACAGUGCCACGUGGGCAAUUUAACACAUGUUAUGUUGAUUUGGACCUGACGUGAACCAAUUAGCAAGUUCAGAAAUCUUAAUAUGCAUUGGCAAGAGAUCGUGCCAAUGUGCAUCAGAUGUAUAGUUUGGACGUGCCGGUGCCUUCCAUUGCUCUGCUCGGUUAGGGUGUUCUAGAAGUUGCUCAAACAUACACCUACACCUACAAAUUUGUUUUAAAACUCCAAAACAUCUAAAAUAUGAUUUUUGUGAUGAAUUUUGGCCCUUUUAAGAAACUGGCCUAUUUUCAUUUUAUUAUGCACCCAUUUCAACACCCAUGACUGAAGUACCCAAAUCAAUCCAAGAGAGUAAGAGAAGACCGAAGCAAGGGGAACGCAGGAGUGUGGGAGCUAUGCUGCACAGUGGCACAAGAAAAAGCCCCUCCGAGCAGCCGCAAUGUAUAACCGUGAGGGUGGUGCUAGGAAUCUGACACGUAAUGAAGUUGCCAAACUUCUCAUUCCUCUCUAGUGUAUAGUCACACAAUAUUAUAUAAAAAUUAGGUCCUGCAGAGAAUAAAAAAUUCAUCAAAUAACUUUCAUCUCUCCCCUUUCACUCACUUAGGAUAUCCGGAGUGUAGGAAUAGGGAUCCUAAGAAGCUUAGGACCGACCCUACACAUACCACAGCCGGUCCUAGGAGGGGAUCUUAAGGUCAAAAGGCAAAUACCCGGACUCAAGCCAAAGGCUCGGUCUCAAGGAAGAAAAAACUCAACGAAGGACGGUGUGGGGGCCACAGGGUGCGCAGGAGGGCGUGGCACAACUCCUGCAUGUGGACGGUUGCGCGGGUGGACGCAAUUUUUUUAUCCUGAAGCGGGACCCACUCCUAAAGACCGGUUCGGUCAUAUACAUAGCAGGCCCGAUCUCAUCCCACCGUGGGGCCUAACAUUAGGACCGGUUGGAUCCUGUACACAUCGAAUGUCCUUACCCCACCACCUCACUCAGAGCACCCUCCUUCCUAACGUGAAGCGUCGUGAGAAUCUUUUUUUUUCUCUCUCCUCGGAGCACCCCCAGAUCCCAACGCUGGAGCUGCUCUCGUGAACGUGCGCUCCAACUAAAACAUCCAUGAGCAGGAUAGGAUCGGAAGCGCAAGGUGUCCAUGUACUGCUGAAACGUUCCCCACAUAGCCAAGUACAAAACAGGGAACACAAGAAAAGAAGAAAACUGGAUCUUGAAAACAGUACAAAAGCAACAACCAAACGGGAGGAGGCCAACACACACAACAUGCUUGGACCUGGUGCGCGAAGAACGGACCGUGGGUGGCAGGUUUCGUUGAAGUUAACAUACCAGUCCCUCUUAUAGAAUAUAGAUUCAAAAUGCGCCAAACCAAUCCUUAAGUUUUAGUUACACUAGUUCUUUUGUCCUUAAUUCUUAGACCAUGCAGCACCUCUUUAGAGUUGUUUUUGAAGCCAGACCAAAUGGCCGACCGGGGCAGUGCAGGGUCAGGGUGGCAGAGGUCAGGGGCUUGCUGAUUCGUCUCUCUUGCUGGUAGCAGUAGAGGGCGAAGGCGGAGAAUAGGGGAGAGAAACCACCCCACUCGUGCAUCAUGAGUUCAUGACUCGUGGGCGUAGGCGGCCCACUUGUCACACGGCCAGAACUACUCCAUCACCGCCAAACAAGAGAUUUGUCUCGGGGAAUUUCUCAUACCAUGAGCUCUUCCUUAUCAUCGUGAUUCGUGAAGCUUUCCCUGUCCGGCUCGCUUCGCUGCUCAGACGACCGUGUAGGAUUUGUCACUCCACCGAAGAAGUCGGAACGGAGGUCUACCGAAAAGAGGCCGAAGUAUCAUCUCCUCCUGCAAAAACCCGUCUCACAGUUUUUUUAUAAAAAAACACCUCCUUUUUAUUAUUCGAUUCGAUGCCGGUAGAUCCCUUGCGACACUGCAUGGGCGCGCAGCCAGGAGCCAACACACUACACACCGCAUAACUCGCCGUCGCCGCCUGGUCGUUGCCGUGCUGUACGGGGCCCGCCGGAGACGGCGACGGGCCGGCUCGGCAUCGGCAGGCCGCGUGCCCACCCUUGCGCAGGCCAAGUACGUGACCCCACAGCGAUAUCCACCUGACAACUCCACGUACAUGUCGGGGCCCAGCUCGAUCCCCCGCGCCGGGGUUGGACGAGGUGACCGAGGACGAUCGCGCCGGGUGCGGUGCACGUCCUGACGACUUGCAGGCUGCAGCUGCUGUGGUCCGGGCCCGCGGAGAACACCGUGACUGCUCUGGUGGAAGCGGCACGCGAGGACGCACGUCCCGAUGAGCCGGGUCUGCCGCACUGCUGGGUGGCUGGCUCUGGCUGGCGCCGCUGGGCUGGGCGCAGUUCGGUCCACGGAGUACUUGGCCAGCAAAAUAGAGUAGGCGUUUUGUUAGUUCGAAACAUUCCUCUAAUCGCUCUAUCCUUCAGCUCUCCUCUGGCUGAGCCAAAACAAAGAUUCGUAACUUCGAAUUUGACAAACCGUGGACGAAUUCUUCUUCAUGCAAAGGAAAGGUGCACGGUCAGGGAGAAGUCUUCUAUACAAGUCACUCACAUGUACUACUCUAUUGUAGGCGCGUGCCGCAGCCGAUUCAAAUUCAACUCUUUAUCUUUCUAAAAAAAGGGGAAAAAAUUCAACUACGUAUGGCGCAGCUGCCCACAGUCCAAACUCCAGACCUCCAAAUACCGAAAAAGCGACGAGGUGGUCAACGCUUUUCCAUGACCAACGCCACACCUAGCGUAAACCCUCAAGUCAGCCAUCUCCGUCUCCGUCUGUAUAACAUGCUCUGCUGCAGCUGAACAGCCCUGCAUACUUGGGCGGAGGGGAAAGGUAGGCGACGGAACCAACGCAAUCUCUGACCUCUCUUUUCGGCAAACCAUGGCGUCGCGGCUGUUGCUCCAGAGGAUCCAGUCGGCUGGCAGUCUGUCCGGCGGCCAUGGCCGGCGGCAGCUGCUCAGCUUCAGCUGCGGCGAGGGGCUCUGCAGUCCUCUUCCACCGGCCGGUGAUCGAUCGGUCUGCAGCAGUGCCUACGGGCAAAUCAAGAUGGACACCAGGAUCACGGUUUGUUCCUUUUUCUCCCUUUCUCAAGUUCAAUUCCAGAAUCAUAGCACCUAGUUAAAUUUCGGUUUUGCAUACCUUCCAACAAGAAAUGCGUUCAGAUAAUUUCAUCUGGACCCAUUUCUGUGUUGAUACCUUUUCUGUCCCCUUCUUUGCGUGUAUGUAUCCAUCGUUUCUGCUGAAAAGUCUUCUGAGCUUGCUGCUUGCGAUAUACGUGCAGGACCACGAGCCACAUCUCGACAGGUUUUCAGAUCCCCAGGUUGCUCAGGAGGACCGUCAGUUCAUUCAGUUCUUGGACAGGAUGCUGGAUGCAAUAAAGAAUCCUCAAAGUCUUGCACGAAUUCAACGUGGGAAGCUUGCAAAUGGGCUGGAAGCUUUGGAUGAUGACAUAUGAAAGUUCCAUCUGCAGAAAUACAAGAGCUGAAUAAAUGUGAAAAGUUGUGUUGUAUAAAGUGACCCUGCUGUGUCUUGAGACUAACAAUGCACAACCUUAGUGUGUGAGACUGAUAUUGUUGGCAUAUACCUACUUGAAGUAAUUCCAUUUCUUUGAAGUGCUUUUGAAUAUCAAAUUGCAAAUAAUUUAAUACUGAACUACGGUUCGCUAAUAAAUUGCAGGCUUACCUUUCCUCAAAUGAUUUGGCCAAUUCAAUAGCCAGUAGAAGCUGAAUAGUACAGUAUCUGCCUUCAUACUUGUGCCCAAACUUUCAUAAUGCUUGCAAGUAGCAACUGAAGCAAAUGAUGGUGAUUAUCACAGCCUCUCAGGAAGACAUCUGAACAUGCGAAGCUUCUCCUUGAAAAUCUCAAUAUCAAACAAAAAACUUUCCUCAAAUUUUCCUUUGGUUUUCUGCAUCUUUUAAGGCUUGAGAAUGGCAUAUAUCCCUACAGGUUGCAGGACGUAUGUUGCUUCGGAUAACGAGAAAGGAUUGGCAAAAAAAUUGCACAAUAGAGAAUAAAGUACUGUAUAUUCACUGGAGAAGCAUACAAGCUAAACUGCAGAACUUGGCACAGAAAACUGUCACCGUUACUCAUGAAUCCAAUGAGCUUGUAAACUGGUAUCAAGGCACCAUAUCAGGGCAAAGGGAAUGUAGGGACAACGUGGACCUGUCAGCAUGCCAUGGAAUCAUUUUUAUUUCUGUAGAAGCAUUUGAACAGAAGAAAGAAAAAAGGAAUGCAAAUUUUAUUGCUGACAACUUCCAGUUAUAUCCUUGCCACAAAUGAGAAUGGCAAAGUUCAGACAAUUAUCACAUGUUAAUAUUGAGAAGUUUUAUUGCUGAUGACUUCCAGUUCUAUCAUGGAAAGUUAUUGGCAAAGUUCAGACAAUUAACUAGCAUGCAAAUUUUAAUGCAAAGUUUUGUUUAAAGUUAUUAGCAACCAAAAAGGAGGCCUGGAACACCUUUAUCAAGUCUGAGACUGAGCGUAUCCAUUAUCUAGCAUGCAAAGUUACAAAAAGGUUAACUUAUACUCACCACUUCUGAAAAUGUAAACUGCAGGCAGCUCUCUGUAUCACAAAGUGUCCUUCCUUGAUUUUCCAUAGAAGAGCAUAUCAGUGCCACAGGGACAAAUCAAAUUGUCAAAACCUACGAUGCUCAAAUUUUUUUUUGUCAAAACCUAAAAAAAAUAAUGACAUAAGAACAAAACAAGUUGCAUAGAGAAAACUGAGGUUAUAAAUGGACAUAUCUUGCCAGUAUGAUAGAACCUGCAAUUCCAGAUAACACAACAGCACAACAAAGUAGAUUAAUGCCUUUAAAAUGGCAUAGCUCUAGUUCAAUGACAGAAAAUGGUACUAAAAAAUAGCAUCGAGGGACUAUAUCUACCAGAAUGACAUCCCUAUAGCUAGUUUUAUACCACUCGACGGGAAAAACGUAAGAAGCUGCAGUUUUAUCAAUUUUCUAUAAUAAUUACUAAAUGUGAAACAUAAGAUGUUGCCAUUUUGUUCACAUGCUAGAAUAAUUACAUAACUUUGAUGGCUCAAUGGUAUCCAUUAUUCCAGUGUCUGAUUAAAUUGAAGUUUGUGCGUGGAUAUGCAGAAAGGCAGGAAUAGGAUUUCACAGCUGGCAAAACAGUAGCACUGCAGUCAAGACAAGUAUUUUCAUUACGUUAAACAAAGAAUGAAGGUGCAUAACAAAUCCAAAAAAAAAAUUCUGGAACUAUCAAAGCUGACCUGUGUGCUGUUAUUUGGGUGCAUGGGGUGACAUAGCUCUGGUCUCGGAACAUAGCCUUCCUCUCUUAGUUCUUGAAGAAGGCUCUUCAAGGACAUGUAGAUAUCUUCAGAAUCAGGGUGGCUUUUAUCUGCUGCAACAAAUAAAUGGCUGCUGUUAUUAACAUCUACCCAGCUGUAUCCAGGUAUCUUCUGGACUUUAUUAUCCUUCAUCAGUCUUCUAACUUUUGAUACACCAUCCCAUCGUCCAGCAACUGCAUUGAUAUUGGACAUGAGGACAUAGUAACCAGAAUUACCAGGAUCCAACUUGAAUAGUUCUUGGGAAGCUAUGUCGGCAAGCUCAACAUUGCGAUGCACGCGGCAAGCAUGGAGAAGGGCACCCCAAAUGCCAGCAUCUGGCUUAAAAGGCAUAUCAGCAAUAAAUUCUAUAGCUUGAUCUAACUUCCCAGAACGACUGUAUAGGUCAACCAUGCAAGCAAAAUGCUCCAUUCGUGGUGCAAUUUGAUAUUCCUUAGUCAUGCAUUGAAAAAGUCGAACUCCUUCUUCAACCUGCCCAGCGUGAGCACAGGCAGAUAUCAAAGUGAGGAAUGUUACAUGAUCCGGCUUGAACCCUUCCUCUUGCAUACGAUACAAUAAACUCACUGACUCUUUAAGAAGACCAUGAGCUCCAUAGGCAGCAAUUAUACUGUUCCAUGACACUUCAUUCUUAUCAGGCAUGGAUUCAAAAACACGAAGAGCCAGAUCCAAGUUCCCACAUUUGCCAUACAUGUCUAUCAGAGCACUCUCAGCGAAUAUGUCUGCCCUUAUAGGACCCUUUAUGAUAACACCAUGAAUCUCUUUUCCAUAAUAUAUAGCUGGUAAACUCGCGCAUGCUGAUAGGGCAGAAGAUAUAGUUACACUAUUGUACUUUAUUCCUUCCAUACUCAUUUGACGGAAAAGGUCAAGAGCUUCUUCUGGUUCUCCAUUCUGUGCACAGCUUGAAAUCAUUGAGUUCCAUGUCACCUCAUCCUUCACAGACAUCUUGGAAAAGAUAUAAUGGCUAAGGUCCAGUCUGCCACAUUUUGAAUACAUGUCCAUUAGUGCACUCUCAACAUAACAUUUUCCUUCAUAAGCAUUUCUUAGAACAUAACCAUGGAUCUCCUGACCAAGAGCCAUAGCAGCCAUGCUAGCACAUGCUGGUAAGACACUAGUUACAGUAACAGCAUUUGGUUUGAUGCACUGUUCUAACAAGUACCGGAACAUUUGCAGUGCCUCUUCAAUCAUCCCAUUAAGAACAUAACCUGAUAUCAUUGUACUGCCAAUAACCACAUCAAUAGCCCAAGCUGCAUCAUAUACAUUCUGUGCCAUCUUCACAUCCCUGCACUUGAAAUAGAUGUCUACCAAAGCACUCACCAAAAAGACAUCCAUGUGCACAUAGUUCCUGAUAAUAUAACCAUGUACCUCCUUCCCCUGCUUGAAACCAUUCAAGUCAGUCAAAGCCGGUAACAAACUGACCAGCGUAACUGAAUCUGGUCGAACACCACUCCUCUGCAUAUCACAGAACAAUCCCAAUGCCUCAUCAAGAAGCCCAUUUUGGACACAUCCUGAGAUCAUCCCGUUCCAGGUUACCAAGUCAUCCCGUGGAAUCAGGUCAAACAAUCUCCAGGCAUCAUCCAAGCACCGGCAUUUGGCAUACAUCGAUAGCAAUGUGUUAGCCACAGCCACCACCGGCUCUAAACCACAUUUCACUGCCAGAGAGUGAAGCUGCACCCCAGACAGCAAAUCAGCCUCUGCGGCACACAAAGACAGAAAGCAUGCCAGUGUCGCGAAAUUGGGCUCACAACCGGAUGCCCUCAUGUCCCGGAAUAAACGCACCGCCCCAUCCACAUCUCCAGCCUUUAUGCAUCCGUCCAUCAUCACGUUCCAAAGCACGCAGUCCCGCUCCGCCAUUCCGUCGAACACCUCGCGCGCGUCUCGGAGGAGGCCAGCGUCAGCGUACAUCUUGAUGAGCGCGCUCCCAACGUACACGUCGCGGCCGAGCCCGAUCCCCCGUGCCGUGCGGUGCACGAGGCGGCCGAGGACGACCGCGCCGAGCGCGGCGCAGGACUUGACGACGUAGGGGAGGGUGUGCUCGUCCGGGCGCGGCGCGGCGGGGUGACUCCACAUCUUGAGGUAGAACAGAACGGCAAGGCGGUGCUGGCCGUCCGCCGUGAACCCGCGGAUGAGCCAGUUCCAGGGCCGCGCGGACGCGGCGGCGCCGCGCGGGAGCGCGGAGAACACCGCGACGGCGUCGCGGAACCGGCGCGCAAGCACGUACAUGCCGAUGAGCCGGGUCUGGAGCGCCGGGUGGGAGGCGAGGGCGCCCGACGCGACGGCGCGCGCGUGGAUUUGGAGGCCUAAAGGGAGGUGGGACGCGGAGACGCAGCCGCGCAGGAGCGCCAGCAAGCGGUCCGCGGAGGGGGCGUUCGCGACGGCCGCCGCGGUGGAGAAGGUAGUGGAGGCGGAGCGGCAUGGCCGCGGCGGAGGCUUGAGGCGGCGGUGAGCGAGGCGCAUGGCGACGCCGACGGGGCGUCGAGGGCUCGAGGCCGUCGCCGUCGAGGAGGGGGAUGGCGAGGCGGCGAACUGACCCAGCGUGCUGCGGUUUGAUUCGAGCUCUCGUGGCUUCAGUUCCCGCACGUGCCCUUGGAACCCCCUCACGCGCCGCUCACGUGACAUCCAUUAUCCAUCUCGCAGCUCUCGUCUCUGGCAACCGUUCGCCCCGGUCGCCUUCCCGCGCCGCUCACGCACUCCUCCCGGCGCGCCCAUGACGACGGUGUCGCGCGCGCUCGGCUCCGCGUUCGCGGGCUUCACGCGGACCCCUGUCGCGGCGCCGGCCGCGACGACCCUGCACUCCCCGUGCGGCUCGUCGGCGCUGCUCCGACACUGGCAGUGGAGCCGGGCCAGCCGCGCCCGGCGGUUCUCGUCCGGCCGCGCGGCACGGAUUAGCAUGAGCCUCCGUGCAGGAAUUGUCGGGCUGCCCAACGUCGGCAAGUCCACCCUCUUCAACGCCAUUGUGAGUAACCAAGCCUGCUUGUUUCGCUGCUUCCUGAGGAGGAAUUCAUGUUGUAAAGAACAUUUAUUAGCCAGAGAUUGCUAGAGGGCAGAGAAUUGGAUAUCGGUUUUUCUUCUCUCGAUAUGUUCUUUCGGAUUCGUGCGCUGGCUUUGUAUAGGGUGGAAUGUACUAGCAUGCAUGUUGGGUGGACGUCGAUGAACGCCAACUGUUCGACGUUUUGCCACAUAGAUGUUGUUGUCGAAAGGUUGACACUGUAGGCAUGUUUAAUUUGUAAGAGUGAAUAUAUUUCACGAUUUCUCUGUUGUUUUGCUGCCGCAUAAGUUACAUUCCUGACUGCUUGCAUAAGAUGUUUCAGAUGGAGAAAUGUGUGACAUGGAUAGGAUAGGUCAUUCUCUGUAAUAAUGAAAUGCUAAUUCUGUUCUCAAUGUUGUUAGGUCGAAAAUGGGAAGGCGCAAGCCGCAAACUUUCCCUUUUGCACCAUCAGCCCAAAUGUUGGUGUGGUGGCUAUCCCUGAUCCUCGCUUGCAGGUGCUCUCAAAAUUAAGCAAGUCACAGCAGACGGUCCCAACAUCCAUAGAGCUUGUGGACAUUGCAGGUCUUGUCAAAGGAGCAAGCAAAGGAGAGGUACUAUUUUCGCCAUUCUCUUCAAUUUACCUGCAGGACAGCUCCAACUCCGCUGGCCAAAGUUUAUAUGGUUGCUGAAUGCUGGUUAGUUUAUACGUGAUGGUGUUAAUUUAUUGUUGACAUCAGGGACUAGGAAAUCAAUUUCUUUCAAACAUCCGUGAAGUAGAUUCCAUACUUCAGGUGAGUUCUUGUUGUACUUACAUUUGUUUGUCAAGUUCUAAUGUUUGUUAAUUAUUCUGUGCCACUCUGCUGGCGAUAUGUGAACUAAAAUUGCAGCCACUUCGUUAUCCAGCACUCCCGCUCACUUCUGAGGCAGAGGCUCACUAUUAUAUUUGUUUGUUUGUUGGAGAUUGCAAAACACUAGGAUAUUAAUUACCAAGGCUCUAGGAAUAACUAUUCAUUGUGACUGGAUCCUCAGGUUGUGCGAUGCUUUGAGGAUGAUGAUAUUGUUCAUGUCAAUGGCAAAGUUGAUCCCAGGUCAGACAUUGAUGUUAUUAACCUAGAGCUGAUAUUUUCAGAUCUUGAACAGGUAAUUUGGUGACACAAUCUCCAUUUCUAUUGCUAUCUAUGCCCCUGACCAACUGCUGACAGUUUUGUGAUAACUGCAGAUAGAGAAGAGGUUAGAUAAGCUCAAAAAGAGCAAAACUAAAGAUGCACAAGUAAAAGUGAAGGUAAUACAUACAUAUUAUUUUGUUGUUGAUGACCUUUUCAUCUAUGUACUAACAGUUUGCACUUUAGGAACAAGCAGAGAAAACAGGGCUGGAGAAAAUACAGGAGGCACUUAUGGAUGGAAAGCCUGCAAGAUCGGUUGAUUUGGCUGACCAUGAGAAAGAAGCUAUACAACAUCUUUGUCUGCUGACUAUGAAACCUGUCAUUUACGUUGCUAAUGUCACAGAAUCAGAUCUUGCUGAACCUGAUAGCAAUCCUCAUGUCAAAGAGGUGGCUAAAGCAGCAUCAGACCUGGAAUCUGGCAUCGUUACGAUAUCAGCUCAGGUUUGUUGUAUGCAUCUAAACUACAAGAAGCUUUUGAAGAAAUGCCUGUGAAAUUACUUUUUUUUUCCUCCCAAACGAUGUUGCCUAUCUGUAUAUACUCAAACUACGCUAAACAUAUCAUGGAAUGCAUAACAGGUUGAAGCUGAACUGGCUGAGCUACCUUUGGAAGAGAGAGUAGAAUAUCUAAAAUCUCUUGGUGUUGCUGAAAGCGGACUAGGCAAUUUGGUAAAAGCGACAUAUGACCUAUUGGGACUAAGAACUUAUUUCACAACCGGAGAUAAGGUGCAUCUUCUGUCCUGUUAAAGGUUCUUUUCCCCUGGCCGUCAACACAAAACUUUUAACUGUGUAUAUUUUUAUCAGGAAACGAAAGCUUGGACUAUUCUUUCAGGUUUCAUUCUUCUUCUUUAAAAUUCUUCAUUGUAACAAUUGCAAGGAUUGUAGGAAACUAGGAAUUAUUAUAACUGCAUGUAAUCUUACCUGUAGGCAUGACUGCGCCUCAAGCAGCUGGAGUUAUUCACAGUGACUUUCAGAAAGGAUUUAUUAGAGCUGAAACUGUAAGUGGUGUACAAAGUUUUAAAGAAUUUAAUGACCAAAUUUCAGUUUGCAUGUUAUGAUCUAUCACAGUUACAAUUGCUGAUACUUCAUCUAUUUGCUAACUUUACAAUGAUUACUUUCCGAACCUCAGGUAUCCUAUGAUGAUUUCGUUGCGGCGGGUUCACUCGGAGCAGCAAGGGAGAAAGGGCUGGUAAACAAAUUUGCGUUGCUACACCUUACAUUCUUGAGAUUUGAAGCGUGUAGUUGAAUAUACGUUUAUUUCUUGUUUAAUCUGUCAAAUGUGACUGCAGUUGAGGUUGGAAGGGAAGGAUUAUGUUGUGCAAGAAGGCGAUGUCAUGCUUUUCAGAUUCAACGUGUGACAGCAAUAGUAGCACAAAGCUUCAAAAUACCGGGACUAUGUACAAGGCAGAUUGCAGAAUACAAUUUUCCCAUACUAUGACAAAUUUUUUUGGCCUUAUGACACGACUAUUCAUGUACCGGCAUUGUUCCUUUUCUUAUGAGGGGGGAAAAUACCAUGAUUCACUGUUAAAGUAUCAUUCGCCACAUUUUGAGAAAUAUACCAUGCAAUGCAAGAGUUCUUCAGUGUAACUUCUCUAAGAAUCCCUAUUGUGUCCUUAAGGAUCACUCCAGACAUGAAACUUCUCGUUUUUCUUAAUAAAAGCAUGCGGAAUGUUGUAUGCUUGUGACAAAUCUCAUGUCAGUACUUUAUUCAAAUAAUGCUUGAAGUUCUGCGAGGAGUAUAUAUUGCAAGAUACUACUUCUAUUUCAAAUUGUAGGUCGUUUUGGUUUUUCUAGAUGCAUGAUUUUUUGCUAUGUAUCUAGAUAUAACGUUAAAGACAAAACGACCUGCAAUUUGAAACAUAUUUACUCUGUUGCAAUUUGAAACGGAGGGAGUAUUAAGUAGUGACAAUAUGGAUGGAUUCUAAAGAUGAGCUCUUAAUUGUCUUCGGUCGCUGGCUCGCUGCAAUGGCAUUUGGCCUCUAGAAACUUCUCUGUUUUUAGAAAACUUACUGGUUCAUUUAAGAAGAAAGAUGUUUAGGAGUACAAUAGGUACGAUAUCACAUAAAUAAAAGUUCUCUUAACUCUAACAUUAAUGAAUAAAAGUUCUCUUAACUCUAACAUUAAUGAAUAAAAGUUCUCUUAACUCUAACAUUAAUGAUAACAUGGAUACACUAACCCAAUUCAGGGUUCCCACAUGCUCUCUUGCGCCAACUGAUGUCCUCCUGAAUCAUGUCAAAGACUUGGUUAGGCCGCAUACUUCUUCCUUCGAAAACCCACCGGUUUCUCUCCUUCCAUAUAUUCCAAGCUGUGAAAAUGAGAUAAGCUACCACUGAAUCUCCCUUGCUUCUUGUUGAAUGGUGACAAGGAUCGCUUCCACAAGUCCUCAACAUCCACCAAGUCAUCUUCCGGUAUUUUGAUCAGACCUCCAGUCCAGUUGCUGAAACUACACUGCAAGCACAAGUGUAUUGCCGUCUCAGCCUCCUGAUCACAUAAUGCACAUCGGAUCUCACAUUGCCAAUUUCUAGCAAUCAUCUUGUCAGCGGUUAGGAUUUUGCUUUGAACUAGUAGCCACGUAAAAAACUUAUGCUUGCCCUCCGCAUGAGCCUGCCAAAUUACCUCCCCAUCAAAUGUGCCGUAAGUUCCAUUCAGCUGUCCCAUGUAUGCUGUUCUUAAAGUGUAAGAGCCAUCUGCAGUCCAUCUCCAUUUAAUCUGAUCCUCUGUUCAUUUAGAUGCACAUUCUAUAACAGAUCCCAUAAAGUGAAGAACUCCGCCAUUUGCUGUACUGUAUUCAUACGUCAAAGCCCUCUAGUUCAGUUGUGAUCAGUUAUGUCUUAUCUGACAAUUUUAUUCUUUAUCCAUGCAAGCUUGUACAAGCUUGGUGCUAUAUCUCUCGGUGCUCAACCAUCUAUCCAUGAACAUUGCUAGAACUUUAUUUGGUUUCCAUUGUCCAAAGUUACAUUUGUACUUGCCCUGAACAACUGUUUAUCAAUCUCAUCACAAGGGGUGUUUGUUCCAACCCACAGCAUGUUAGUGUCUGUCCAUUCAUACCAUAAUCAGCGCAAUCGAAGAGAUCUACUGAAUAUGUGCUGGUCAAAGAUGUCGAGUCCUCCUAGUUCCUUUGGCAAAGUUGCCUUUUGCCAUUUCACCAAACAGUGACCUCCACUGGCCUGCUCUAACCUUUCCACAUAAAGUUCAUCCUGAUCUUGUCAAUCUUUUUUAGGGCUCAUUUCUUUAGUGCAAAAACUGUGAUGAAGUAGAUUGGCAUCGAAGUUAACACUGAUCUGACCAGUGUGAGUCUUCCUGCUUUAUCCAACAAUUUUCCUUUCCAUGCAGGCAGCUUGGCUGCAACUCUAUCAAUUAAUGGCUGCACUUCCACUCUCUUCAAUUUUCUCAAACUAAGUGGCAAUCCCAGGUAUUGACAGGAAAGCUCUUUACUUGACAUGGAAAGCUCUGCAAUAUGUUAACUACAUCUAUGUUUUCACAUCAAAUCGAGUAAGCAGCACUUUUAUCCAAGUUUAUUUGUAGCCCUGACACUCAUCCAAAAGCAUCAAAAAUUUCUCUUAUGUUCUCAAUUUAUUCCUUCGCUAGAUUUACAAACACCGCAACAACAUCUACAUAUAGGCUUAUUCUGAUCUUAGCCGCUCUAUUUUGAAUAGGUGACAAUGUAGAUCAAAGCGAUCCCUUGCUCUCUCUCUAGAUCAAAGCGAUUCAGAGGAGGUGCCUGAAAGCGCCCACGGCCUCUAGCGCCACCACUACCUCUCGACGGUGAUCUAUCCCUACGUCCUCCAAGACGUUCUUGCACGGGGACACGUCUUCUAACUGAACCAUCAGGGACACCAUAAUGCCACACAAAUCUGUGUUUAACUGGCCAUUCCACCUCCAACUUAUCAUCAGGUUACCCGCUAAUGUUACUCUCACAGCUCUUGUAAGAUGGACUACUAGGCAAAGGUGAAUAGUCAAGCACUCGAUCUAAAUGAAUGGUAAUAGCAUAAUCAAGCAUCUCAACUGGCCCAUUUCUAAUGCAAGGCAUUUCAAGGUUACCCAAAUGCAUGUAGAACUCCUCUGGGGCAGUGAAAGGCUCUUCAAUUUGCAUAGUUGUUGUCUUUGCUAACCCAUUAGGAUUUGCAGUCCACACCCACAAAGCAAUCUUUUUCUUGUUUAGUUUGAUUCUCAUUGUCAAUCUCGUCUAUGAAGGAUGGGGCACUAAACAGCUGGGCUACCGACUCAAUUUGUUGUGCAUGCUUUGGCACUCCCUCAAUGCAAACCUAGCCCGGUACAGGACCUUGGAUGUUGAUGCACUAACCUGUCGAGUCCAAGGCAUGAGUCGUAGUGUUGUCUGCCCGACGGCGAGGCCCCCCCAGCUCGAGCACCAUAUUCCGCUGCUCCGGGGUGGAGAAACACAACAUGAACAUUGAGGGAGCCAGCCGCUUCACCCCCAUCUCAUACUCCGGGAUGCGAAGCUGCUGUAGAGCAUCCCGGUGUACAAUGUCAGUGGAGAUCCGAGCUCUCACGUCAACGAGGACGCAAAUGAGCGCAAUCAGCAGCAACAUCCUCUCCUCGUUGCACACCGUGCUAGAGCGCGGCGCACAUACCGUGAUGUGAUCCGGCCUGUUGCUCGCCUCCCCCAGGAUGAGCUCGGGGAAGCCGUACUCCAUUGGAGCCUUCUUGGAGGCAACCCUCUUCUCAAGAGGCGCUUUUUGCAGCUGUGACGAGGGCAUGGACGAUGAAGGUGACUUGGUGGAAGCUGCAGCAGCUAGAGACUUGGUAGUGAGAGUUGCUGUAGUGGAUGCGGAGCGGCAGUGGUGAGCUUUGUGGCCAGAGUGCGAGCACAGGAUGCACCUAGGGGGAUCCCUGCACUUAGCGAUGCAGUGGUCAGGAUCCAAGCAAUUGAAACACCAUCGCCCCGCCUUGGCCCUGAGGAGUUCUAGCCACUGUCCUUCUUGAAUGACCCUUGGUCCAAGACGCUUAGGGACGGAAGGCACUCUUGCACCCAACCUGUCAUGAAUGCUUCUUUGCCUUGCUCCGAGCCUAGACCAGACAGUAGCUGUGGUCCGGUGCGGCGCCUGUCUCUUCAUCUCAGAAUGCCAUACCUACUCACCAUGAUGUGACUUGUCCUUGGGGGACCUUGGCUUGAAGGUUUUUGCUUCAAAAGCGUAUCCUUGUAGGAGACCUUGUGAGAUGUAGGCUUUACAAAGAUGUAGGGAAUCCUGCGUUGUGCGCCAUCAGCUUUCUGUCCUCCGUCCUUGUCCCGAGAAUCUUUCUCCUUCCUUUCUGCCACUUUCUGGUCUUGUGCUGUCUUCAAUGCUGUAUCAUUGAUGUGACGAGAGCACGGGCUCUCCUCGUCGGAGUCAAAGCAGUAAUGGAGGUCGAGAGCCUCAUUCAUAAGGUGUGCUAAGGUAAGGGAGUUCUGGUUGGUGGGCGUAGCGAAGGUCUAGUUGAGAUGAUUGGUCACCAACGACGAGGCGUGCUCAGUGGUGAUUGGGACUGGUUUGUGGUUAUGGUAGAACGUCGCCGGCGAGGAGCCAGGUGGGGGAGGGGGAGCUCAGCGGAACCCAUCCCGCCACAGCCGUCAAACUGCUCUGUGCAAAAUCAUCUAUCCUCAAGGCCUUUGAGUACUGCAGAUGCAGCUGCUGAAACAGCCACCGCAAUCUGUACCGAACACUACAAAUGCACAUCACAGAAGAAAAAGCCGGCGCUGCGUACGGCAGAGCGCGGAUGUACAUAUGCUAAAAGGCCCCUGCAAAAACUGGACAGCAGAUUUGGACCCUCUUUCCCUUCUCCAGCACGCGCGCAAGCAGCUCUCACUUGGCCGCCACCGCCGCCGGAGAGAUGGAUUCCCGCGGAUUCGAUUCAGCCGGCCGCGUCUUCUCCAACGCCACAGAGAUGUGGGUGGAAGAGCUCGGCUCCACCGCCACCGCCACGACCUCCGCCGCCGCGGAAGCUGAAGCUGCCCCGACCACCGCCGCCGCCGCAGGCAACGGUGACGCCGGGGAGGAAGCGAGCGGCGACGGGAAGCGCAAGGAGUGGUACUCCAAGGCUAUCGCCUACUGGCAAGUAAAGCACCCGACUCUUCCUCCUCCCAGAGAGGCCCUGAACCCUAAACCCCCAAUACAAGUGUGCGCUCAUCGCUGCAAAUUUAGCUUAGAAUUUUAUCGAAAUGGUUCCUAGGGCGUGGAGGCGUCGACGGAGGGGGUCCUGGGAGGUUACGGGUGCGUGAACGACGCGGACGUCAAGGGCAGCGACGCCUUCCUCCGCCCUCUCCUCGCCGAGCGGUUCGGCACCGCGAAGCGUCAUCUCGUUGCCCUUGGUGAGUUUAUUACUUACAGCAUGUAGGCUUUGACUAGUGUCGGUAAAGUUUGUUUCUGUGCGAGUUUUGUUGUAUUGAUUUUGAUUCCAAUCUGUGAAAGUUGCCGUGCAAUGUUCAGUUUAUAGAAUCCUUAUGUGCAGUCUGUAAUGUUCUAUGUCAUUUUUCAAACUGUGGCAGAUUGUGGCUCGGGUAUUGGACGCGUUACAAAGAAUUUUCUUCUUAGGCAUUUCAAUGAGGUAUGCAAUUUAUCUUCUCUCAGGUGGUUUGAGGUUAUGCUUUAAUCCUGAAGACUGGCACCUUGUAGCUGUAGGCAUACCAUACCAUGGCACCGGCAAGAAACAACAUACUUCCAUUCUUCUCCUGUAUACACAAUUGAAUUGUUAUUCUAUGUUUUAUCUGUAAUAUUUGCUCUGUGCCUUAUCUGUAUGUUUUGGCCCUUUCUGAAAAUCUGGAAUUUGCCCAUCCAGGUUGAUCUUGUCGAGCCAGUAUCUCAUUUUCUUGAAGCUGCACGGGAAAAUCUUACUGGAUGUAUGGACCAAGGAGAAGACUCACACAAGGCUGCCAACUUUUACUGUGUGCCACUUCAGGUUGGUACCUAUAGAUCAUUAUCACUGGUUAGAUAUCUUCGAAAAGUUAUUCUCUCCUUUGUGUAUAAUCUAGUUUACUUCUUGCUUCAGGACUUUACUCCCGAGGAAGGAAGAUAUGAUGUGAUAUGGAUUCAGUGGUGCAUAGGGCAACUUCCUGAUGAUGAUUUCAUUUCAUUUUUUAAUCGUGCCAAGGUGAAUUGACUAAGACUUGAUUAAUUUAUUUUCAAUCCUACACUAUUAAUUUAUUUUCAAUCCUACACUGAUUUUUUGUUGGAUUCUGUUGAAUAUUUGGUUGUAGUUAAGGGCAAGUCUUAACACUUGUAUUGACAAAUAAGUGCUGUACCAUAGUUUUAGGUUUACAUAAUUCUUUUCCAUGGAAAUAAUAGCUUGCAGAUGAACUUCUUGUGCACUAGUAGAAAUAUUUUCAUUGUGUAUUUUUCAGACAUUACCUGGACAAAUGUUGUAGUCAGGGGCGGACCUAGCUCAAAAAAUGAGUGGCGGCCUGUUAGUGUAUGAGCCUUUACAAUUUCAGUAAACAGGAUCUAUGUUCACUGAAAAUAUAAACAUGAGUGGCAGCCCGUGCCCUCACUCGGCUCCAUGUAGGUCCGCCCCUGGUUGUAGUGCUAGUUGGUUAUCAAACUUUGUUCUAAGAUAACCCCAGCCCACUUUUAUACACCAUACUGUUUGCAAUCAUACUUUUUUUUUACUUUAGGCCAAACUACAGUUCAAUUGAAUGAAGCCUUCAAACUGUUAUUGUUUAUGUGCAGAUUACCAUUGCUCUAGUGUCGAUGCGUUCUAAUUAAACAUACACUUGUAACAUUCUUUCCAGGUUGGGCUGAAACCUGAUGGAUUUUUUGUUCUGAAAGAGAACAUUGCAAGAAAUGGUGAGUUUGCUGUACCAAAUAGUACUCAUCUAGAAAUUGCUACAUAGCAUUGUCUCUAAUGUUAUACUUCUUUGAGAAGACCAUAUGCUUGAUGUUGCUCAGAGUACAAAUGUUUGGUUUUUCAGGAUUUGUGUUAGACAAGGUGGAUAACAGUGUCACUAGAUCCGAUCCAUACUUUAGGGAGCUAUUUAAAAAGUGUGGAUUAUAUAUCCUCAGUGUUCAGGUAAAUGGUCAAAAGUGCCAAUGUUAUUUUGUUACAUUCUUUAUCUUUCCAAUCAUUCAUCUGAUCCUGCAAAUAAAACAGGACCAGAAGGAGCUCCCAAAGGAACUAUUUGCUGUCAAAAUGUAUGCACUGGUGACCAGUCAACCAAAAAUGCAGAAUAGUGGAAAGAGAAGGCGACCUAAAAAUAAACCUCGUAUGAUCCGUUCUUGAAAAAUGCCCAUGUUAGGUGUGCUGAUGGGCCAACUCAUUUGUAUGGUCAUGUACUAUUAUUGGUUUGCGUCAAAGUUUCUAGGACAUCAGUUUUGCAGUCUCAGUUUUGUUUCAUAUACAUUUUUUUUUUGUAUAAGCUCAAAUUUUCCUUGAGAUCAAUAUGUCCUCAAUCUCAACUGAUGUUGUAUCACCUGGUUACUGUUGAAAUGCAUGAUCUCUGUUGAGUGCAUGUUCACAUUAUUCGGAGAGGAAUAUGAUGAAGUUUUGAAUCAAAUGACCGGCAUGUGCUUUAAUUUCCUUAUGAAGUAAUGUAACAAGAUAUCGUGGAACUGGGAUUAUCUCGUGAGAAGUAAACGCCCAUUGGCAGCAAGCUGUACCUCUAAAGUUUUAAUACAUUUCUUGUGCCAUCUGCAACUGCAAGGAUAUCAUCUCCUGAUUUACCAAUCCAAAUCCCAAAUUGCUGAAUUACAUACGACUUGCCUCUCAUUUCCCCAUGCCCUUUUGAUUAACAUAAUAGCUAUAUCUAAAGGUAGCAACAUCAGUAGUGUAGUAGUGGUUUUAAUUGCAAAUGCCGUAGCUAAUGAGGAUUUUAAUCUUAACGUUUUGGGACAGUGCUGAAGCACUUGUGAGUUAACAUGAUGUUCAAAUAACAUAAUCUUCUUAUCUUCGGCACAUGGAAAUGAAUAUUUAUUAUAUGUUGCCCUAACAGUUGGUUAAGCUGUUCAUACCUUUCUCACACGCACAAUUUGAUCAUUCUCCUGAAUCUGUAAACGCAGACCCAGAGCAUCCAUCAUAUAUACCCAUUCUUCCAACUAAUAAUGCUCGACAACUCAUGAUGGGGGACCAGAGGAAGGACGGGAAGAAAGAACAUCGCAUCUGCAAGUAUCUAAUGAUCUGAUUUUGAGAACUAAAUGGAAAUAAGUAACAGGCGAUUUUGGAGACCACUGGCAAUGCUUAGAAUGAUGAGCUAAUGAAAUCACUUCACAUCAGAAUAAGAUUAACAGACAUCAGUACACAGGAACUUCGAACUGAAUGGACAUGUGAAACCCAUCGCACCAAGACAUUACUAGAAUCGUACCGCUUGAAUAUAUUACAAAUGCCCUAGAAUUUCCCAUGCCAAGAAUUCUGUUAUGUGUGUCAGUUCUUCUUCCCAGUUGUCGCCGAUGGAGGCAAUGUACCAAAAAUAGUGUCCCAGAGCGUUGAGGUGAUGCCAAAGCCCUUGUCUUGGAUUCUGAAGUGGUGGUUGAGGUGAUACCGCUGCAGAACAGGCAAAAUUGCGAGGAAUCAGAACCUUGUGGAAAUUUGCAUGGAGCAGCUAGCUGAUUCAUGACUUAAGUGGUUAUGCCCUCACCUUGAGAUGUUUUGCUGGGUCCUUGGAUGGUUGUCCAUGGUGCAGAUAGUAGUGGGUGCAAUCAUACAUCACAUAUCCCAAUAGACCACCUCCAAACAAUGCAGGAGUGGUAGAUGGAGUUGCAAAGAAAGCAACCAGGUUCCAGAACUGAAAAAGAAAACAUUGGACAGUUCGACUAAAUCAGUCAUGUUACUUCUGAAUGGUCAAAAGUUUCAUGUUAAUAAAAUCCAAUUCUAUGUUUAAUUUUAGCUUCAGGGUCAUACUGGGAAACACAAAAUUGCUGUUGCAGUAGGAGGAAAUACAAGCCUGAGAGAGUCCAUAGGGUGCUUAUGGUGGCACCCAUGAAGAAGGUAAUGUGCGGUGUUUGACCUACAACAGUGCAUCAACAACAAUUUGAUUAGCAGAAGGAAGACAUAGUGCGAUGUUGGAUCCUUCAAGGAUGAAGCAUUGUUACCAGUAGGUUUUGGUCUCAAUGUGGAAUAGGAAACGGUGCAAAGUAUAUUCAAUCAAUGUCCAAAUAAAUAUUCCAAACAGAGCUAUCAGAACUACUUCCUGAAUGGUAUGACCCAUCAGAAUAGACUUCACGAAGAAGUAGCAAACAACAGGCAGCCAUAUGGUUGGCACAGCCCACCACUUUGUGCGUGUCAAGAACUGGAGAUUCAAAAAUUCUGUUAAUACAGUUCACUUUCCAAAACCCUCGGUAUACCAAUAUGAUGGAAUACGUUACCUCCAGGACAUCAUUUCCGAAAAAACGUGGACCCUCCUUGCUGACGAUAGGUUGGUGAACCCAUUCCUGGUAACGUUCCUCAAGAUGGCCAACCUUCAUUCACAAAAUCAAGAACAAAACCAGAAUAAGGUUACUUUAGCUAAAGCGACUAAACUUCUAGUCAGAAACUCAGAAUUUAAUAACUGCAGGAGAUUCUUUCAUAAUUUACAGCAGAACCAUGUCUACCACAACUAUUGCCAAGAAACAAAAAAACACAAUCCCACAUUAGAGAUGGUUGUCAAAAAUCCAAAGUAGUACUAAACAAGCUCAAAAACAAUGAAAAAUUUAUGUGCUUGCCAAUUUCAUGAGUUACUUUGCACCUCAGCACUUACGAGCGAAAUCGUACCUGGAAAACAAGAGGCUUGUUCAGAUCAACAGUGAACUCCUGGACAACCAUCUUCCCCAACCAGAGCUGCACCACAGAAUUCCACGUUACAUGCCAAACAGAACAGUCAAGAAAAAAUAAACAGCUUCGGAAAAAUACAGCACAUACAGCACAGAGGCACUCCUACGCGCAAGACAGGUGACGACUGAAACCAAUUAUGAAUGACAACGGAGAGAGCCGGUGCCAUACCAAACUACUAGUGAGUAUCAGGCCUAAACGCAAAUGCGGAUGCCAUGAUUGCCACCUUUUCCCCCAGCCCUUGACAAGGUUCCUCUUACUAAGCAAUCCUCAGCAUGUGGCUCCAGGCACAAAACAGGCAAUCUUUAUCUCCUUUACUUCUCACCCACACUGGAUGUUCACACGAAUUUGGCAACCAAUACUUCAGUGCUAUAAGAGUGUGCUACACGAUUUUUUUUCUCAGGCAAAUGUUUACGCGAAUCUGAACAGAAUGACAACACCGUCGCAGCAAAAUGCGGCCACAGAAAUCUCGGCCUAGAUCCAAAACUUCGUGUCAAAAAGCGCGCUGCCCUCGAGUCACCAUUGCUGAACCACGAAGAUCCCGAAAAAUCCACGCAAUGUCCUACAUCUAGGAAACUAUACACCAAGCGCCAUUGCGCGAAUAGAACCAAUGCGGCCGCGAGGUCUACGACACAGAACCCGGAACAGCACGAUGGGAUCGAGAUAUGGGUUCAGGGGGACCUCACCAGCAGCGGCAGCAAUGGCGGCCCCUUCACCGGAGCCGGAGCCGCCCUCCUCCCCGGGCGGCGAGAGAGAGGAGGGGCGAACGACGACGAAGAGGAGCAGCGGAGCGGAUGACGCGAGAGGGAGGGGCGCGAAUAAGAGAGGAAGGGCGGGGGCUAUCUGGAAAAAGAAUGAGUCGCGCCUCCCUCUAGUCCCCCUCUCCUCCAGUCUGCCGCCAGAGGGACCCACCACACCCCCGUGCUGAGCUGUGCGCGUUUUGCAAUUAGUGGGGUUCUGCAGGGGUGCGCCUAUAAUUGGUGAUCCGCCAAGGGCUCUCGCUCUCUCAAAUAGAGGGGGCGCUGAUGGGGGUGGGGUGGGGCCCGCCGCCAGCUUGGCUGUGGCCUGUGCCCUGCUGUGCUGCUCCUUGAAUUUGUGAUGGGGGACGGACGACAGUGCAUAGUGAGCUAUCAGCAACGGCAAACAAAACAAAGACAAGAACACGUCCAGUCUAACAAAGCAUUUUGGCAAGAGCUGGUGCAAGAUCACCAGAUGCUCGAAGGUUUUUUACGACCCUAAGCCGUUUACGAGCCAUGUUUGGAACUCGGAGGUUUUCGAGAGAAUUCGGUUGGAGUUUACGCUAAUUUGUGCAAAAACAAAAAAAAAAUCUUCAUGCGUCGUACGCAGAACUUGAGAUCCUCGUUCCUGUUGGAUCUUUUGGAGCCGCUUGAGGGGCAUGUGCGGCACAUGUGGCGCAGCACGUGAAGCGGCAGCGAGCAAAAAUCCUCUCCCGGAGACGAUUCCUUGGCCCAAAUUUGGUCGUCGUCACUCGUCAGCUCGGGCGGGCGGUUUGCUGGGUCCGCCCACAGCAUGUGCCCGCGACCGGCGGGAUGGUUACUGGUUCUGUGCUUCAGAUCAGGAGAUCCGAUCUGGUCUCGCCUGUCGAGGUUUUCUAGGCCAGGACAUGGGGCAACGAUCCUACUACCAGGCUGGUUUGUGGUUUGUGCCGCGGCGGCACAAACCGAAUCUGAAUUUCUGAUCGAAAUCCUGAUGCCCGAUCUUGAGCAGUUGACACUGUAACUGAGCGCCUUCUCCUGGACACACAAGAGCAAAAGCUGAUGCAGAAUGACACAGGCUUUAACAGAGAUGGGAAAUCACUCACUACUACCAAUACUCGUCAGAAAUUACAGGCGACCAGCUCGAGGAGAGCACUAUCAGUGCAAAGCCAUAAGCUACUUGACCAAGGUCCACGGGAUGCGGAGCAGAAACGUACGGCGACCUAUUACAGUAGGUACAUUACAGGUGACCGCAGCCGAAGCACAGACGCAACCUCAACGACGACGACAAUGUACGUGAUCAAUCCAUCAUGCAAAAGCCACGAGAAGCAUAGAAGACAAACUCAAUUCACAGGGACACAACCUGGCCGGCGACGGCCGCUCAUCGCUAUUCGGCCACAGCUUCCUCUUCCUCCUCAUCCUCGUACUCCUCGUCAGCGGUGGCAUCCUGGUACUGCUGGUACUCUGCAACCAGGUCGUUCAUGUUGCUCUCAGCCUCGGUGAACUCCAUCUCGUCCAUGCCCUCACCGGUGUACCAGUGCAAGAAGGCCUUGCGCCUGAACAUGGCGGUGAACUGCUCGCUCACCCUGCGGAACAUCUCCUGGAUGGAGGUGGAGUUCCCCACGAAGGUGCCCGCCAUCUUCAGCCCCUUGGGCGGGAUGUCACACACGCUGGACUUGACGUUGUUGGGGAUCCACUCCACGAAGUAGGAAGAGUUCUUGUUCUGGACGUUGAGCAUCUGCUCGUCCACCUCCUUGGUGCUCAUCUUCCCGCGGAACAUGGCUGAGGCCGUGAGGUAGCGGCCAUGGCGGGGGUCGGCGGCGCACAUCAUGUUCUUGGCAUCCCACAUCUGCUGAGUCAGCUCAGGGACGGUGAGGGCACGGUACUGCUGUGAUCCACGUGAGGUCAGCGGCGCAAAGCCAACCAUGAAGAAAUGGAGACGAGGGAACGGGAUGAGGUUCACAGCAAGCUUGCGCAGGUCGGAGUUGAGCUGACCAGGGAACCUCAGGCAGCAUGUGACACCACUCAUGGUAGCAGAGAUAAGAUGGUUCAGGUCACCAACUGCAUUGUUAGAAAUCUUUAUCAGUGCCUACUUUUCAAAUUAAAUACAAAUUACAGCAUAUUAGAUCCAGAGAUAUCACAUGUCAUACAGCAAGUAAAGAAUUAGUGAUGAUUAACUUACAGGUAGGGGUGGCGAGCUUUAGCGUGCGGAAGCAUAUGUCAUACAGAGCUUCAUUGUCAAGCACCAUACAUUCAUCAGCAUUCUCAACAAGUUGGUGAACCGAAAGAGUAGCAUUGUAUGGCUCCACAACAGUAUCUGAAACUUUUGGCGAUGGGAAGACAGAGAAGGUCAACAUCAUCCUAUCAGGGUACUCCUCCCUGAUCUUAGAAAUAAGAAGGGUGCCCAUGCCAGAUCCAGUGCCUCCUCCCAACGAAUGGCAAACUUGGAAACCUGUAUAUGAAUCAAAAUGUGAUUCAAUUAUUCAAAUACAAGCAGUAUUCCAGCAUGCAAAUGUAAAAGGCAGCCUUGGACUACACAGGUUCAAAAGAUACAGGAGCAACUAAAGGUGUCAAAGAGCUAGCAAUAUGUCAGAACUGCAACACAUUAAACGAGACCAGAGUUUGUGUGCAAUCAUCAAUCAUGUUGCAACAGUUAAGUGAUAUUUGAAUUGAGUCAACAUCACAACAUACUGCCACCAUGCUUUGGUAGGCCAUGAACCUAUCUUGACAUGCUACCAGAAAUUUAAUUUGGGCAUGACAUAGUUUAUAGCAUAUCAAACAAUAAUCAUAGUGAUUAGAUUACAAAGAUACAAAGUUCAGCCCUUAUUUAUUCACCAAGAAGACAAGGGAUCUAUUUCGUCUGGUGUUUGGCAAAAGAAUUCAGUCCAGCUAUGGCACAAUAUUUAAUUUAAUUUUUUAAUAGAAACAGGUCAUUAGCAGUUGUAGGGUGCCAGAGUGGAACUCCAUGCUAACACAUCCAACACUCAAGUUACAGGAAUAAAAUAUCCAUCCUACCGACAGUUGAUGUCAGUACAGCUACUUAGCCCAGAAGAAGCUACAGGAGUUCAACCAAAACAUGAAUUCACCAGAGCAUAUUCAUGAAAACCAACAUAUUAACUAGCACAGCUAUACAAAGUUCCAUCUUGACAGUGCCAAUAUAACCGCAAAUAAACCAUAAAAACACCACAACUAACUACUAUAGGUACAAUUUUCCUUCCAAGUUACUAUCUCACUCAGGCUGUACAAACCUACUGAAUAACAGAAAUGAACAAAAAACGUCAGUUCAUCAUGAAAGGUAGAAAUUAGCCAGACUCGCAACAACCAGCAAUCCCUUUCAAUUCAUUCACAGAUAUAACAACCUACCUAGAGACUAAAUGACUAACAAAUAGCACAACAUCACUUAGCAAAUUGAUCAGAUCAUUUGGUGGAACAUGACAGUGAAGACGAAAAAUUACUACAUAUGGCCAGCAAUGCAAAUAACAAAGGGUACCUCGCCGAAAUGCCAAUUGGAGACAGAUUUUAAUUGCAUCCACAAACACCCCCGGAACCCUAGAUCUGGACUAGCUCUACCUCCCCCACGUGCUGCCGCUCCCGGAUCUAAGCCUAACCGGCUAGCCCCUUAACCCCAAAGGAAAAUCUAACCAAAUCAGAGAGCGCGAGGGGAUGGGAAUGGGAUGGGCGGAACAAUACCCUGGAGGCAGUCGCAGUUCUCGGCCUCCUUGCGGACGACGUCGAGGACGGAGUCGAUGAGCUCGGCGCCCUCGGUGUAGUGUCCCUUGGCCCAGUUGUUGCCGGCGCCGGACUGGCCGAAGACGAAGUUGUCGGGGCGGAAGAUCUGGCCGAAGGGGCCCGAGCGCACGGAGUCCAUGGUCCCUGGCUCGAGGUCCAUGAGCACGGCGCGAGGCACGAACCGCCCCCCGCUGGCCUCGUUGUAGUAGACGUUGAUGCGCUCGAGCUGGAGGUCCGAGUCCCCCGCGUAGCGGCCCGUGGCGUCGAUGCCGUGCUCGUCGCAGAUCACCUCCCAGAACUUGGCGCCGAUCUGGUUCCCGCACUGCCCGCCCUGGAUGUGCAGGAUCUCCCUCAUGGCUGACGCCGCCUUCGCCGGUGACUUCGCCGGAGCGGCUGGGGUCGGAGGGGGAGCGGCGCGGGUGUGGGUCGGGUGCCUGGUGGUGCGCGUGUGCUGCGGGGCUGCGGCUUGUGGUUUGGGUGAGGACUGAUUUGAAAUGGUGCUUUAUGCUGUUGGCGUGGGGUUCGUUCGUUCGAGGGCGUUGUGAUGUGGCCUGUGUGCGGAGGUCUUCACCGCGCCCGGUGCCCGGUGGGGAGGCCCGGCCGCGGUGGGGGAUGUUGCCUCGGGGCCCAGCUGCAGAGAGGGUGGGGAGUAAUGUGUGGUGGCGGUGGGAUCGUCCCUGCCGUCCAUCUCGGGCGUGCGUUCUGUAAAUCGGACGGUUAUCAGGAGGUCUUGUACUCUUGUUCGCCCGGUUCCGUGAUGUUUUCUUUUUCAAGGCAACUUUCUGGAUGUCGUUAUCUGGUUCCUUUUGAAAUUGUUAUAUGCCCUACGAAAAUACGAUUUUACCCCUAUAAACCUACCACCCUUCUCCCUCUUCUCCUCCCCUUCUCCCUAUGCAUGCCUGCCAGGCUGCCACAGCUAGCACCUCCCAAAUGUUUUUUGAGGGCCAGCGGCCGCGGCACCAGCGAGCGGCCGCAGCCCGAUCCACCGCUCUAGCUCGGUGACGGCGAGGCUGGUAACGGUGGCAGGCGCGUCCUCGAGGAAGCAGCCGAGCUCGUCGUGGCCCCACGCACUCUGCAUGGAGUUAACGUGCCCCCGCCACGGGACGCCGGCGCCGAACCGAAGCUCCACGGAGUUGGUCAGGCAUGCCAGGCGCUCCAGCAUCGGGAGCAUGAGGAGCUCGAUGGCUAGGAACGAGCAGCCGUUGACGAUGAGCUCCUUCAGCCGCGAGCUCGGCGUGCUAAUCACCCAUCGCUUCGUCUUUCCCGCACAGCCGCACGUACCGCCGACAUGGCACGAGGCGCAGCGUCUCCAGUGGUGAGCAUGCGGUGAAGAGUCUCUGGUAAGUGAACGUCGGCAUGUCCCGUAGGACGAGCUCGGCAAGCGCGCCGUACCGGUACAGCCAGGGGUGGAUUUGGGCCCCGGGCUGCAGCCCGAGGCGAGGCUCAAGAAGACUAGGAACAAGUUUCAUAAAAAUGGCAUAAAAAGGCCAGGCAGCCCAUUAGCCUACCCUGACGCGAAGUGAGCCCAGCAAGCCGGAACCCUAGCCCUGGUCAGCUGACCGCGCGCCUCCUGUCCGCACUUGUCCUUCGCGAAACGCAAGUCGCGCGCCUCCCGUUCGGGUCCGACCAUUUGCACGACCGCACCCGUUGGCGCCGCGCCACCUCCUGCCCCUCCCUUACCCUCGUUGUCGUCGGUCGCUGGCUCGCCGCCACCCGCCAGGUCGCCACCUCGCCGGUCUCCCUCAGCGGCCCCGCCGGCCGCGCGCCCAUGCCCCCAUGCGCCCAUGCCCCCACCGGCCGCCGGCUGAGCGGCAACGCGCCCGCUUGCCAGGCGCCGACCGCCGGCUGAGCGGCACUGCGGCAGCGCGCCAGCGGCUGAGCCGCUGAGGGCAGGCAGCAGCCAAGCAGCAGCAGGCAUGUGAGAUACUACGGGGAGAUAUCCAUUACUUCAUUGAGUAUUUGAGUCUUACUUUGCAAUUGCAACAUUCCAUACGUUAGAAUGGAGAGAUACUAUGCUAAAAAAGAUGCGUCAAAGAGUAGUGCCGAAACUAAAGAGAGCCGCGUUGAGCAAAAAAGACCACGGAUUGAACUUGAUAUGAGAGAUAUAGUUGCUGAUCCAGGAGACAGGAAGCCAAUUGAUGAUUUUCAUCAUGACAUUAGGGAUGAGGCUAGGAGAGCAUAUCUACGAAUAGGUCCAUAUAGGCUAGCUGGUCAUAAGUUUCCAAAAACGAAAAAAGAUGGUAAAGGCCAAUCAAGAGGAUUUGUUGGAUCAUGGUUUGAUCAAUUUGAUUGUUUAGAAUACAAUGUAGCCAAGGAUGCAGCUUAUUGCUUUUAUUGCUAUCUCUUUAAGCCACAACAAACUGGUUUCAUAGUAAUGAUACAUUCACUAAAGUUGGGUUUAGAAAUUGGAAGAAUGCAAAGGAUUCUUUCAAGGAGCAUGCUCAAUCAAUUGAUGGCUUUCAUAGUAAUGCAAGAAAAAGUGCAUUUGAUUUCAAAAAUUAGAGGCAAAGUGUUCAACAUGUGUGGACUAUUACAAGUGCAACAGAAGAGGAGGCAUAUAAAGCUCGUUUAACUAACAUGUUAGACAUUGCUAGAUUUCUCCUUUUGCAAGCUCUAGUCUUUCAUGGAUAUGAUGAGUCUAAAACAUCAAGAAAUAAAAGGGAACUUUAUGAAGAUGCUUGAAUGGUAAAAAAGAAGGAUCCUAAGGCUGCACUUGUGACCAGUGAAAAUGCUCCAGGGAAUAAUCAAAUGAGUAGUCCAAUGGUUCAAAAAGAUUUGGCUAGAGCUUGUGCAGAGGAGACAAGUGAGUUAAUUAAAAGUGAAAUAGGAGAUUGUUGGUUUGCGGUGCUUGUUGACGAGGCUCGUGAUGCAUCUAUUAAGGAACAAAUGGUUGUGGUUGUGAGGUAUAUAUCUCCUCCCCAUUUGGUUAUUUUGUUCGUUUUAUUUUGUUGCUUUCAAAUAACACUAUUUUUCCUUUUCUCUUGUAGGUUUGUCAAUGAUAAAGGAAGUAUGAUUGAGAAGUUUCUUGGCAUUGAACAUGUUUCUGACACCACAUCACUUUUAUUAAAAGAAGCAUUGGAUACUAUGCUUAGAAAAUAUGGUCUAUCUGUUUCCAAGGUUAGAGGGCAAGGAUAUGAUGGAGCUUCAAAUAUGAGAGGACAGUUUCAUGGGUUACAAAGACUGGUAUUGAAUGAAAACCCAUUUGCCUUUUACAUCCACUGUUUUGCUCAUCAAUUGCAGCUUGUGGUAGUUUCUGUAGCCAAGUGUUGUGAUUCAACUUUUGAUUUCUUCAAUUAUGUCACUUCAAUUAUCAAUGUUGUUACUGCUUCCUGCAAGAGGAAAGAUCAACUCCUUCAAAGUCACCAUGAUAAGCUUGUUAAGCAGUUAGAUAGUGGUGCUAUUUUUUCUGGAAGAGGGAAAAAUCAAGAAACUAGUCUUGCUAGGCUUGAUGAUACACGGUGGGGUACAUAUCACAAAAUAUUGGUACGUCUUAUGAUCACGUGGUCCUCUGUACUGGAGGUGUUAGAAAAUAUUAGUGAAGAUGGAACUGAUGGGGAAAAGAAAACUAUAGCCUCUGGAUUGAUUCAAAGAAUGAAGUCAUUUGAAUUUGUGUUCAUAUUACAUCUUAUGAUCAGAGUAUUAGGGAUGACUCAAGACCUAUCACAAUGUUUGCAAAAAAAAAUCAAAACAUUGUUCGUGCAAUAGGAUUAAUUGGCUCUAUGAUGAGAAAUAUGAAUGAAAUGAGGGGAAAUGAUUGGGAUGCUCUUUUUGAAGAGGUAAAGGAGUUUUGCCUCCUCAACAAAAUAGACAUUCCUAAUAUGGAAGAUAUGAUACCAGUUAGAGGUCGUUCGAGAUGUCGUGGUGCUAAAUUAGAGAAUUAAUAUCAUCAUUUUCAUCAUGAAAUUUUCAAUGUUGUGAUCGAUCAAGUUUAUUAUGAGUUAAACAAUCGAUUUUCAGAAAGAUCAACUCAACUCUUGAUAUGUGUUGCUUGCUUUGAUCCGACGGAUUCUUUUGCCAACUUUGAGGUAGAGAAGUUAGUUGAACUUGCUAAGAUUUAUAAAGAUGACUUCUCUGAUUAUGACUGUAUAAAGCUUGCGGGUGACUUUCCUAUAUUCAUUGAUGAAGUCACAAAUGAUAAUAAUUUUGGCACUUGUACUGAUCUUGGUAACCUUGCUGAGUAGAUGGUUCAGACUGAUAGACAUACAACUUUUCCUUUGGUGUAUCGUCUUAUUAAACUUGCAUUGAUUUUACUGGUGGCAACACCAAUAAUUGAAAGAGCUUUCUCUGCUAUGAAUAUUAUCAGGACCGAACGAAGAAAUAAAAUGAAUGAUGAUUGGAUGAAUAGUAGCAUUGAUAUGCUAUAUUGAGCGGGAUUUAUUUGCAUCGAUUGAAGAUGAAACAAUUCUAAGGCGCUUUCAAAGCUUAAGAAAUCGUAAGAUGAAUUUGCCAAUCGAGGGCUCAAGGUGCGUGUCGUUUACUUGUAUUAGUCUAUUUCAAUACAUAAUGUUAUCUUGCUUUAUAAAGAGCUGAGAUUUUUAAAAUUUUUAUGUAGAAUUGAGGAUGUCGGUAUAAGUGGUGUUAAAUCAUGAAGACAUGUAUAGUUUUUUUUUGUCAUGGAAGACUCUUAGUUUGUUACUUUUCUAUCUUCAAUGUUCUACAUGUUGUUUGAGUCUAUUGGUUGAACCCUUGGAAUCAAUAUAAUUAUAUAAUUAUUUGUGUUCUUUGGAAAAUAUGCUAUAUCUAAUAGUGUAUGGCUAGUAAGAUUUUAAGCCUUAUAAUAGUUAGCCUGGGGCGGAGCCUGAUUCUGGAUCCGCCACUGGGUAUGGCGGCGGCACCGUGCAGUUUGCCAGCGUCAGGCUGCGGAUGCGUGGCUGGUGGAGCUCAUGGCACACCGGCGGUUGCCGCCGUCAGCUGCGUCCAGGAGGCCCGUGACGCCGUCAGCGAAUGCGCGCAUGGCGCGACACUCGUAGUGCGCGAUGAGGGCGUCGAGCUCCAGAACGUCGGUCGGUGGCGGCGGCGAGGAGGUCGCCUGGGGCGAUGCGGCUCUAUUUCGGCCGCGGCGACCAUCCCCUCCCCUUCCUACGCCCGCCGAUGGAUCGGCCGCCGGCCGCAGGGGUGGCGCCGCCGGUGAUGCCCUUCACCGCGCGGCUGCGCGGGCUCGGUGGAGGUGGCCUGCAGCGGCCAUCGCCGGCUCCGCCUGGCGCAGAGCUACGGCACGGGCCCCUUCCCCGUGCCACCCCGCCUUGUACCCAUCUCCCCCUUGUCCCGUGCGGUGUGGAGCAAGGGAGGAGAGGAGGGAGAAGGGUGGUGAGGCUUACAGGGGCAAAAUCGUCUUUUCGUAUGGGUUCCAAAUGGAAAAUCCAACGAAGCGUUGUAUAAGGAACGAAAGUUAAACUCGAUGUCGAAUAUAGAACUAAAAUCUGUUGAGGAAUAAACUAGUAAUUUUUCAAGUGGCAAAUAGGUAAUUGUCCCAUGUCAUGUCGUUAAUCUUCUCCAUCCAUUUGGUUGGGAUCUUUCUGUUGCGGCGAAUCGGGGUCCAGGCUGGCGGUAACCUGCGGUGGUUCCGUUCCGCGGCCGGGGAGAUGGCCGUGGGCCCACGUGGCAGCCUGGCGUAACCGAACUCGGGCCCACCCGCAGCGAGACAAACCUACCUGAUCCGUGAUCCGUGUAGGGAGUCCGGACACCGGACCCGAGCUGAGCUGAACUGAGCAGCACUGUGGAUUCCGCUUUCCAGCGACGCUUAAUGAACAGCGAUCAGUAGACGCCUGAUUAUGGCGGCGAGGGGCGAGGGCGAUCUAGACAGCGGAUAGCGAUGCUUGACCGGUAAUGCAAGCAAGCAAGCGAACGCCCGGAUGUCAACAGACGUAGCUGUUGCUUAGGGGAAUGAUAAGGACCAAUUACCAGCCAGUAGGGAAAGGGAACAAAAAGUGUGUGGCGCUAACUAAUGGCGGGGACGGAGUGGCUGCAAGUACAAGCUAAACAUUUUAUCAUGGCCUCCAUUAUCUCUAUCUGCUACGAGCCGACGACAAUAUCAUAGGUUCAGCAGGGCAGGAAAAAGUACAGCGGCCAGGAGAUCCAAUCAUGGGACUAGCGGCGGACUUCAUCUUAACGACACUUUGGGGAGAAACCGGGGAAGUUAUCAGUUCACUUUUGGCUUGAUGCUACAGGAUUACUAUUGUAAUUACGCUGGAUGGAUGGUACACAGUACACUAGCUGCCCAGGACGGCACGAUUGGCUGGCAAGCUUCUGAACGAGCUUGAAGAUUGCCAGGUAGGAGGAUAUGAUCAGCAGCAUCGCUACCUUCCAUAUCAUGUAGCUAACCACUCUUUGUCCCGGUUCUUCAUUGAUUGGUCGAUGGAACCAGAAUGCCUUCUUCUCGUACGAGGCUGGCGCCGCGGAUCCAGAGUAAUCAAGAAGCCUACUCCUACGGCUCCUACCAGAGUGCGCCAAAGGGAAAGAGGCGGAGUGCUAACAUGUUAAAAUCCACGAAAGUACAACUGCUUCAUCUCUGUUUUUUUCUUUGCAAACCGUUUUAUAAUGCUAAAAAAAAUCUAAACAUCAAUUUCAUCGUAAAGGAUGUAGUAUGUGCCAACGUACCGGUAAUUACCACGAGAAGCCAAAGCUCUGAACAAAUUAGUUGCAACUCAAUGUCUGGCUUCUCGAAUAGAACACGAAGCCUUUGAAGUGUGAAUGGCAUGCUGGCCGUGCCAGGGUCACAAGAGACACUGAUUCCCACCAGAUUAGAGACGAAAGCAAAGAAAAUACGCCACAUCUGCAUCAGGUAGUUGUAGAUACCUAACCUCACCUUCCCGUCUCAUCUCCCUCUAGAGGGGUGCAACACGAUGAUAAGUCGAAAACGGCAAGAUAAAGUACAGCGAUCACCCGAUCCAAUCAUGAAAUACCAGUCCCCCUCUUACAAGAUUUGGGGCAAAGUUAACAGUUCACAUGACCAUUUCAAUGGUCGAGGAUUAUUAUCACGCUAGGUAGAUGGUACACCUGCUGCCCAACUCGACAGGCUUUGCUGGCAAGCUGCUGAGCUUAAAGAUUGCCAGGUAGGAUAAUCAACAGCAUUGUCACCUUCCAUAUCGUGCAGCUAACAACUCUUGUUCCAAUUCUUCCUUGUUUGGUUAUGGAACUAGAAUGCCUUCUUCUCAUAUGAGACCAGCCCAUGGAUUCCUCCUUCAACCUGGGCAGCGCCGGUCCUCACCUGGUAAGGACAACCAGUAAAGAUCAAGUUAGUUCCACUAUUGGUAUAAGAACAGAAAAAACUGUUUUCAUUUCCACCUCUUACAGAUGCUCAACUUUCGGUUAUUUCAGACAUUUUCAGAAAUAAAGAUGGAUACAGAACUACCAACAUAAGUAUGUUAGGAACAAGGCUUUAUUAGGCAGUUUGCUUUCUGGAACUAGACAGCGUGAAGCAAGGAUGAAACUCUCUGAGUAUUCCUAAUUUUGAUCUGCUAUAAUUCAGACUCUUUCUUCCUAUCCAACCUAUUGCUCCAACAUUUUGACCUUUCUACAAUUCAUAUGGUUUGAUGACCAUCAAACAAUCUAUUGGAAUUUGGAGCCAGUUCCAGCAAUAAACCUAAUAGUAACAAAGAUUAACAAUCUCUUUAUUAAUGAAGAAGAUGAAAUUUCUCCGAUCCUAGAUGAUUGGUAUUGAAAUUUAAAACAUGUUGGAAGAUAACUAUUGUGCAGCAUGAAGAUACCUCUAAUCUGAGAGUCUCUGAUCGCAAAAGAUCAUGAGCUGACUGCAGAGAGGAUGCACCAAGAUCUUGGAAUCCUUGCUUAACUGCUUGCAUUGUGUAAGGAAUGAACCUCAGAACGGAACCUUUGUCGGCUACUGCUCCAACAACUCCCUGCGCAACUUUGAGCUUGAGAGUAUCACCAAGGUACCUUGCAUCACUCCCCUUUGUCAUCGCUUCCAGAGAUCCCAUGCCUCUGUACUUUUUGACUCGGCGGCCGUCCUAAAAGAAACAUCUCAAGAGUUAUAACUCAACAUUUUUGUGAAAGAGCAAGUGCAGUUGCAUGUACAGGAAAUAGAAUAGCACAAAUUCACAGAUCAGAAUUAGUUACCAACUUUAGAAACUGCUUCUACGAUAGAUACAGCAGCACAAUAAUAGACACACAAAAUGCAAAUGCGUUCUCACUGAUUUUAAUAUUAAUUGUUUUGCAGGAGUUCAUGGUCCUAGCAAUCACAUAUAUCACAUUGCAAAAUCAGGUAAGGUAGCAUAGCUACAGGCAGACAGCCUUUUAUCCAUUUUUACAACUUCCUGGUUCAGGCCAAACUAACAGAACUUCCAACAAUAAACUGUGGCUUCGUCCAGAAACAUUACUAGAGAAUGGGGUUAUCUAACUUUGAGGUUUAUAUACUAUACAUGACCUUAUAAAACAAUAAAUUAUAGUGACCUAGACAGCUAUCCACAUCACUAGUUGCAAACAGUUCCAAAAAUAAAAAUGAUGACCUAUAAGGUGUAUUUGCACCAGAUCUGCUCCCUAAAACAAAGCUAACAAAGCCAGUUGAAGCUAACAAAGCCAGUUGGUUACUUCGUCAGCACAGACUGUAAUUGGUAAAAUGACAUGAAAAGAAAAAUACAACUAUACAGAGUAUCAACUGGCAAUUGAUUCAUGGCAACCUCAUUGGAAACCCAGAUUGUAAAAUGGUAUUGAUGUUUUGAUUCCGCAGUUUAUCAAAUGGAUUUCUACUUCAGUCUUUGCAGCCUGAAAUAAAUGAUGUUCUAGCAAUGCGGUUACCCAUGAACAAUGCAAGAUUUAGAAGAAAUAGAUAAGUGCCACUAUGUCAUUGUAUAUACCAAAUUUUUAUUGCAUUUUUGUUAGCUUUUUAAGAUAUCAAAUUAGAUUGAGCUGUUGUUUAUGCAUAAAGGAACUUUUUGUGCAGUGGUCACAUGGGGUGAACAUCUGCCUGUGCGGGGCAUGUGAUCUUCAGUAUGGAUCGAGUCUACUUUCUACAGGGCUGUAGGGGCUUUAACAGUCAACUCCAAAGCCCAAAAGGCAUUUGAACAUUCUGUUUAUGGUAAACAUAUAAAACAAAAGGCAAGAAUAGAACUUUAACCCUGCUCCAGAACUGUAAAAGUAUCAAUACAAUAUGUAUACCUUGUACUCAUAAGUACCAGGAGCUUCAUGACUGCCGGCCAAAAAGCUUCCCAUCAUAACAGUGGAUGCCCCCAGCGACAGAGCUUUCACAAUAUGUCCAGAGUUUGAAAUUCCCCCAUCAGCGAUAACCGGUACAUUGUGAUCAUUGGCAUAAGAUGAAACCUUAUACACUGCUGUAGCCUGUUGCACCAAUACAAAGAAGCAUCAACUACAAGCAGCAGUACUGAAUUUCUUUGGUGUCUGUAUUACUAUAGACCAUAUGAAGACAAACCCCUGGACUCGUUUUGCAUCCACCACGAGAUAAUCAGAAAUUAAAGGAUUCUCUCUAGCAUUUUUGGUCUCCCAAGACUACGUGAGGAGCCGAGGGAAUAAGGAGCAGCAAUUCCAUAUACGCCAAACCGUAAUUCAAAAAAGAAAAAAAAAAGGAAAGAACUGCUGAGGUUUUGACAAAUCUAAGACCCUUGAAAGAUACGAAUGGAUAGGUACAUCACCUAAUACAGAUUUCUAGUGCUUUCAGUGUCCUAACACUUCAUAAAAGCUCAAAGGUAAAUAAAAAUUAUAACAAGUACCCGUCAGUGUCUUCUAAGCAUACAGAACAAGAAAACAUGCCCUGCCUAGCUGAGAAAGGCAAACUCAGUAGAUCAUCCGAUGUCAUCAAUAUCAGAAUUGGAUGCCUAUGAUUAAUAUAACAAACCUUUCAGGAUGUUUACAGUAUCCAGAGAAAAUGGAGAAUUGGUUUCCACCUUGGUCACAGCAAUCUAAACGAACUUCAGAGCAUCCGAGAGCGGCAAAAUAAAAGGUGUUGCAUGCUAUCCUACCAAUGGUUGAGGAUUCAAGGUAACUAACUAAUUUGGCAGCAAGCUAAAAGAGGUAAGCUGACAGCGAACUGAUUAGACUACAUUGAGAAAAAGAGUUUAUGAGAAUUUCAAUGGUUCCAUACCUGUCCCCUUCCAACAGCACAAACUUCCUGGGUAGUGCAAAUUGAGCCGGACCCCAUUCCAACACGCAAUCCAUCCACACCAGCUUGAAUCAAAUUCUGCGCCUGCGCAAUUGUCACCACAUUGCCUCCGAUCAAAUCCACCUCAGGAUACAUCUUCUUCGCAUACUUGAUCAUAUCAAGCUGGUAAAUGGAGUUCCCCUGCGAACUAUCAAUGACGAUAGCAUUUGCCCCCGCCUUAACUAGCUGCUCCAGCCUUCGCUUGUCAUCCUCACGGGUCCCAAUGGAGGCCGCGACUAUAAACUUCCCAUCCGCUCCCAGAGACGGCUUGCCUAGCUUGGGAUAGCUCCGGAUGCGCUCGACAUCCUUGGCGGUGAUCAGGUCAAUAACCUCGCCGUCAUCGGAUAUGAGAGGGGCGCAAUCCAAACCUUCGUCAGCAAGGAAGGCAGCGGCUUGUUCGAAGUCAAAGGAGGCGGAGGCUGAGCGGGGAGCGGGCAGCAUGUAUUCCGACACAGGGGCAGGAACCUCGCGAGAAGCCGCAUCGGCCGCAACUGCGACGCCGACGAGCCUGGAGAGCGAAUCCCCGAGCUCGGUGACGAGGGCGUAUUCAUAGCCAGCGAAAUCGUUGAGCGUCGGGGCGGAUGACGGGGCGAAGAAGGGAACGGAUGACACGAAGGGGAGGCGGCGGGACUUGGCGGCGCGGACGAUGGCGGCCUGGGCGUCGGGCUCGGUGUUGCAGUGAACGACGGCGGCGGCGCCGAGCGAGGCCAUGGCCGCGGCCAUGGGGGCCUCGGAGACGGUGUCCAUGGGGGACGCGACGCAGGGGAUGGAGAGCGGCAGGCGGCGGGAGAGGCGGGUGGAGAGGUCGACGGCGUCGGCGGGGAAGCCGAUGUAGCCCGGGAGGAAGAUGACGUCGUCGUAGGUGUAGGAGACGCCCUGCGAGAAGAGGCGCGGCGCGGAGAAGCCAUCGUCGGCGAGGUCCGCGCUGCUCGCCGCCAUCGGUGGGUGUGGGUUUUAGGGUUUUGGCUGCGGCGGCGGCGGCGGUGGCGGCGGGGGAGGAUGGGAAUGAAGAGAAGCGUGAAGAGCGUGGCGGGGCGCGCUGUUUUGUGCUCGGCUCCAUCGAUGGAUGGGGAUUUGUUUGGCGGGUAGCAAUGCGCAUGAUGCGUCAAUGGCACGUGGGCCCUGUCUUUUUCGCUCCCGUUGUGUCAGACAGAGGAUUGCGAAUCACUACUGGGCCGACAGGCGCGGGCGACUUAGGCCCGGGACAAAGGGCCCAUUCGGAUGGCCCUCAUGUGCCGUGAUGGCGUGAUGGUUACAGUUUCUUGAGGAAGUCAUGUUCAUUGUCUCGUUUAAGUUUAGCAACUCGACCACCAUUUCGGCCGCAUGCUAAAAGUUUGAUAAGGCACAAAUAUUGUUUGUACUCUAGCUUUAUAUAUGUAGAGGUACGUGUUGGCCUAAACCUGAAUAGCCAAUUUGGGCACCUCGGUUUCGCCUCAACAUUGGCAACACGCCAACACCCUAAGGUUAGCGUUGGUCAAGCUUAGCUCUACAAAACAGACCAAACCAAUGGUAGUGGAGCACUUGCUCGGUUAGUAAAAGAUGUCAUGGAGCACCGCGCACUUUACGCUUUACCAUGGUGCUCAAUGCUCGCUUCCUUUUCUAAGUAAGGCCCUGUUUGGGAAGGGCGUGUUAAAAUUUAACAGGGUGUUAAACUUUAACACCCUCAAAUGAGGUGUUAAACUUUAGUAUCUUGAGGUGUUUGGAUGAUCUGUUAAAAUUUAACACCUUAGGUUGUAAUUGACAACUUUACCCCUCAUUACUCCUCUCAAUGGCAGCCAAAUAUCCCUUCUUCCUUCUUCUCCUUCCUCCUCCUUCCUUCUUCCUCCUUUCCUGCGCCUGCCGCCUCCGGCCCCACCCCCUGCUCGGUCCACGCCGUGCCCGGCGUCGGCGUUGCCGGCCGCCCCGUCGGCCCCUCCCCUGCGCCUGCCGCCUCCGGCCCCGCCCCGCCGCCGGCGUCCCCUACCGCGGCGCUAGCGGCCGCGCCCGCCCGAGCCCCUAACGCCACCACCGCGCCCGCCCGAGCCCCCACCGCCACCACCUGCGCCGCCCGCCGGUCCCCACACCACCGGAUCGGCCUCGCCCGCGCCCGCGCGAGGCCGCCCGCGCGAGCCCGCUGCAUGCCGCCCAGCGCGGCAUCCCGGCGCUGGAGCGGCGCGGACCGGCGGUGGCGCGCGAUGGGCGGACCAGUGGCGGCGCGCGACGGGCGGACUGGCGGCGGCGCGCGACGUGCGGAUCGGGGAAGGAAGAUGGGGGCAGCGGAGGAGAGAGAAGAGGAGAGAGAGGGGGGCAACCAGGGAAUAAGUGGGGAGGGGGACCACUUUUAACACCUUUAGCACAUUUUAACACCCCCUCCAUGUGUUUAUGAAAAGAGAGGUGUUAAAUUUUAACACUUCAUCUUUAACACUUGUGUUUGGCAGCCAAGGUGUUAAAAAUGUGUUAAAAGGGGUGUUAAGCUUUAACACCCCCUUCCCAAACAGGCCCUAAAUGUCAUAUGGCUCGAAAGAAUGUCAACGUGAUACAGCCCAUACUACAUAUUUUUGACACGCGAGCAAGAAGGCCACGAUGCCCGCAAAGCCACCACGCUUGCCACAACUUAAUUAAGCGGGUUUGUGGCUGCCUGCCUAUUGUUGCGACCAUGCCGGUGCUAUAUAUUUUUGUGGACUUGGUGACCGGGUGAUACAGAAACCCGCGUGCAUGUAUGGUCGCGUACUCACUGCCCGCUACGGCACACAUGCAAUUUUGAUCAGAACAGCAAGCUAGCAGGACACAAAAUGCGUUGCUGGCAGCACUGCCCGAGGGGACGAUAAGAGUAAGAAGCCAGCAGCCUCAGAAGAGGCAUUGCGACGAGCAUGCAAUUGCCAAAAACUGAAGCUUCGCGGGUUCUUGCAAGUUUUGCGGGCUCUCAUCAUUUGUCCAGCGGACGUGCAUGUGACCAGACGAAGAUCGCGAGGGAGUCAUCGCUGAGCCACAUGCACCACGACCUGUUAUUUGGCAGGGCCGAGGCGGACAAGCGGGUUCGUAUAAGGACCCACCCGACUGCAUCCUAGCCACGAGAACGAAAUCCUGCACCCCUAGCCACGAGAAUGACCAUUUCAUCCACGCGUGUAAGACUGACUCUCCCAAUUCAAUUUUUUCUCUGUGUCUCAAUCGAAUUUCUCCUCUUUUUAUUCUCUCACAAACAAAUCACAAAAGAGCCCAAGCUCAUCACGGCUCCGCUGCAGGGGCCCACCGGCCCAGCCUGAGCGAGCCCGCGAUGCCAUGCAAUCUACCGCCGCUCAGCCCCCACACCUCCCCGACCCACCGCCCACGGUCCCACAUCCUCCUCGCCCUCACGAAGCCAUUCGUCUCACCGACAUCUGGACCCCACGCCUCACAAGCCCCACAUGUCACCCUCACCCGCGGCCCACGCGUCGUGUACGCCGCACACCCACACACGAAGCGGCGCGUCCGCGUAUAUGAACGCGCACCGGUACCACACCAAAACCCGCAGCAGCCCAGCGAGCCAACUCGCAUAAAAAAGAAAAGAGAAGGAAAGGAAAACCCCCGCAGCAACAGAAGAAGAAUAAUCCCUUCUCCUUGCUUGCGCCUCCCGUCUGCGUGCGCGCGUGCGAUCGACGCAGAGAGGCGCGGGCGCUCACCGCCGCCCACCCCCCGGCUCCGAUCCGAUGGCCUUCAUGCGCUCCCACGUGAGUGUUCCCCCCGCUCCCUUUCCUCUCGUCGAUCCGCUCGUGCUCGUGGUGAUUCGGCGCGCGUUGGCGGUGUAGAUCCGUGUGGGGGAAUCGGGUUGGUUCGCGCGUGAUCUGGGUGCGGGAGUUCGUGGAGGGAUGACGGUUUAGAUCUCGCUGGGAGGUUUUGAUCCGACCUCACCGCGCGUUGCAACAGCGCUGGGAAGUUUGUCUGGUUGGUGCUUGUCCCUGUGGUUUGUUCUCUGGUGGCGUGGUGGUUUUGAGUAGUGGAUGUUCUGGUAAGGUAGGCUUGUGGAUAGCCGUGAGCCUUGUAGCCUACAAUUUCUUAAGUAGAUGGGUACACGAUGCUGUGUUUGAUCCCGACACGUUUAUUAGUAUUUUUGAAGUAUUGCGACUGAUUUCAGUACUGAUUAGACGGUAUAUAUGGCUGUUCAUUUGUUCUGACUGCAAUGACGGGUUUCAUUGCCUAUGUCAAUGUACAUGUGCUUCUAAAGUCAAAUAGUAAUAUAAUUUCGCAAGUGUCUAUUUAUUCAGAACCUGAGUUGAGGAUAUCUGCUGGUUUCUACGUUAGAUUGCUUAAGUUUUGAGAAAUUCGGGGUGAAAAUGGAGUUGAUCUGUAGAUGAUAACUUGAGAUAACUUUUAAGUUUGAGUUAGGGAUGUUCUUCUUAGCUCAUUCCUGCAAGGCAGAAAUUAGUUCCUUCAUCCCGAAUGAAAUGCAACUAGUCUUGAUAGUUUUCUGGUCAAAAUGUGGUACUGUCACGGUUUUUCUUUUCAAACAGUUGGAUCAGUACAUGGCUACUUUAUAAUCCAUUCUUUUAUUUAUGUGUGCUGUGUUGACAUGCAUAUAGGUUUUUCCUCCACUGAGGCAUAGCCAUAGUGGUCAUAGUCAUAUUCCUGCUUCCAGUGGAGAUAUUUGUAUUAUUUCUGCUGGACAAUUUCUUGGAUAUCCUAGUUGCCUUUUAGGUUAAUAAUGGGGGGAGAUUAAUCUUGCCAUGCACAAUGCAAUAAUGCAGUUGGCCUUCCCUAGAUUGGAUUUGAUUGAGUGAAUUGAAAUUAGCAUGAUGGUUCAGCUUCUAUUAGGUACCAGUUCUUAUCCUGUCCAUUAUUGUGCAAUCAUAUGUGCAAGUGAUUUUACAUGUUAAGCACGCUUAAUUUUAAUUUUCAUUUCUGGAUAGUGACUGGAGGAUUUUUCUGUUCCACAGAAGCAAUAUCUGUGUAAUUUUGCCUAGGCAAUCUUGUUUGAGUACCCUCUGUCUGUUGUAGCAUUACUCUGGACCGUGGGCAAAGUUUGUGUGGUGCCCUGUAUGUGGAUUGUGGAAUGUUGCAACUUUUAUGGAAUUGUGGCUACAUAGCUGCACUUCAUAUAACUGGCCUCUUGAAUGUUGUUGAUGUGCUAUUUACUGGUUAACCUUGGUGCAUGUUGGCUUUGAAUGCUGAAAGAAUGGAAAUCGAACAGUUUAUUUUGCAUUUCAGUUUCUUACCCUUGAUUUUCUUAUUAACGCAUCGACUAUUUUCUGCAGUCAAAUGCAUCUUCCGGCAUGGGAGUUGCUCCUAACAUCAGGGAGACAUUUGUUGAGCUUCAGAUGAAGAAGGCAUUCCGAUAUGUUAUCUUCAAAAUUGAGGAAAAGCAAAAGCAGGUGGUUGUGGAGAAGACGGGCGCUACUACUGAAAGCUAUGAUGAUUUUUUGGCCUCUCUCCCAGAAAAUGACUGCAGAUAUGCUCUGUAUGAUUUCGACUUUGUCACUGGGGAGAAUGUGCAGAAAAGCAAGAUCUUUUUCAUUGCCUGGUGAGCUUCAUAUUGCAGUCUUUCUUCGGUUUCAUGUUUAGCAGUUACAUUAACCUAUGGUAGUUCUGCCAAUGAAUGACUAGAUCUGUUAAAAAAGUAGUUAAACAAGUAAAACUUAUAAGGAGCUAGUCAUGUGCUAGGAUUCUAUAUACAAAUACUUAGAUGUAUCUAAUGCACCAAACAGGGCAGCACAGGAAGCCGCAACAUGCUAGCUAUUUAGUAGUUCCUUUUGUUUUUGUGUUGUGAGUAGUUCCUUUCUCCUUCCAAACAUGAUGAAGUGAGUAUUAAAUUAUAAAUGUGGAUUUGAUCUUUUGAUGGGAUCUACUUUAUACUACUAUUUGCUGGUAGCCAUGCUUAUUAGCAAUCUAGUAGCUCUGACAAAGAGGAAUAACAACGCAUGUGGUGCAACAGUUAAGAAUAUUCUCGGCAAUAAUUGUUAAUUUUUAUGUGAGUUCUGACAUUGACUUUUUGAUGUUACCAUGUGUACCAUGUGAUGUCUUCUCUAAUGGUUCAUGUUCAAUGCAUCAACUCUGGCCUUUCUGUUGAUUCCACUUCUCCAGACAUUAACCCAGUCCACAAUCAUUCCAGGUCCCCAUCGACAUCCCGCAUUCGUGCGAAGAUGCUGUACGCCACCUCCAAGGACCGCAUGAAGCAUGAGCUUGAUGGGUUCCAUUACGAGAUCCAGGCAACCGACCCAACCGAGAUGGACAUCGAGGUCCUCCGGGAGCGGGCUCACUGAAGCUGGUUUACCUAUGAAGGGACCUGUGGAGGGCCUUGAACCUUCAGCCAGAUUCAAAUUCUAUCAUCAAUGAUGCUCCUGCCGUGGUAUUGUUAAUAAGUUCCUGUAAGCAUAUCAUUUAGUCGUGAUGCAUGACUCUAGCUGGUGAAGCGCUAUCGAAGCUCUAUCCGUAUGAGAUCUUGAGCCUGUAACGAAGCAACAUGUGCAAACUCAUAUAUUGUGGUAAUGAUACUGGAUUGAUGGUUGUGGAUUGUUCGGAAAUGCCCUUGUUGGUCUGAACUUGUUACCGACUUGUGCUGAUCACACCUGGUUCUGGGUUUCUGACCCUUCAGGGCAAAUUGUUAGUAAAUGCCAUUGUGAUGGAAUUGGGACUUGUUUUUCAAUUCAUGGCUUCAGCUUUGCAUGUAGGCCUACGUGAUGUUCACAGGAAAAUUAUGGCCUGGUAUUAUCUGGUGAUGAGAAUACGAGGAUGACUGUCAGUGAGAUUGAGACUGUUUUGCUGCUGCUGACAGCAGUGCACAGCGCCUCAGCCUCUCAGUCCUCUCGGGAGCGCGUCUCAGGGUGACCUUGGUCGGGCUUUCUAACCUGCUUUUGCUUUUGAAAAAGCCAAAAGCCAACCAAAGGAUCUAAAAGCUCUACGUGCUUUUGCCCAAAAGCUACUUUUGCUCUAGUACAAAAUCAAAAGCACCUUUCCCCGCUGCUUUCAAGUGCUUUUGGGGUAGACGACCCCGACCGCCGCCGCCCGUCACCCCAGGUCGCCGGCUGCUGGCCCGCCAUCCGCCGUCCGCCGCCCUCGGUCGUCGGCCUGCCUCCCGGUGCCCCCGGCCGCCAGCCCCUCUCCGCACCCCGGACGGCCGCCGGCCCGAUGCCCCAGGCUGCCCGCCACACCCCCACCCCCGGACGGCCGACGACCCCGACCACCGCCGCCCGCCGCCCGUCGCCCUAGGUCGCCAGCUGCUGCCAGCCGUCCGCCGCCCUCGGUCGCCGGCCCGCCUCCCGGCGCCCCCGGCCGCUCGCCACACCCCGCCCCCCGAACCGCCGCCGCUCGACGACCCCGGCCGCCGCACCCUGCCGCCCAUCGCCCCCGGUUGCCGGCCGCCACUCCCUGCUCAUCCAUGUUGAAGGAUGGCAUCCUUGUAUAGAACUUUUGAUGGAUAUAAUUUUAUUUAUGUGGACCAAUCACUUUAAUGGAUGAAAAAUAUAUAAAAUUUAUUUUGUUACGAGCAAUUUGCAUAUAAACACACUCACAGACCUUUAGGGGCAUUACAUGUAUUUCUUACACAGCCUACAGUUUCACAGCUCCUCUAACCAAACGGUCUUCUGCUUUUCCCACAGCUGCUUUCUCACAGCUACUUUUCCACAUCCCACAGCUUACAACAGCUUUUUCAAAAGCCACAGCCCAACCAAACACACCCUCUCGGGUCGGCUGCCAUCUCUGGCUCGCUCAGCCCGCGUUCAGGUCUGUCAAAGCCCCCAAACGAACUGGACUUUAAUCUAAGCAGGAAUAAAGUUAAUUGCAGAAUAUAUUGCGGUAGAUAAAUGCAAAGAAAAGCUAGGAGGGUUCCAAGUCUAAGGAACAUGAACACAGGAAAUGUGUCAAAUAUCGUCGUGACCUUUCCUCGCGCUCUCGGCAGCCGGCACACAAAUAUCCAACUCGGUAUUUUACAGAGUCUAACCUCAGGCUCAUAGCCAUUACACACAGUAAAAAGCAAAUUAAAUUAAUGUACGCCGUCGGAUCCGCAGUAAACGGUGAUCUAUGAUCGAUGCUCUUGAUUUGCAAACACCCGUCAUUUACGCUUCCUCAAUCGGAAAACGUCUCUCCCUUGAUUGAGCCUGCCAAGGUCGCGCUCGCGAGCGGCCGUUGGUCAUCCAUCUGGCCGCCGUUUCGUCAAAACGGAAAGAGAGCUUCCUGCUAACCCUCGCCAUUAACGGCAAAGAUGGUCAGAGGUGAGGGGAUAAGGACGAGAGGCGUUGCGAGCAGAGGGCGAUUCGUGGAGAUUGUACGACAGGCAGCCACGCAGGAGCUCUGCCAUCUGUUUUCACUUUUCACAAGUUCACCUCAUGAUGCUUCUCAAGGAUCGUUUUGCGUUCAAAUCGUCCAAUUCCAUAAGUGCAAUUCUUAGUUGUUGAGCAAUAUAUAUAUUUUUUUGCCCCAGAGAACUUGCUGCGGCAAUCUUAAACUAGUAGCAGAGUGGGGAUUAUAGUUGGCAUGUCCUCAUUUUUGUGACAGUACUGAUGCUGCGCCUUUAUUAAAAAAAAAACAAAAGAAACCUUAAGCUCAAAUUCCAGGUUCACCGGUUCCCACCUUUCGUUUUGCUCAAAGAACUUGAAGGAUAAAGGAACAAAGCAAAUAUUCUGAGAAAUAAUUGUGACAAAACGUGUGCAUGACAGAUACAUCCGUUGCACUAAUCGUCCAAACCACUAUGUGUCAUGAUGAUAGUACAGAUGGCACACAUUUCCUCCAUCUCUAGCUCAGACUAUGUACAUGAUGUAAAAGCUGAAAAAAAGGGAUACAUCACACAUCAUAAGGUUGAUUACACUGAUGACUACUUGACUAGGAUAGUGCAAGAUGAGGGCAUGCAGGAGGUGACCGGAAACUGAAAACUUGAGACCCUAACCUCUUAGUCUCUCUGAAAUCUGAACCUUACAUCAACUUGGGGGAAAAGGAGGCAUGGAAUAGAAAUAGUCACCUUCUUCCUCCUCGUGCUGCUUCUGAUGAGCUGAAUAAUUGUGUGGAAGCAUUUGACGUCGCAAGGGAUUCUGAGUACCCCCUUCUGAUCAUGCCCAAACUCCAUUGCUGCUAGCUCCAGCAACCCGGUGAAGUAUGGAUGGUGAAGCACCUUCCUAUGCACCAGAACCCUCUGUAGCUCCUUCCCCUCGCCGACGAGCACCGGGAUGUGCCCUCGCUGAACUGACACGCUCUUACCCAUCCUCCUCUGAUCUGCGUUUGACACUUGGUUUGCUAGAAGCCCAGUAGUUAUUGUCAGCCCUCCUGCGUAUAUAAUGAAUGCUUUGCCAGCUGUGAUGGCUGAAAACUAUUAGAUGGUUUCAGUAGGUAUGGUCGUGUUCAUUCAUUUGUUUAUUGUCUUGUCGUUUGAUUUCCUCUUGCAGUAACCGCUGUCUGUUUCAUUCAUGACAGUAGAAUCUGCCAACAAUGUGAGGACUAACCAUUUUACUGACGGUGAAACGAUGAAAUAUAAACACAUAGUGAUUAAUCUAGAGGCAUUCAGGUCAAGCUCUGGCUGCAUGGAAAUCUCAAUAUUUGCCAUAUGAUACUUGAAUUAAGUAUUCAGGUGCUGUACGGAUAUCUAAUUUAAUUCUUGGCCAUUUUAUUUCGCUUGAUAACCAGAGCAUGUCAACUCCUGUACGGAUAUUCCAUCUCGAGUAAAAGGUCCUGUACGGAUAUCUGAAUGAUUCAGCCAUAACCCAACACCACCAAAGUCAUGAUAAUAAAGGGGAAAUUCUGCGUAAAAGAAAAGAGAAAUUACUUCCAAAGUGUCAAAUUGCUAGGAUUGAAGAGGCGUCGUAUGAUAAUUAAAUUGAAGUAUAGCCAAAGUAAACAAUUCCAUAGUACGUGCUCCAUGUCUGAAACAUUGUUUCGUUAUGUAGGAGUAGGUUUUAUAGACUAAUGCAACAAUGCCAUCAGCAAGUUCGGCUAAAAUGAAUGAUUUGCCAAUGGAGUACAUAUAUCGUGUUGAUAUGUUUACACAUUGCAUUAGAUUCUGUAACGAUGGCUCACAGAAACAUGUUUAUUGUUUGACGAACGCAUUUCAAAUAAAAAGUAUUUACGAAUUACUGGCGAUCAAGCCCCUUUCAGCUACGACUAUAGUAGCCUUAAUCUCUCGUGGUCCACCUAACGCCAAUAUGUACCUUUCAUCAGCGGUUUCAACCAUUUAUAUAUUCCCAUUAUCAUCAUCUGAUCGUCAAUCAUCUCUGUUUUUAAUCUCUUUCUCGUGGUGCAGUAGAUUAGACUUUAUGGCCCUCAUAAGUCAUAUCAGGUGCAUUUUUGUAUAUAAAACUGAUAUAAACACCUCCAUUUGGAGUAUAUCAAGUAUCAUACGUCAUGACUUGAAACGCUAGCUAUUUAAAUUUUUUGAAUAUCAUAAUUGCUUCCACGCCAUGGUCUACCUGGGUUCUACAGGCUCGAGGUUAUAUUCUUUUUUACAACAUGACUGAAUCGUUGCCAAAUUUAACUAAGCCUUCCAAGGGCACCAUUGCAUAUAAAAAUGCCGAAUUGAGUAAGGUAUUUUAAUUUAGCAUCCAGUAAAAUUAACUUUCAGAAUUAGCACUUUUCUUCCAAAUAUUUUGAGUUAAUUGUACUACUAACGAAUUGCUGUCGAUUUAGGAUAUAGAGAACAAAUGGAAUGAUGACUUCUAAAUUCUUCAAGACAAACAUUAAACGUUCUACAAGUGGAACCCUCAUGUUUGGUGACUAGAUGAGACAAGUAACACGCAUGGAGUCUCCAAAUACGCACGAAGUUUUUUUUUUUUUGUUUUUGCAAGAUCUUUUGUUCUGUUUUGUGGAAAACCGUGUUCUUGGAGUCCAGUAAACACGAGCCACCUGCAUCCAUGGCUCACUUGUUUUGAAAACAGAGGCCGGUGCGCUGCAGAAGUCCAAAUGACUAGAUGGGUACCUGCAUGUGGAUGCUGUGAGACUAGGGACAUUGGGAAAACAUCAUUGUCUAGAGCAAGACUUGCAAAGUCUUUCAGGCUUUGAGUAAUACUCAUCCCUUUUGGACAGGUUAUAAUAAGUGACAACAUGAUUGCACGUAGCCAAACAUUUCAAUUCCUGGCUAUUGGUAUGUUUAUCAGCAUUCAGAUUGUGUACAUUGAAUUUUAUUUGUAAAUUAUGGGUUUGUCCCUGAAAAUAUUUUCGUAGUGUUGGAAUAAUGCUAGGUUUUAUUGAAUAUAAUAUUGCAAAAUUAUCCUUGAGAUUGACCUGUGGGGCUUAGCCGAGACGCCCAAAAUGUCACUAACUUGUGGCCGGAGACUGGAGACGAACAGAGGAAUUCUUUCGCAAACCGCCGCUAUCCUGGUUGGAGUAUCGUAUGGGUGUAUUGUAUGAGCUGUGCACGAGCACAAAAACUGCUUUGGCAAUCCGACAACCGUCACUUUGGAUGCGGAGAAUGAUGAGGCAAUUUUCUAAGCCCAAACGAAGAGUGUAGAGGAUGAAGCACAAACGAAUCUCAUUACGUGUCUUCAUCGUGCCGUUCCUUUCGAAAAGAGAUUCCCAAACUCUUAUUUGGACAGAGCCGAGAGGAAGGCGAAUGGAUGAGUUCGUUGUUUCAACCUGGGAUGUCAGGAGGAGAGGCAGAGAGUUUUUGGAAAGCAAGAUCAGAGAGCUCCCGCAUUGCUGUCUGAAGAAGUUUUCAGUAGAGAGAGCUGGUAGAAGGCAGAAUGUGAUGAUGUCUGUAGUUUGGUUGUCAGUGGAUAGUACGCUCAGCACUGAAACACAUGGCCGGCACACGAAGAGCUGGAGGGCCUUGUUAGUUGCCCAACUUUGGAGAUGCAAAAUUACUGUUGUAGCACUGUAGCACAUUGUAGCGUUUCGUUUGUAUUUGUGAAUUAUUGUCCAAAUAUUGACUAAUUAGGCUCAAAAGAUUCAUCUCGCAAAAUACAACAAAACUGUGCAAUUAGUUUUUGAUUUCGUCUACAUUUAGUACUCCAUGCAUGUACCGCAAGUUUGAUGUGAUGGGGAAUCUUCUUUUUACGUAGUGUCAAAGUUGGGAGUUUGGGGGAACUGUUCCCUAGGUUGGCCCAAUUUGGUUGGUCCGGUCUAUGAGCGUAGGUGCGCAUGUUUAGUACCACCUUGCUAGUUGAGCAAGGGUGGAGCCAACUUAUAAGCCUUUGUCAACCAGCCAUAACAUAUUCGGGUUAACCUUUUAUACGAAGUGAGAAUGAAAGUGUAAAAAGGGUGCUAUGUGUACGCGUGCCCGCUCCUUGGAAGGAUUGGGCGGUGCGGUUUUUGGAGUACGAGGUUGUUACACAGGCCCUGCGUGCAUACAUGAAGUGCCGUUUUCUUCGUAGAAAGAAUACAGAUGCAGUGAAAAUUAGCUGCAUAUGAGCUCGAAAUGUCUCCUAACUUUACAGCCUUUUGUAUUUUUUAAAGAAAGACACAUACAAUUUUAAAAAAUUAUGCGUUCCAAGUAGUAGGUCGUCCUAACUUUACGCCUUCUUUUUUUUUUGGCAAAACGCAGUCUGACCUUUGACCUCAAAAGUGAAGCUUAUAUAAUCUUCCACAAUUACCCACGUGCAGUAACAUAGGAGGAGUAGCACUGAACGGAGGAAAAGAACAGCACGGGCUUUCGUCAUCCGACCGUUGCCCACAAGGCCACCACCACCAGCGCCAGCCCAACGGUCGGAAGGCUGUCGCAACAGCACACUCCACAAGCUUCUUCCAGCUGCCGCCGCCUUCUUCCAUAGGAUUCUCCUGCAGCUUCCACUGCCUCCUCAACUAUUUAACUCACUCCACCAGUCCACCCAUCUCCCCUCCCAAAGCAAAGCACCGGCACCACCUCACCUCCACCAUCGUCCUCCCUUCAAAGCAUCCUUCACGUUCUCCCCUGCUCCUCCAAGCGGUUGGAAUUCCGGAGCCAGCAAGAGAGGAGGCAUGGGGUUCGUGCUGGUGAUCUCCCUGCCCUUCAUCUUCUUCUCCAUCCUGCUCGGCUUCGGCUGCUACUUCCUCGGCAAGCACAGGGGCCGGGAGGAGAUGCGGGCCGGCGUCGGCGCGCAGAUCUACGGCACGCCGCUGCCGCCGCCCGGCGUCGUCGGCGGGUCCUCGCCGGCGCAUGAGCCGUUCCACAUGAAGAAAGAAGGGGCUGAGAACGUCUGAGUGGGAUGUCGUUUCGGGAUUUGUUUGGUUUAACUGAUAUAGUUCAUUCCUUUCAUCUAUGCUAUGUUGCGGUGUACAUUGAGCAAUUUGGUGCCUGUAUUUGUUACUUCGUUCAGGUUCAGGGGAAAUGGUGAUUGUGGUGUGAUAUAACGUAAUCACAGUAUGUGCUUGUAAGCAGUACCAAUAUGCAUUGUAUAAUGGUUUGUGUUUCUCAAUGUUUGGCAAGCUCUGUUGCAAGGUUUGUACGAAACCACAAUUUUUCUAGACUUUGCAGUUCCCUUGCCUGUUCGUGGAAUUGAUGGAGUUUUUUUGGAUGGAAUUUCUCUUAGAAUGAAUAAAAAGGCAAGCAAACAGCACAACAUAUAUGCAAGCAAAAUGCAUCCAAGCAGAAUAUAAUCAGGAAUGGUUGAUUUCUCGAGCUUCUUGAAGAUCUGGCAUUUUCUAUUCGUUUGUCAUAAGAUAGUGCUGCUUAAUUCCAGUAUUCAUCAGAGAGGAAAAACACUAUGUUAAUCUGGAAUUUUCUGUCCAGUCAGAUUGCAGGCUGCCCCUAAAAACAGGCUAUCUUUUGUAGAACAGGCUGCAGGUUCCAAAAAUUCACUUGCACUGAAAAUUCAGACAAGUAAAUAACCUGGAAAAGUGACAAUGUGGAAAAUCCGGAACGAUUUUACCAAAUCACAACAUAACCAUUCACAAGACUUGCAAAUUCUGCCUCAAGCAACGAGGCAGUUAAACAUUUUGGCCAACGAAGUAGGAUUAACAUCAUCUUUGUCGUAGUAUCAUAAUACUGAGAGAGCAUUUUCCCUCUCUGUUACAAUCAGAAACACAGAUAAAACCUGACGCAUCACAUAUUUCCUUAUUACAAACAGAUAAAAUCCAACACCAAAAUUCGCAGAACAAACAGUUCUGCCAAGAAUGACAGGGCCCUUCAUCCUCAUCCAGCAAAGCAAUGGUAGUCAAGAACAGCGCCAAGGAGGCAAUUCAAUCAUCACGUGAUCCCCGCUUCUUCCCGUAAUCUCGUCUAAUUACAGAGCAGGAACCUGGUGAGCACGAGCACCCCGCAUGCGGCGGCGAAGAGCGCGAAGACGGCGAGGUCCCUGGCCUGCCAGCGCCUGGCCUUCUCGGCUCCCUUGGCCUCGACUCGGAGGCUCUUGGCCCUUCGCAGCGCGUCCACCUCCUUGAGCAGGUCGAAGUCGAGGCCCUUGCGCUUGAGCUCGGAGACGCACCUGCCGAGGAGCAGCGCGUCCUCCCGCUCCCGCGCGAGGAGGCGCUCCAGGACGGCCUCCGUGUCGGACUUGUACCGCAGCGCCCAGAGCAUGGCGAGGGACGAGAGCAGCGAGACGAGGCAGGGGAUCCAGGACCUCCUGCACGCGGCGGGGGACGGCGAUCCGGCGGAGGCGGAGGAGAGGAAGAGGAGGAGGACGGAGGCGGCGUGGAAGGCAAAGAAGGCGCAGUAGAGGAAGGCGAUCUCCUUGCGCGCGCCGUCGAGACGGGCCUCCCGCAGCGCGACGCGGCGCGCCAGCAGGUCCUCCUCCUUGACCCACUGCUUCAGAAGCAGCCGGUGCGUCCCGCUCGCCGCGAUCUGGCUCAGCGGGUGCUGCUGCUGCCGCGCGGCCCCGGACCCGGCGCCGGAGACGACGAGAGCGCUGGAGUCGGCCAUGGGUGGCGGAGGUGGAAGCUGCGAUUGGGUGGUUCUCGGCGCCGAGCGGCUCGAGUGCACGGCGGCAGCGGCGGUCUCGUCUCGUGCGCGGCUGCUUGGAACGGGAGGGAUCUGAAGGAGGGGAAUUUUUGGGGUCGCAACGGUCGGGAGGGCGAGAUGGGCUUAAAAAGGUUGGGAAAAGCGGGUUCGCGCACCUGACUGAGCGGCGCAACGGUCGGAAUUCCUCCGCGGUGGGCCUGACUGGCGGCGACGCGGAAUUAUUCGGGCUUGGCGUGCACGCGGCCCGGCAGGAUAGGUUGAAGAAGAAGCGUAGAGAGAUGGAUGGGCGGGGCAGCGAUUCUGGCCCACUAACUAGUUGGGAGUCCCCGCAGGCAACCGGCCCACCAGCCCACAGCAGUUUCUCUGAAGGAUCAUAAAAUCGAAGCUGCUUUGCUGGUCAGGUGCUUGCUAUAAAAACAAGUCCUACCAGUAACUCACUUCAUGGGUCUCAAAGAAAAAACCAGUAGCUCACUUCACAGGUCACAUCCUCCAGCUUUUUUUACCUCGCUGUUAUUUUUUUCCACCUGUUUUCUUCCACCACUAAGCCCGCAGCAAGCCCAUUUCGCUGCCUUCGGAAUGAGUGACAUCACGCGAACAUAUUCCACCAGUAUAUGUGCCUGCACGGUUCGGCGCCACGCUUGAUGCCCUAUGAACUUCGAAUGGGCACCCAACAGAAGUUGAUGCUAGCUUCUAGGACAACGCCAUCGUUGUCCGGCAUCACAAAACCCCAGCCACCCUUGCCCGUGCAUCACAAAAUCGUUGGUGGUGCUCUCAGGUCAGCGGCAUGGGAUAGGAACCCCUUGGGGGUGUUUGUUCAGGUGGUUCAGAAAUUUGAUGCCGUAUGAAUUUACUGAAUGUGUUAUCUCAGUCUGUAGUAGUAAUCAGGUAGCAGAUUGUUCAGCUGCUUACGGUGAUGGUAGGAUGGAUGAGGAUGCCAUGCACCAGACUUUGUAUCCGAUGUGGUCUCUGGCGAUCUUACUAGAGACGACACUGGUUAGUGGAAGUUUGCAUUUCCGUUUGUCCAACAGAAGAAAAGAAAAGAAAAGUUGAUGCUGUAAUCCUUACUACCGGUGAUCCUUGGAUCAGAUCGCUCCACGGAUGCAACAGUUUUGCAUAGCCAAGAUGCAAGGUGCGUUCUCCGUCAGAGUUGUUUUCUGAUCCUCAAGCACAGAGUGCCUCGACGGCGACAUUUUAGCCCAUUAGUUUUGGCUGGUUUCAGAGAGGCACUAGACCCACCAGCCCACACAACAAACAGAUCAUUCAUAAUUCAAUGAACUCUCUUAUGAAACUCGUAUGUAAAUCGUAACCGAAGCUGCUGUGGGUUACUUAACCCAUUCCCAGUGAACUGUUUUUAUUGAUAUCCCCAUUAGCAAAUAAGAAUAAUUUUUUGAACAAAUAAGAAUAAAUUGAUGACUCAAACAAUCUUCUACGAUGCAUAGUCUGAGUCUAGCCCACUAGCUGGGAGACCCGCAGCCAACCGGCCCACCAGCCCACACAACAGUUCUCCGAAUCAUCAUAAAAUCGAAGCUGCUUUUCUGGUCAGGUACUCUUGCUAUAAAAAGAAGUCCUACCAGUAGCUCACCUCUCACAAUUCACAUCCUCCAGCUUUUUUAUCUCGUUGUUUCUUUCAACUGUUUUCUUCCACCACUAAACCCCGCAGCAAAGCACUCAAUGGAAGUCGUGCCUCCGUAUUUCGCCGCCUUCAGAAUGAGUGACAUCAGGCAAACAUAUUCCACUGGCAUGCGUCCCUGCACGGUUCGGCGCCACACUUGAUACUCUUUGGGUUUGCGAUGAACAACCAAGAGAAGUUGAUGCUUCCAGCACGACGCCAUCAUCGUUCCGGAGCAAGUUCUAGUGUAGUCGCCAUAGUAAAUGCAACUUAGGACCUGUUUGGCAACUAGGUGUUAAAGUUUAACACCCGUCACAUCAGAUGUUUGGAUGCUAAUUAGAAAUAUUAAACAUAAGCUAAUUACAAAACUAAUUGCACAGAUGGAGUGUAAUUUGCGAGACGAAUCUAUUAAGCCUAAUUAGUCCACGAUUUGACAAUGUGGUGCUACAGUAACUAUUUGCUAAUGAUGGAUUAAUUAGGCUUAAUAGAUUCAUCUCGCGAAUUAGCACAAGAUUCUGCAAUUAAUUUUAUAAUUAGCUCAUGUUUAGUUCUCCUAAUUAGUAUCCGAACAUCCGAUGUGACACUGUUAAAGUUUAACAUCUCGUAUCCAAACACCCCCUUAAGCAGUCGGCAGCUGAGAGAGGGAGUAGUGUUCAUCACUGUACAGUGUACCAUGCAAACCCCAGCCACCCUUGCCCGCGCAUCACAGAAUCCUUGGGGUUGUUUGUUCAGGCAGUUCAGAAGCUGAAACAAGUGCUAGUGUCACCGGAAUUUUCUGCAAAUUCGUCAAGACAUAAGAAUUUUGAUACUAUUUUGUUAUUCUAUAGGGGUGAAACUGAAAGGAGCCAAAACAGAUCACGGCAUUGCCGGUGGCAGGCCUCUGUUCUCGCCGACCCAUGGGAAAGUGGUGCAGCACAUAGAGGAGAUCAUCACGGUUCCGUUUGAGGGGUCAGUGGUGGCCACAGCUUGACGGGGCAGCGGCGAGCUCGGCCAUGGGCGGCUUGAUCUGCACGGACAGGCGCCGGCAUUGGCCCUUCAGGCAUGGCCCAUCCUGCAGGAAGCCAGAGGAGGGCGCUGGGAUGGUGCGGCACCAGUGGCUCGCCGUGCGCCCCACCGCAGGUGGAUCCGGAUUGUCGUCGUUAUUUGCGACGACUACAAUGGCGAUGCCAUGCCGUCUCGUACCUGGGAGCACGAGCGCGUGCCGUCAUCUCACGAGAUGACAGCUCCCGUCUCUCUCUCUUCGUAAAUGAGGAUCAAUGGAAAUUCAUUGCUGGCGGUACAAAGAUGGUGGUCGUUGGUUUUCAUCGUGGACUAAAAUUUGAAUUAAAAUGUGCACUUUAGUUGAUUAAACAUCUAAACACUUGACUAAAAGUAGGACUAAAAUCUUUAGUCCUCUAGUCCACAAAACUGGACUAAAGCGGGGCGGGGUUCGGGGAGGGCGGCGGCAGGCGGGUGGUCGAGGACGGUGGCGGGGCGAGGGCUAGCGGCGGGGACCGGUGGGGCAGUGGGGCGGGUAGGGUGAGGGGGACACGGACAAGUCAUAAACGAGGGUAGGGGUAUCCAGGGUACACUUUAGUCCCCAUAAGCAACCCCUUGGUGACUUAUGGAUUAAAGUUUAGUCCCAUAAGCAAGUCUGUUUGGAACUUUAGGGACUAAAAGGAACAAAACUUUAGUCUCAAAAAUAAGUAAGGUGAAUCCAAACACAGCCUAAAGGAAUAAAAUAGGACCUAAUCCUCCUCGUACUGUGGGCAAUAAGGAGAUCAAUUAAACUCACUAGCCUAUCAACCCGUGCUCCUGCACGGGCUAAUAUUUUUAAAAGCUAUUGUAUUUGAAAAUUAUUUAGAAAUUAAACUCUUAGCUAAUAAUCAAAAUUAUUUACUUACUGCCUCUCAUUUGCCCAAUACUUCAACACAAUACUUAUAUAGAUAUGUACCUAUUUUUGUCCAGUUUUGAUUGAUUUUUAAUUAAUAAUUACUCUAUGCACUUUUUUUUAUCCAUAUUCAUAUUUUUUCCUUUUUAUCACACCUCCAAUCCUCCAUACAUUAUGUUUAGCAUACAAAUCAAUAUUUUUCACCGAUUCCUCACAUACAUGUAUAAAUGGUCUAAAUGGUGGCACUCAUCAUGUGUAUAUACUUUAACUUAGUAUUUUCAUAUUAACAAUGACAUAAAUAGGUAAUUUAGAAUCAUAUUUUAGUUUACUUUUUGACAUUUUUGUAUGAUGCACAUGAAGAUAAUUUGAUUAAGAUUUAGGUGUUUACUUUAGGUUAUUUUUAAUAUCGACAUACAUGGGUAACAUAGAUAAAAUUUUAGAAUGACAUUUUAAGUUAUGCUUUUAUAAUGAUGUGUAUUAGUAAAUUGGAUGAAAUUAUGGGGUUACUUUAGAUUAUUUUUUAUAAUAGCUGAGCUCGGCAAUUUAGAUAUAGGUUUAGAGCUCAUUUUUUAAUAUUUUUCCAAUGAUGGUGGGUAAAUUUUUAGAAAAUAUAAUAGAUCAAUGGCUAUGAUUAUUAGAGUUUACAGGAUUGGUGUUCGAUGUUUUUAAUUUUUAUGAGAAUUUCUCUCCUUUUUCUAGCUUAUCUCAUGGGAACUAAUAUGAAGUCUCUAGUGGAAAAAAUAAGACUACAUUGCUACAAAAUUAUUACCAUAAGCUACCUUGUCGUUUGUUAAAUAUUCAAACACGAUACUUAUGUAGAUAUAUACUUAAUAUCUUCAUCCAAUUGUGAUAGACUUUAGUUAGUAAUUACUCUAUAAUAUUUUCAUCCACAUUUAUCAUCUUUAACUUUUCACUUUGGAUCACAAUUAUACGCUUGAAUUUGUUUAAUGAACCCUAAGUUUGAGAUACAAUUUUAGCAUAGAAAUCCAUAUUUCCAUCACUUUAUAUCCUUAUAAAUGGUAACACACAUCAUGCGUAUAGAUCUUAAGUAUUAUAUCGUAUACCAAUAGUGCAAGAUAUAGAUGAUUUAGAACCAUAUAUUGCUGUAUAUUUUUAAUUAAGGUUAUUUGAUUCAAAACGUAGGGUUACCUCAUAUUAUUUUUAAUAAUAGCAUGUGUGGGUAAUAUAGAUGCAAAUUUAAGGGGUUACUUUAAGUUUUUAAAGUAAUAGUGGUAGGCAAUUCAGUUGCAAAUUAGGGGGUUAUUUUAAAUAUUGUUUAUAAUGGUAUAAGUGGGUAAUUUUGAUGAACAUUAGGGGGUUACUUUAGUUUAUUUUAUAUAAUAGCAGAGGUGGGUAAUUUAUAUAUAGAUUUAGGGGGUUACUUUAGGCUAUUUUCAUAAUGGCAUAGGUGGGUAAUUUUUUAGAAACCAUACUAGAUCCAAUGGCUAUAAUGAUUUGAAUCUAUUGAUUGAUGGUUGGAUGUUUUACUUUUUUCCGAGAAUUUUUAGGAUUUCUCUCUUUUUCUAGAGUGUCCACCCAAAAAUCCUAGGUGGCUUCACCUAGAGACUUCAAAAGGAGCCUCCAAUUAGUAAUAGUAAGAUAAGCAACCCCAUAUAUGGGCCUGUUUGGCAGAGCUUCACGCAGCUCCAGAUCCAAAAAAACAGUAGCUCCACUACAGAGCAGCUCCAGCGUGGAUCUAUGUUCUCACCGUGGAGCUGAGCAAAAGUGUUUGGCUGACACAACAACUCCAAAUCCAGAAACAGAGUUUUUGGUUGGAUUGUCCACUAAUACCCUUGGUAUUUUCCAUUUUUUCUUCUCAUUUUUUUUCUGAAAAAAGAAAAAUGGCCGGAGGAAGAUAUACAGGUCUCCAGCGCAAUCACGUAGACAUGUUUUUUUUUUCCAUUUUUUCUUCUCAUUUUUUUUCUGAAAAAAGAAAAAUGGCCGGAGGAAGACAUACAGGUCUCCAGCGCAAUCACGUAGACAUGUUUUUUUUCCAUUUUUUCUUCUCAUUUUUUUUCUGAAAAAAGAAAAAUGGCCGGAGGAAGACAUACAGGUCUCCAGCGCAAUCACGUAUUGACAUGUUUUUUUUAUAUACGCAUGCAUCCGGUCAUUUUCCCAAGAAGUUGAUUAAUUGUUCAUAUAUAAAUUAAUUGUUCAUACAUAAAUAAUUGUCCAUACAUAGAAAAUAAAUUUGAUAAUUCACUACUUCAUUACAUUCUACCUCCAAGCAAGAGCAAGAUUGGUGGCCAGCUCAUCGCGAAAAAUAUCCAUUGUAGUGACACUGCCUUCUGAAGUAGAUCCAUCCGAUGGAACUACAAAUGGAUUGUACCGUUGCGGUAUUGUAGGGACAAAAUUAGGAUCACGAUCAAACCGAGCAAAGUCUGAAUCCUCACUAUUAUGCUCACGAAUGAAAUUGUGAAGGACCAUACAAGCAAUAACUACCAUUUUUUGUUUCCACAUCGGGUAGUUCGGCAUUUUGUAUAAAAUUUGCCACUUCAUUUUCAAUACGCCAAAAGAUCGCUCAAUCACAUUUCGAAUAGAAGAAUGGAUGCGAUUGAAUUUUUCCUUUGGAGUUUUUGGUUCCAUACCUCUAUGCCACUCAGGCAUAUGAUACCUCUCACCCUUAUAUGGAGCUAGAUAACCUGGACGAUUGGGAUACCCCGCAUCGACAACGUAGUAUUUACCUACAAAUGAUGACAAAAAAUAAAUUUAUUUGUAGUCACGUAUAAUGGUAAAAUAACUAUUCCAAUAAAUUUUACCUUGCGGUGGAUGUGGAAAGAAUUUCUCGUCCACACUCAAUGCAUUGUAUAACACACUUGUGUCAUGCAUAGCUCCUGGUUGGCCCGUGGACACAUAUGUGAACCGCAUGUCGAAAUCACAGACUGCUAAAACAUUUUGGGUGGCUAUCCCUGUCUUCCCGAUAUACCUCACUUGAUCAUCCGGUGGAAGGGAAACACGAAUAUGGGUGCCAUCAAGUGCUCCAAUGCAAUCUUUGAAAUGUGGAUAUGCUCGCCUAUCAUCCCUUAUUCUCCUAUGAACAUUAUGAAAAUUUGGAUCUUUUGGCCUAAUGAAAUCCUUUGCCAUGGCCAUCAAACAGUUUAGAACAUUCUCAAAUUUUCGACUAAUAGUUUCACCAGAGUGCUUGAAUCGAUUUUGACAUUUUCUAUUAGACUCAUUUCCCGCACAGAUAAAUAAGAAAAUUCCUAGACUCUCUUAGGUAGACAUGUGCAACGAUGGUUUUAGCCCAUACCUCUGUACCAAUAAGCCAUGAAGAUCAAAGAAGAUUUCUGUGCUCAUACGCAACUGGCUAUGGCAUUCGCCUGGAGUGUGCAAAGUCUCCAAAAUAAAACCCAUUCCACUGGUGGUAGAUGUCCUUGUAGGGUUUUUAGUAAGGAACAUAUCAACAUAUAUUUGAGCAAGCAUAGCACCUCCUAGGAUAGUUUUGAAAAAUUCCUCAUUCUCAUCACUAGAAUCAUCACUAGACAACUGCAAGAAUAAAAAUAACAUGUCCAAAUAACAACGUAAGAUGAAUAAAAAAUGACAACAAUUUGACCAUCACAAAUUAUCCACACAAGAUAGAUGAAUAAAAAAUGACAACAAAUUAAACAUCACAAAUUUGUCCAUAUGACAUAGAUGAAUAAAAAUGACAUGUCUAAAAAAAAGAUGGCAAAUCACUCGGCCAUCACUUUGCAAACAUCAUAUCGUACUUCCUCUUAAGCCAACUAAACCUAGCCUCAUUGGUGGGAAUAGUCAUGAACAUUUCCCUUUGCUCUUUCUUGACAAAAAGCUCAGUUGCCACAAAAUGCUCAUCACUGCCACACGCAGCCCCACAUGCGGCAACAUGGUCCAUUACUUGUUCAAUAGUGAUCCCAGCUUGCCUGCUUGCCACAAAAGAGGAAGCAUUAUCUGAUAUCUUGGAGAUGUGUUCUUGUAUAACUAAUGCUGUGCUUGCCUUAGAUUUCUUGUUAGGUUUAUCAAGGAUCACAUGUACUUUUUUCUUAGCAUUGGCAACGGAAGGAGAAACCUCCUGGACCUCAUCGCCAUUGUCUAAAUCAUUGUUACCACCCAUCUCUAACCCAUCCUCGGCAUCAAUGAAGUUGGAACUCAUAGGAUUGGGUGCUUCUUGGCUUGGGGGUAUGAUGGGGUUGGAACUCAUAGGAUUCCAAUGAUCUUGCUCUUCAUUAAUGAUGUUUCCAAACAUCACCUUCAACUCAUCUUCGUUUUGGAGAGGCCUAUUCUUAAAUUUUCCCACGCCAGGAAUGUCCUAAAAGUGUUUGACAAAGGUAUUAAAUUGAAAUUAUACAAGACUAAUAUAAUCUAUAUAUGAACAAAAUACCAUGCGAGAAGUGCUCACUUUUUUUGUUUUUUUCCACCACUCGGUGUCCAUAUUGAUAGUUCCCUUCUCCCAGUUCCAACCAGUACCAGUUUGCUUUCUCAUUAAUUUUUUCCAUGCAGACAAAUCACCCCUCAACUUAUCCCACUUGUUCUUAAGUUGACUUUUUUUCAACAUGAUACCGGUACUCUGAAAAAACCUUUCUUUCACCUCGGAAUAUCCCACAUUGUUCAAAUGAGUGUUUGGUCGAUUUCCUUUUCUAACUUGUUCAGCAAACAACUUGCAAACAAUGGUGGUAUAGCCAUCAUUCCAAUCCAUAUGAUCACCCUAUUAAUGAUUUCCCCAAAAUAUUGUUCAAAUUUCAACUCUAUUAUACAACAGCUCCACUACAAUGGAAGAAAAAUAUACCUCAUCAUCCCUUGCCCUUUUGUUAGCUGAUGCAGCACGCCUCCUAGCUUGCGCAACCGGCGUAGAAGAUGCCUGCGACGCCAUCAGGAACUCAUCGCCGAUCACCGCGUCCUACAUGCCAUUUGCCAAUAGUCAACUAUCACAAACAGUAGAUUAAAAUGGAGUUUUUUUGGGGUGAUGGUAAUGUGUAGUAAUACUGCAAUACACACUCCUAGUCACAAUUUCAGAAGUUCACAUUUAGAAAACUGAAAGUAUAUAUCAAGGUUUAGACGUGUGAUGUAGUUACACCACAAUGGAUCGUUAAAGCACCAGUAGCAGAACAAAAGAGUGAACCUGCAAUGCAAACCAAUGUUCUCCAGUCCCUCUGCCAGAACUAUGAUAGCGAUGAUAGUGAGUGAGGACAACCCCUCUUGAAGCCAUAAUAAUACUGACAAAUCUCUGGCAGUCAAUGGCUCAACUGCAAGUAUUGACUCUUAGUAAUCUGGAUUGUCUAGAUAUAGUUGUGUUAUUGGAUAUCCGAAAAUGUUGCAGUAUUUGUAAAAGUGAUGGUCGCAAAAAGUUCAAAAUUAACUCAGGGUUCAUAGGCAGAUCCUUUCAACUUGUUAGUAUUGACAUAAAGCAUAGAACAUGCAGUGCACAACAGUGUUGUAUGAUCUGAAAAGGACGACUACAAUUUUACUCCUUGACUCUAUGAUUACAAGGACACCUCUACACCAUCCAAGUUUUAAAAACAUGCUACUAUUUCCUACAAUAGGUUGUUGAAACAGCACAAAACAUUUCCCCUGACAACAAUUAACCAACCUCAUCACAGUAACCAGUUCAUACUAGUGACCCAGAAAACUCAUGCUUCAGUCUUACGAUACAAACAAGCCGUGCAAGACAACAAUAGCCGUUUGUGCAUGCAAUGACAAGCAACGGACGUGAACAGUAUCCGUUUCUGCGUACCAAAGUGAUGUGCACUACCCCUCACGACAAGCCGCACAAUGACACCAUGCCAGCUCAAUGCCAACUCCAUGGAUGCAUCCCCCUUUUGUGUGCUCUACCGCAAGUGCAUUUCCCUUGUUUGUGCUCUAACAGCUAGUGCAUCUCACUUGUGAGUGCUCUAACGGCUCGCCACACAACGACACCAUGCCAGCUCAAAGCCAACCUAUGAAACCGGUCACAAAUUAAAGAACAAAGAUAUCAAAGUUCUAGCAUACUGCAUUCUACAUAAGAUCAAGCAAACCUGGAAGAAAUUGUUUCAUUCCCGUCACAAAAUAGACAACUUAUAACCAAUCAUCACAAGAACCCGCCUACUCCGCAGAAAUAAAAUCCAAGCAUGUGACAGAAGCAAAAGAAUAAAAGACAAACCAAACCAAUGUGUAUCCAUCUGUCAUGCAGAUGGUACUACCAUCACGCUAAGCUGUUGCAACAGCAGCUACCUAAAACAAAUCAUUGAACCUAGACAACUAGGACAGAUCAAUAGAAAUGAAUAGAUUCCAUGGGUAACUAAGCGGCUAAAUGUCUGGUUUGGCCUUCAUCUUGAUUGUUCAGCUUGGAAUCAGAUGAAAAACUGUAGGGACAGUACAGGCACCCAGCCUUGAACCAGCAACAGCUGAGAAUCCCCAUCCAGUAGAACAAAGAAACAUUUCUGCAUUUCGGCUCGCCAUCAUAAUCAUCAUCAGAUAUUCUUACCAAGCCAUCCGCGUCGCCAUGGCCACCCGCGGCCCGGCUUGCGCCGUCCAGGCCGGCCGCGCCGCCCAGGCCAGCCGCGGCCAGGCUUGCGCCGCCCAGGCCGGGCGCGCCGCCCAGGCCAGCCGCGGCCAGGCAGGCGCCGCCCAGGCCGGGCGCGCCGCCCAGGCCCGCGGCGGCCAGGCUCCCGCCGCCGGGUGCGCCGCCCAGGGUCCCGCCGCCGGGCGCGCCGCCCAGGCCCGCGGCGCCCAGGGUCCCGCCGCCGGGCGCGCCGCCCAGGCCCGCGGCCCCCAGGGUCCCGCCGCCGGGCGCGCCGCCCAGGCCCGCGCCGCCGGGCGCGCCGCCCAGGGUCCCGCCGCCGGCGCGCGCCGCCCAGGCCCGCGACGGCCACGCUCCCGCCGCCGGGCGCGCCAGUGACGCCGCCGGGCGCGCUAGUGAUGGGGCCGGGACGGGAAAGUCCAACCCUAGGGGCCGGAUUGGAAGAUGAAGGGGGCGGAGGAGGUGGAGGAGGACCUGAACUUCUCAUUCCCGACGGCGGUCCGGCCACCGACGGAGACGAGGCGGCGGCCGGCGCUGGAUGCGGCGGGGGAGGAGAAGGAUAAGGCGUCGGAUGAAAGAACAGAGGGACGGCGCGGAGAAAAUAAAACGGAGGGCGAACCGGUACGAGAUGUGUGUAAUCGAUGGUAUUGGUGGGUAAUUUCCACCAACUCCAUGAGGGGUUACAAAACCAGCGUUUUGAGAGCACCCCCUUGGGUGCUCCGUGGAAUUGGUGGAUCUGGGAGCUGGAUCCAAUUUUUUUGCGGAUCUGGAGUUCACGGAGCUGUACCGUUUGGCUGGAAAAAAUAGGAGCGGAGCUGUUUUUAAGGAUCUGGAGCUGCGUGGAGCUCUGCCAAACAGGCCCUAUAUAAGAGAUAUAUAGCCUAAACUCCUAGGCAGUUCCGCAGGGCACCAGCCCACCAGCCCAACACACAGUUAUCUGAACCAUCGUAAAAUCGAAGCUUCUUGCUGGUCAGCUACUGAGGUGUUACAAAAAGAAGUCCGUCCUAGCAGUAGCUCCACUUCACACACACCAGCAUUUUUUUUUACCUCUGCUGUUUUCUUCCACCACCAAAAUUAAAGCAACGAGCACUCGACAGAGCUCGCUCCUCCGCAUCUCGCUGCUUCGGAAUGAGUGGCAUCUGGCAAGCAUAUUCCACCGCUUGAGGUUUCAGAACAGUUCGGCGGCACGGUUGAUGCUCAAAGGCAUUGGAACCCACUCCCAAUGAGCAUUGAUGCUGUAGUAGUGCCAAGCUUAGGGCAAGGCCAACGUGGCUGACUCAAAUGCUAGGAAACGUGGGAUCCGGUGCAGAGGGCAACAGGUAAAAUCCAUGAGACCAAGCAGGACACCCCCACAGUCAGUAAACAGAAGUUAGUAGUUUAUUUGCUUGUGGUGCACUCUAAGAUUGAAGCGUAUUUUUUCUUUUAUAUACCCACAAUAGUAAAGGUGCAUUCUUAUAGCAGCGCAAGAUGCUUAAGCUCACCUUUUUGUCAAUGUUGUGGUUGCCCUUAGACUUGCACGUACCAUUUGAUUCUCGUCAUGGCGCGCUAGGUGCAGUCACGUAGACCCGCUGGAAGAAGCGCUUGUAUCAAGGGAGAGACGCUAGCAUCACAAUGGGUGCGCCAACCAAUGAUCCUUGAAUCAUCCAAAGUUGUGCACUAUUGCAUAGCCAAGAUGCAUCCUGCACAGGAAAACAGCGGAUUGGUGGUGACCGACAGGCCACACCACAUAUCGUUCAUAAUUAUAUUGUUCCGAGACUCGUAUGCAAAUCGUAAUCGAGAAUGCUGCAGAACAUGUUCCUCACGGAGGUCUAAAACAAAAGUCCCAUAAUUAACUUGCAAGGUGUCCUGUUUAAUUAGGGUUCAACAUGCAAACUUUGACUAGUGUACUUGCAGCUAGUGCUCAUUAAUGUUACAUGUACCACUUUCAUAUAAAAAUCUGAUAAUAACAAAAAUUAGAUGAUAUAAAUGGGAUCUGAUAAUAACAAAAAUUAGAUGAUAUAAAUGGGUGGUAAGCUGACUCCUAGGUACGACACAUUUUCAGAACAACUCGCGCUUUACAGUGUAGACUACAUCGGCACUAGCCUUGCUUCCCACACUGUAAAGCAUAAUUAUGCCACCAAACCAGAACAUGAAUCAAACAAACAAUUAAUUCUAGUGUAAAUCACUUUAUCUAAAGAUGGCAGAAAUAGGUCACGUUCCACCUCUAUGCUGUAAGUACCACCAACAAGCUAGUGGCUCACUUCACACACUGAUCCCCCUCUUGGUGCAUACUCCUCAUUACCCCGUUGUUUAUUCUACCUGUUUUCUUCCCCAACUAAACACCCAAUGGAAGCCGUGCAUCCUUAUUUUGCUGUUGCCUUCGGAAUGAGUGGCAUCACGGGAACAUGUUCAGCACCAUAGUCGAUGCUCGGCAGAAUCAAGAUGGACGCCCAGGCAACAUUGAUGAGGUGAUGCCAAGCUUAGGUUUGCACGGUAGAAGAGAUGACGUUGCUCUCGACAUGGUUCAGUCCCGCUGGUUCUGCUGACAAGCACACGCGCGACGUCACAGCGUGGGUGAGCCUAUACCGGUGAUGCUUAGAUCAGAUUGCUCUGUAGCGUGGAGACAAUAAUCUUGCCUAGGCAAGAUGAGAAUUGAUGUGACAUUGUAUUCGGCUGUCGUGGUGUUAUGGUGACCCUGAAGCACCACAGCGAUUCAGGAUGCACAAUGAAUGUAGAUGCAGAGAGUGCUCAUUUUAUGUCACAUGUAUAUAUCUCACUUUCAUAUCUCAAAAAUAUAAGAACAGAUGUUAAACGAUAUAUUCUCUUGUAGAGUUAUACAAGUACUAUGGACAGUUGGACACUCCUUGCUUCACACACGCUACUCCAGCUCUUGAGUGCAUCCUUGCAUAUACUUUUAAUCUUAUUUUACGUAUUUUCUCACCACUACGAUAAUACUAACUACUACCUCCGAUUCUUUUUAUUUGAACAGCCAAAUUGAACUACUUUGCAGGCUAAAAUCACUGUCCGAAACGUCAAAUAUAAUGAAUCGGAGGUACUACUAAGUGAAGGUCAAUGCGUCUUGUGCAUGUCGCUACCAGCUUCAGACUGAGGGGAAUCGGGAAAGCGCAGUCCACAAGACCCACACCUCCUGGUCGGUUCGCCGCCUUCGUCUGUGCUUGUCCAUCACGUCGACGACGUCCAUGAGACCAUGAAGAACAGAUAGACGCUACGUUCAAGCUUGGAAUUACAUGUGUUAGCACAUGAGAGAAACUAAACGUUCGUCGCCCCCACGAGAGUUGAGAAUCAUAGCAGCAAGCCAGCAACUGGGGUGGAGACUGUUCGGACAAACGCAAAAGCUUUUCGCCUGAUGGGCCGCGCUUAUUAGAUGGAUUAUAUUCAUCCUGUUUUAAGGUUUAACUUGCAAACUUUGACCAGUGUACAUGGAGCUGGUGCUCAUUUUUGUCACCUAUACCACUUUCAUCUAAAAAAAUGAUAAUACCAAAUUUAGACGAUAUAUUAAUUGGCUUUGCAAUUUGUAUAAGCUACUCCUGUAUAACUACUAUCGGCACUUGCCAUGCUUCCCGCAUCGCACAUUUUUUUUAAUCCCAUUUUACCUAUUUUCUCACCACAAAUACUCAGUGAAGGUUUAUUUCUUACAAGUUGCUAGCUUCGGAUUGAGCGGCGUCGGGAAAGCGUUGUCCACUGGCGGAUACGAUCAUCUGACAGCUUGCCGCCAUGGUUUGUGCUCGUCCGUCCCUCAUCAGGCGCAGCCAUAAGAGAUGAGACCGUGGCGAACAGCUAGCUGCACACUCCGUUGGAGCCUGGACUUGCGUGAUGACAUGAGAUAAACUGGGAACAUGGUAUAGUCACCCCCUUGAGAACAAAUCAUAGCAGCAACCGAACUGGAGACUGUUCUAAUAAACUCUGUUGCCCUGAUGGGCCGCACUCGGAUGGAUUCAUCCUUUUCUAAUUUCUACCAGUACCGGGAGGUUUGUAGUUUUGUUUCUAGAAAGCUAGCAACUAAAUUGAACUUGAAUAGAAGUUAACAUCUUAGCGUUUGCAUGUGAAUUGACCCACAAAUUUUUCACGUUAGCUUUACGACGGUGUAACUUGCAGAAUAAUUUUAACUUGUGAGAACUUUUAUGCUGCAUAGACUUAUCCUCCCAUGGAUUAAUGAAAUAGCCUCAAAUUAAUUUUUUCCCCCCACGAGGAGUCACAUAAUGCACGAGUAAACCUUAACAGCAUUCUAAGUAGUGAAACAUUAUAUUGACAUGGAUUUAAACUUGUUGAUUCUAAGUAGUGAAAUAUGGAUAUUGACAUGGAUUCAAAAUUUUCACAAGGAAGCAAAUAGUUCAUGGUUAAACUUGAACAACACUCAAAUUAGUGAAAUUUGAUAUUGCCAUAAAUCAUUCAUUCGGGUUUGGCGUUCACGCGGCCCUGCAGGGACUCCCGUAUGGCACCGGCACAUCAUCAUAAAAUCGAAGCUAGACGUCCUACCACCUCUCUAUCUCUCUCUAAAAACAAAAGUCAUACCAGUAGCUCACUUCACACACUCCAGCUGUUUUACUAGCUCGUUGUUUCUUUCACCUGUUUUCUUCCCACCACUAAAGCAGCAAGCACUGAAUGGAAGUCGCGCGUCCGCAUUUUGCAGCCUUCGGAACGAGUGGCAUCGGGCAAACGUACUCCACCUUUUGGGAUCUCGUCACGGUUGAUACUCUAAGGACUCAAAAUCCAUGCCCAAGAGACAUUGAUGCUGCAGUGCCAUGCUUAGAUUUGCAUGAAUCAAGAGCGUGUAGUUCUCGCGAAGGCUGGCCCCGCUGAAAUGGAACAAGCGCCCAUUGCAACAUGCGGAUUACUUGUCUGCAACAUGCUCCUCCCUGAGGUCUAAAAUGAAGCCUGUUUAUGUCAGCGAGUGCUCAUUCAUGUCACAUAUCUCACUUUCAUCUCAAUAUAUGAUAAUUUAUAACAAAAAAAAUGAUGUAUUCGCUUGUAAACUACUCCUACAUUUCUACUGUCGGCACUCGCCUGCUUCACACGUACUACACACACCGCACAUUAGUUUUGUUGUAGGAAGCUACUACCAACUAAAUCCAACUUCAAUAGAAACUAACAUCUUAGCGUUUGCACGUGAAAUUGACUCACAAAUUUUGCACGCUAGCUUUAUGGGUUUAACUUGUGCAGUAACUUUAGAUCAAGUGAUAUGUAUCAUUAUGUUUCGCGAAAAAAGGUGAUGUGUAUUACAAACUCAUUACAGUUUUCUAUUACUGCCAGUUUUUCUGUACGUGUUAAAGUUUCGAUAGUGUAACCAUGUGCGGCGGUGCAUGGUUCACGCAAUGAAACUAUAUAGAUGCUUGAUUGAUAUUGAUUUUCAAAAACAACAAUGGAAUGAUUAUAAGAUUGUUUUAACUUACAGCAUCUGGACACAAUGUCGUCUGGGACCGGUGUAUCCGACUUUCUGGUUGACACAAUCAAUUCCUCAAUUCGCCAUGGUUGGUGCCAUGAUGCUCAGCCCUUGCAACCAAGAGCGUUCAUAUAGUGCAACUUCGCUUACUCUGUCAUCUUUGAUUUUUGUGUGAAAACAUAUUAGAAAACUUGGCAGUUGUCCAGCCAAUUCUGCCAAAAGUCAUCAACCUGAACCUGAACAUGAGCCACGUCUAUCUUUAAUCUCAAACCCUUUCACGUUUACUCAUCCUAACUUUAGAAGCUGCUAUAAUAUUACUUAACUACUCCCAUUUCAAAUUAUAAGUCAUUCUAACUUUUUUGAGAGUCAAAGCAUAUCAAGUUUGACCAAGUUUUAUACAAUAAAGUACUAACAUUCAUGAUACCAAAUAAGUAUCACUAGUUUUUUCAUUAAAUAUAUUUUCAUAGUAUAUCUAUUAGGUGCCAUAAAUUUUUGUGAUCCUCUCUAUAAUUUUAGUCAAACAUAAAAUGGUUUGACUUUCAGAAAAAUUGAAAUAACUUAUAAUUUGGAAACGUGCACAACCUUUGGCUUUCAAUAACGGAUGUGGGUCUAAUAUAAAAGAAGUCCUGCUGCAACUGAUAAACAAAUGGCAAAAAGUAGGACAUGUUCCACCUCGCUCUGUGCUAUCACUAUUAGCAGCAGCCAGUGGCUCACUUCACACACACUCCAGCUGUCGGUGCAUGCUCGUUUCUUUCACUUGUUUUCUUCCACCACUAAACACUCAAUGGAAGCCUUGCAUCCUCAUUUUGCUGCUGCUUUCGGCAUGAGUGGUAUCACGGGAACAUGUUCGAUCAGCUUGACGAGUUGAUUUGACUGUUCGGCACCAGAGUCGAUGCUCACAGUGCCUGUGUCCAAGUUAUAUUGAUGCUGUAAUGCCUAGCUUAAUUUUGCACAGAGCAAGAGUUUGUUUUUGUUCAUAGGCAUGCCGCAUUCGGUUUCAUCGCGCUAGCUGGUCCGUCCUGCUGACAUGUACAUGCACGCCGUGAAGGACUGGCGUGUCAUCACAGUGGGUGCGUCUAGCUGCCUAUGAUCCUAGGAUUAGAUUGCUCAUGUUGGACGAGAUUGCAUUUGGCUCUAAUGUUGUUGCUAAUCAUCGUGCACCAGAGCGACCCGAUGGUGGCUAGGCCCAGCGGUGCAUGGUUCACACAAUGAAAAUAUAUGGAUGCUUUGAUUGAUAAUGAUUUUUAUAAAUAACAAUAGAAUGAUUAUAUGGUUUCGAAUUUACAACAUCCGGAUAGAAUGUCAGGGAAUGGUGUGGUGUUGAUAGUGGAUAGGUAAGCCCAAUACACACUUUUGGGAAUUUUUUUUCACGCUGUAUAGACUUUUCCUCCCAUGGGUUAAUGAAAUGGCCUCAAACUUUUUUUCUUCGCGUGAGGAGUCAAAUAGCCUCAAUUCUUUUUCGUGAGGAGUCAAAUAAUGCUCACAUUUCAUGCUAUAACCACUGUCGAGACAAGCGCGUCGCUCCCCAGUCACCACUCACCACACAACAGCUCUCGCAUAGUCUAGUGUCAUUUUGGAUACAAGAGGACCGGACCUUCUCCUAUGCACGACGACGAGAGGGGCAGUCGCCAUCUUCUGGAACACAGUAGCCAACAGUUGAGGGAUUGGUUCUGAUAAAUCCAAAGACUGUUUUCUCUGAAGGGCCGAGCUUGGAUGGGGCUAAUCCAAUCCUUCCAACAGAGUUUUUUUUUGUUUUGUUUAAAAAAUGUGAGAUGCCAAAUUGAACUUGAAAACAAAAGUUUUAAGGGUUUUAUGUUAACUUCAUGACCUUAACGUGUGCGGUACUUUGAAUAUAACAAUUUAAUUCAGAUAUAAUCAUGUUGUUAUUCAAGGGGCUACAACUAUAUCAGUCACUGACGCCAUCAUUUAUAUUAUAUUUUUUUUUGUGAAUUUUAAGUCUCAGUGUAAUCUUGUCUGGUGGCAGUUUACACAAUGACAAAACAUGAUGUUUUUUUUCUUUGUUUUGAGCCGAUGGGAUGGGAUGAUAAUAAUAUUGCGGAAUUGUACCAUGCGGACAUAAUGGCAGGAACAAGUCUUACGUGUUAGUGUUGAUAGCUUUAUUUGCACAGGAAAUUCCACCGGGUCAUAAUAGUUGAUAGGUAAAUUGUACAGUAUACAUGUGGGGAUUUUCGUGCUGUAUAAACAUUUUAUUUUGUAGGCUUAUAACGUAGCCCCCAAAUUCAAUUUUUCUCACGAGGAGUAAUUAUUAUGCACGGUCAAACUUGAAAAAGCACUCCAUGUAGUGAAAUGUGGUUAUUGACAUGCCAUAAAUUGAAGUUGUUGAUUUCAAAUUUUUUCGAGGCAAUAUCUCAUUGGUUGUUCUAUAUCCACAUAUAGAACAUUUGCCUCUUUCAUUUCUUUGCCACUUAUAGACUUUUUUGUAUUCAGUUUCGGUUUCUACAUCCACAUAUUACAAUAGGUCACGUGAGUUCGGUCGGUCCUUCCCUUGAUCAGUCGCUCACACUCACAGGGGACAACACAUUCCCCCCCCCCCCCCCCCCCCCCCCCCCCCCAAUCUUUCCAAGCGACUGAAUGCUGAAGGCUAAACAGUCGUACACCUAUAAUCUAGCUAUUUAUUCAGGCUAAACGGCCAUUUAGAUGAAAAGUGGGUAAAUCAAGCAACAGCUUCCGACCUGAGGUAAAUUUUCCAUGUGCAAUUUACCCUACCUCACUGCUGUGCUUUAGCAUGGUAAUUUAUUUGACCUACCAACUCGCUUUGUUACCGAAAGUACAACGAAGAAAUAUAUAUAGGCGUGCACUGGCCACCAGCAAGGCCGCAACCUUAUUAUUAGUUUAAGCUGACUUUCCCUGCGCUACGCAUUUCUUUGCCUUCCUGGUUAUCUUACUGUCGCCGCCAAGCAUUCGUCCAAGCACUUCUACGGGGUGUUUGGAUCGAAGUUUAGUCUAUGUCACAUUGAAUAUUCGGAGGUUAAUUAGGAAGACUAAAUAUGAGUUAAUUAUAAAACUAAUUACACAGAUGGAGGCUAAUUCACGAGACGAAUCUAUUAAGCCUAAUUAAUUCAUGAUUAGCAAAUGUUUAUUGUAGCAUCACAUUGUCAAAUCAUGGAUUAAUUAGGCUUAAUAGAUUCAUCUUGCGAAUUAGCCUCCAUCUGUGUAAUUGGUUUUGUAAUUAGUCUAUGUUUAAUACUCCUAAUUAGUAUCUAAACAUCCGAUAUGACUGAGAAUAAACUUUAGUCUUGUGAACCAAACGGGGCCUAAAUCGUCAACCUCAACUAGCAUGGCCGACGCUGCAUGUCACUUCAUUCGGAACGAGCUGCAUUCACUACUAAGGAAAUGGCCUUAUGUACCGGUUGGGAACCCCCCUUAGUACUGGUUUCGCAACUGGUAUUAUUAAUUCGGUACUAAAGGGGCCCCUUUAAUACCGGUUGAAAUAACCGGUACUAAAGGGGCCCUUUAAUACCGGUUGAAAAAAAAUUGAAAUCCACCCGCCGCCCCACCCAGCCGUCGGUCCCGCCGCCCCCGACUUCCUGCCCGCCGCCUCUCCCGCCCGCCUGCCGCCGCUGCCGCCUCACCUUGCCCCACCGCUGCUCCUCAUUACCGGUGAGAGGCGAGCGGAGGUGGGAGGGGAGGGGAGGCAGAGGAGGAGAGGAAGGGUGAGGGUGCCGUGAGAGAGAUAGAGGAGGGGGGAUGGGAUAAGACUGUCGGGCGGGCAGGGUGGAUGAGGUGUGGCUGACGGGAGGUUUUAGUAACGGGUGGGAGCUCCACCCGGUAGUAAAGGUCACCCUUUAGUACCAGGUGGAGCCUCCACCCAGUACUAAUGUGCCUUAGGAUCUUUAGUACCAGGUGGAGCCUCCACCCGGUACUAGGUGACCUUUAGUACCAAGUGGAGCUCCUACCCGGUACCAGCGACAGAGCUUGAAAUUCGCAAAAUGACAUCAGAUCAUGAAGUUAUGAAGUACUUGAAACGCCAAGCCUAGCUGAAUCGUUAAGGUGUUAAAUUGGUUGAAUUUAUUAGAACAUUAUUUCCAUAUAUGAUGAAGUACAAGAAACGUAAGAAUAACAAUGCUUUAUCCCAAAGAAAUGUUUUGUUGAAUCAACUUGAGGUAAAGGUUCGGGACUAGAGAGCCGCUUGAAAGAUUUGUAUUCCACUAGUCAUGAAUUUUCUGAACCAUAUGAAAAAUGUACAGUUGGAAAAGGAUAGAGAAAAAAAUAUGAUGUUCAUGAUGGAUUUUUAUUUAGAACUAACAUAACAUGUGUGCCAAAUUGUUCUAUUAGACACUUGUUACAGUAAGCACAUGCAGGUGGACUAACGGAUCAUUUUGGACGGAAAAUGGGUCACAACAUUUUAGACUGGUAACUGCAGCUGCUAUAAAUUACUUGACCAUGCGCAAGAAGUUCCACUCUGAUUCCCAGAAAAUUACUAAUGUGCAACAUUUGUAAAUUCUUUUCUCAUAUCAAACAACAAUAAAGUAAAAUGGUAUCUACUUUUAUCAUUUUACUCUUGUGUGCCUGCGUGAGUGCUCCUUUUAUCUCCUCUAUCUACCUCCUUUAUUUACCAAUUUACGUAUUAAUCACUGCCACUAGUCUACUAUAUAUAUUACCAACCUGCAGUUCACUCCUCUCAUCACGCACUCCAGCUCUUGCAAGCGCCCGCGCGCACUCAAUCUAGCAAGGUGAAUGAGAGAGCACUUACAAGUCACAUGCAUGACACGUCGAGUUGUUGCUCGGAAUGAGAUGCAUCGUGAAUUCAUGACCAACGAUGGCUUUGACAUCAACAGCUAGCUGCCACAAUUGGGGCCUGACCUGGCAGUCAAGAACACCCACGUUUCAAAGAGACGCUGCUGCGUGUCUCGAAACCUUCGGAAGGUCAGAGAAGCAUUGGAGCAGACAAGGUCGUCGUGGCCCGGCCAGAAUUCGCCUCUGUUCCUGACGGCUAGCAUGCUGUUUGCUGCGCGAGCAGACAACCACCUCGCUGCUGGGCACUCCGAUCCGACCGGCGCCUCUACGCCACGCUCGCGCAGCCGCCACCUCGACGACAGCCAUUGCUUUCAUGCACUCAAACAGCCAUACAGGUCCGUGUGGCAACGUAUGACUCGACGCCGCAAUGCAUCCCCUUCUUCGGAAUUGGCGGCACCAGGAAUUCAAUUCCUGCUUGGGUAUCAGGAGAACCUGACGGAAAUGUGGAAACCAGAAGGCACUGAGGAUCGGAAAGGAAAGGGACUGGUGUCUGUUCAGCAAACGAUCGGAAAACAAGGCCUUAUGGGGUGAAGGUUACUGACCAAGACUGCUUGGACACUACCGCCGAAUGGUUGGACGAAAAUCAACGUGGACGGCUCCUUCGUUGCAGGAUCAAGCAAGGCAGGGAUUGGUGUGGUGGUGAGAAAUAGCAAGGGGGGUUGAGGGAUUCCAGUUCACGGCCUGGCGUGUGCUGUUCAGAUGUGCAGAAGCAGUGGAAGCAGAGGCAAGUGCAUGUGUCAAAGGGAUUAGUCUAGAUCUAGCCAAACAAAUGGUGCAAAUCUCCAGUUAUACUCAGAUUUUGAUUGUGCCAGAGUAGUAAGUGCCCUGAAAAGAAAAAAAACAA